rnacentral:lncRNA from 1 species
UUGUAUCCAACACAUUCAAUAUCACAUCUUGGUGAAAGCAAAUAACUUAUCACUCUUAUUUUUUGAGAAAACUCAGUCAACAUAUAAGCUGUAUAGGCUUGUAAUAUAUGGGUAGAAACGAUAGCUAAACAUAUGAAAACAGGUUAUGGCCUUAUGAUCAUGAGUGAUUGGUAGAUUCCUUAGAGACAAUAUUUUCACUUCAAAUUGUCAUGAAAAAUAAAUCAACAAUGGACUUUAUGAGCUUGUAAUGUGGCUUGACAACGAUAGCUAAAAAAAAUAAAAUUUUCAAGGACAAUGCACUUAAGAUCGCACUUCUUCCCAAAAUUUGCCCCAGUUUUGGAUUUAAAAUCCGGAACCCCAUUUUGACUCUCUCUUUCUUAUCAAUCCUCUUUUUUUCUUCAACAAUCACUAAGGGGAAUGCAGCAUUGGAUGUCUUCGCAUUUUCUUUCUUCUUUUUUUUUUCUUCUUUCAUCAUUUUUUCAUUUUUUUCUUUUCUCUCUUUUCCCUUUUUUUUUUUUUUUUUUUUUUUCUUUACCAUUACUUGAUAUCCCAUGUAAUGAUAAAAAUUUGAAACUCCUAAAUUUGGGUGUAGAUGGUCGCCUCAGUUUCUUUUGAUAUUGAAGCACUUAAUAUCUAAUGGUUUAGAGUCUCAACAUUUCCUCAACUUGUAAUUUUUUCUCAUUUGCAAAAAUUUCUUGAGCUAUUCUUUUGCCAUUUUUUUAGUUAUGCUAGUGUGUGUUUUCGUACGGGUAAGUAUAGGAUUUCAUCCAUUUUAUAUAGGUUAAGUGAGUUUGGAAGUUAGGAAAACCCUAAACUAGAAAAAUUUCUAGUGAUAUGAUUUGUUAGAAUUCUAAGUUGGGUUAAAACCCUAAUUUUGCCUAUGUCAAAAAUAUUGUUGUUUAGUUGCUUUUAUGUGAGUUAAGGUAUGAUUAAGUAUAGGUGAUUAAGAAAGGAAAGUGAUUAGUGAAGCAAUUAAGUGUGAUUACAUGUUUUGGACUAGAUUAAGUUUAUAACUUAUGGAGUAAAUUGAAAGAGUUCCAAAUGUUUAAGGCAGGAGUGGAUCAAAUGCAAAGUUGAAGGUGUAAUGGCUUGAGAGAAAAUUGGAACUUUUAUGUGAUUGGUGGGAGUAGAAAAUUUCUUCCAAGGCUUGACUAGUCUUAUAUAUCAUAGGAUUUGGGGGAUAAGCUUAAGAAAUAAAACAAAACAAACCAAGGGAGAGAGAGAGAGAGAUGGCCGAACCUAAGCUUGAGAAGGGAGAAAAAAUUUCCUUCAAGUUCUUCAUCUUCUAGCCUUCCAUCUUGCUUUUGGAGCUUAAGGGGAUCAACUUGGGUACUUGAUUGUUGAGGUUUGAUCAACUACAAAGCCUAUUUGAAGGUAUAUCAUCUUACUUGGAAGUUAAAUUUUGGGGCUUUAAUUUUGAAGUUAUGGAAGUGAUGCUUUUGUUGUGAUUAUGCAUUUUUAUGGGUUGUAUGAUGAUUAUGGAGUAGUUUUAUGGUUUAUUUUGAUGGUUAUAUUGCUGAUUUUGGUAAAGGCUAGGAGGAAAAGGUAGGGUUUCUUGAUCCAUGAUUCAUAGAGUUGCUUUGGUUGGAUUUUGGCUUGUUAAUGGCAUCUUUGAUGUAUUAAUUUCACUUGUAUGGUUGGUGAGUAGCAAAUUCCAGAUUAGUCAUGAAACCCUAAUUCAAAGGAAAGUUAGUUUGGUUGGGUUAGGGCUUAAGUGAUUAGAGUUUGAUUGAUUAGGUGGUGAAACUAGUAAAGUUAGUAGGAUUAGCACCUAAAUUAUGGUUAGUUUUUGGCAAUUUUGUAGUGACUUAGAGGGAAAGUUUCGGACCAUUUGUAGGUCAUUUAGAAGUUAAUAUAUGUGUGUUUAUUUUGUAUAAAAGUGGUUGGAAGGCUUGUAUGAGAACCAUAGAAACGGACUGUGCGGUUGCGACGUUCGAAACCGGUAAAACUGGAAACAGGGCAGUCCACAAAUCUAAACUUGGGUUCUGUUUUUCUUUAUGUUGCGUGUGGAUUCAGAGGUUUCUCAAAACAUGAAAGUUUUAGCUUCUUAAGUCCUUAAUGUGCCUGCAAAAUUUCAGGUCAAACGGAUCAGUGUAGCCCGAGUUAUAGCCAAAACACUUGCACCUGUUUUGAUCACUGGAAUGUGUUACGCUUUUGGAUUUAGCCUCUGACCAUGCUCGGUUCACCUGGAUAACGUGCGAACUGGGUGUUAAUCCCUUCAUAAUAAAUGUAGAUCUUGGUUUUAGUUUCGAAAUGGUAUAAAGUGCAUCCAAAUCCGAGUUCCGUAGCUCCAGUUAUAACCAAAACAAGAUCGGUUGUCAGAACUGCCUUUGAAUUUGGACAGUUCUGACAGGAACUUUGGACCCAUUUUUCACCCUGCUCUGUAUUGAUUCAGGUUUUGGUCAAAACAUAAAAGUUUUACCAUUAUGGCAUAGUUUUCUAACGCCUUUGGAAUUUCUUGAUUUGGAUUUGCGAGCUGUAAGUUAUGGUUCAGUAAACAGACCUUGUCCGUCACCCUAAAGUGCAAACUUCUGGUACAGUUUUCCAUAAUUUCGACCUGCUUCCAUUCAGAUUUAGAUUAAGGUGUCUUCAUGAAAAUUGUAUCCCUUCCUCUUAGCUUCGCAACGGUACCUCAUGUACUUUGAUCCGACAUUCGUAGCUUCAAUUGUGUUCAAAACAGUUUUGACACCAAAACGGUUAUGCCGGCCGUUUCCAUUUCCGUUUGCCGAUUCCACACAUGCAUGUGCCAAUUUUGCCGUUUUGCUUGUUUUAGGCAUCCUAGUAGCCGUUUGUGAUAUUAUGUGAUGCAAUCUUUUAAUUCAAACGGUGGUGAGCUAGACGGAGCCGUGGGGCCUACUAGCUAUCUUUCGCGACGUGAUUUUUGUACUUUUGCUAUCUUUGUUCUUUGAGUAAGUAUUCGGUCGUUUUUGUAUAUAACUUGCUUAUGUGUUUUGAGAUGAAUGAAAGGGUACCUAGGCGAGAGUGUACUUCAUCGCACUCGACCUAAACCCUAAUUUAGAUGCAUAUUUAUACAUGACAUGUCUAUAUGAAUUAUUUUGGGUUUGAACCCCUUGAGCUUGUAGCUAGGGGUGACGUUUGUAUGUUGGGGUUGAUCUUCCGACCUAGAUGGACUAUUUGAGCCGGUCAGGGCUUGGUUGAAACCAGUCCAACCUAGUCUGAGGUCACCAAGUUUGUAAAUCCGGUUCACCGAGCUUGUGAACCAAGCUCAAUUUCGUUCGCUCGAGCAAUUUUGUGAGGUGACUGGCCAGUGAGGGUGAUAAGGUGUACGGUGGGAGUACAAGUGGAGUUCUACGGACCAUUAUUUGUGGUCGACGGAGUGUCGGCAGGAGGUCACACAUGGCAAAUGAUUUGGCUUUGGAGCCAACCUGUAUCCUUCAUUUGUAUUGUUACUUUUGCAUUUGACUUGACAUUUUGUGAAAUAGUUGUUUAUCUUAAUGUGAUAUUUAUGCUUUUACCCCGUUUACUUACUAAGCAUUUAGCUUACCCCUUUUCCUUUGUUUUCCUUAACAGGGGACGACGCGGGGAAACCCCUUUUGCACUAUCACUAGUAUAGUUAGGUUUGGUUUGUAAUGGUUGGACAACUAAGAUAUUUCUUUUACUUUGGUGAUCUGUAUAAAGAACCCGUCUUCGGGUCUACUUCUGUGGUUCUGUAAUAGUCUCGAUAACUCCUUUUGAGGAUGUAAAUACCGUUUUGAGAGUGAAUAUAUUAUGAAUAGUACUCUUUUGGUUUGUAUAUUUAUUAACUUUGUUUUUGAGUCCUGGCGCGAGUUAGGCAGGCGUCCCGCCGAUACCCUUGGUUCGCCUUGGCAGAAGUGCGGGCGUCACAGAGUGAGGAUCAAAUUUGAUAGGUAAGAGUGACUUUUUGAUGAGGAAAUAUUAUAUAAUUUGAAGUGAUAAUAAUAAGUUAGUGAUUAGAAGGUAAAAAUAGUAUACGUGAUUUAAGGAAAAAACGGUGCGAACCGACGUGUACCGUGCACUACCGAUUGAACACACCACUUGAUCACCACUUUCUUACCAUAUAAGCUCAUUAAUAUUUGUGCAAAAUAUCCCCUCAUUCUCAGCUAGUUUUGGCCGAAAAUGUUGACCAAAUUUGCAAGGAAAAAAAAAAAAAUGAGUGGAAAUUGGUGAUGCCACUUGUUGGCCAUCUAGGGCCUUUGAUCAAUACCAAAUUGUCUUGCCUUCUUAUCACCAUUUAGCUUCCUUUCUUCAUCAUUUUUUGCUUUCUUUGGCCGAGAGAGAGGGAGAGAAAAACCAAGGGAGAGAUACACCAAUCCAUCUUGAGUUUGAGUCACUUAAGUGAGGAAAUAAGAAACUAAUCCGAUUAAAACUUUCUUUGAGUGUUUAGCUAGUGGUGUGUUGGUGAAAGUUUGGAAGGAAAAGCUAGGGCUGCUCUUGGAAGUAACUUUAGUAAGGUAAUAAUGCUGAUUUACCAUUUCUUACUAUCUUAAUCUUGCUUAACUUGGCAUAGCACCUUAAAUUUGUGGUGGAUGAUAGCUAUUAUAAUGAUUUGGAUGGAUAUAGUGUAUGUUCUUGAGUUACAUGAGUUAGGGUUUGAAUGAUUUUCUGCCUAUACUUGCUGUAUGGAUAGUAUAUGUUGUAUGUAAGUUUAUAUAAGAGGUUGUGGUAGUGAUUGAAGCAAGAAAUGAAGAAAGUUUCCUUUGAAACCGUAAAAUUUCAGAUUUCUGGAAAACUGUAGCUCAGUUCUGUCCGGUUCCAGUUCGUGAUGCUAGAGGCUGAAUUAGGCUGAUCAUAAAAUGAAAGUUGUAUAGAAUGAUGUUUUAUAGUUGCCUACAAAAUUUCAACCCAAUCGGAGGCAACGUAUCCUGUGAAAAGACCAAAAUACCCUCACUGCCCUAGGAUGCAUCCAGUGAUUAGUUUUAAACAGUUCAUCCAAUUGACCGUGUCUAUUCACUAUGAUCCGUGCUGAUUUAGCCAUUUUCCAAAACAUGAAAGUUUUAGUACUUUUUCUUAGAUUUUCAACGCCUCCAAGAACGCCUUAAACGGACUUUGGUAGCUUUAGAUAUGGCCAUUUGGAUGUAGUACGGUUAACUGGCCGGUUAGUUGGAAUUUGGUUCUGUGAAUUGGGAAUUUGACUGGUUACACUGGAAAUUAGACUAGGUGAUCUGCAUAAAAGUUGUAGCCCUUUUUCUUAGCUUCGAAACGGUAUGAUUUACACCUCAAUACGAUAAGCGUAGCCUCAGAUGUGUCCAUUCCGUAAAAACCCAUCAAAUCUGUCUUUUGUUAAACUUCAUUUCCGCACAUGUCAUUAGCUUGAUUUUUGUACUUAUAUUACCUUGAGCCUAUUGAACGGCUAUUGAAAUGAAUUUGUGUUGUGUGUAACUUUGGGUUUGAUUGAGGAAAAGAAUGAAGCCAUAAAUGGUUGGAAAUAUGAAAUACAAAGGGCGUGCUGCCCAAAUUUACGCUCGAGGACUAGAGAAAUAUACUUGCGACUUGAGUAAGGGUUAAGAGUGAUUACUACUUGAACCAUCUAGGAUAUUUGCAUCUUCUUUUACCAAGAUAUAUAAGUAAGGACUUGGCCGAACUUGUACCCUUGAGAAAUAAAAUAAUGACUGCUCGGAGUAUGUUUUCCUUGUACUUUCGACUCAAAUGGCAUUUCCAAGUACAAAUGUUACAAAGUUAUAUAGUUUGAAAAGCGAGCGAGUGUUUCACGAAUAUUCUCCAAGUGAAUUUCCAUGUCUUGAUUCUUAUUGAACGAAACAUCUACGUUUCGAACCUUAGUCAAUUUUUAGAGUUCGGAAACAAAGUUUUUAUCGCAGAUUUGGACUCUGACCCGGAGUAUAACCCAGACGUGAUUACUAGGGGCACUUCAUUUUGGUGAGUGCUUCCAAAUAUCUGGUUGAACUGGACACUUGUUUUAAUACUUGAUCCAUGAAAUACAUGAUACGAGAUUUGUUGAUCGGGCAAGGGUGUACUUUAUCGCACUGGCCCUAAUAUGAUAUCUACUUGUUUAUUGUUGCAAUUAACUUGAUAUACUUGUACUUGAUUUGUAAGUGUGGAGCGGUAGUAUGUACCACACUCUAUCUGAGUGGGAGGUGCCUCUCAUUCCCGUCUCCAUACUUUUAUUUUAAUUCAGUCGAUUGGGUGUUAUCUCAUCGACUUUUGGGGACCCAAACCCCACUGGCUAGUUAAUCGAGUCAAGCCGGCAAGGGCUUGGUCGAUUAGAUAACGAACCAUGGGUAGUUAGUAAUGUCGAGUGGAGUGAUAUCUCCUCGACUAAUCGGUAUACUCGAGUAUUACCACCCGUGUUUAUUGAGGAUUUUGGGCCCCGCAGGGGUUUGAAUGGUGGACGGAGAGUAGUGUAAGUGGUGUUCUACUGGAUUGGUUACUUACUUGAAAGUUGACGGAGUGUCAACUAUUACGUGAUCAAGCUCCUGGUGAUGCAAUGGGAAUUUGGCUCCUGAGAGCCAUCUGUAUCCUUGUACUUUGGAGUGAUUAUUGUUUAUUGGAUUAUUGUUUCUUUUGAAAACUUUUACACUCGCUCACUUUGAGAUUUGCUACUUGAAGUAUUAUUGCUCACUUUUGUGAACUUUUCAUGCUCAUUACUUUGUUACAUAAGACUUGCACUUUUAAAUAAGGGUUAACUUGCUAUUUGGAACCUCACUGGGCUUUUAGCUCAUUCCACGUCAUUUGUUUUCCUUACAGGGAUACGAGCGAGGCGUGAGAUAUGUAAAGACUAGUGUAGCCUAGUUGUUUUGACUUUUGGCUUGUACUCGCGCUAUCACUCGAUUAGGAUGAUUGUACUUGGAUUGUAUACACUUUGAACCUGUUUGGGUAUAUAGAGACUUUGUAUAUUGAUUAUGCAUCGAUGUAAAUUAUAAGUUUGAAUUGUGUCGUUAUUUAUGGUCUAUGGAUGUAUGCACGUGAUACGAGUGAGUGAUUCCUGGCGAGAGCUGGGCAGGCGGUCCGCCGAACCUUUGGUACGCCUUAGGGGGAGGUGGGGUCGUCACAAUAUAUCACAUUAGGGCAAGUGCGAUAAAGUACACCCUUACCCGACCAAACCAAUCAAAUAUUAUCCAAUCACGUUGGUAAAACAUUUAAAUCAAAUAUCAAGUUCAAUCAUGCACUUGGAAGCACUCACCAAUGACUUAUUCCUUUUCCAAACCACGUUCAGGUGUAACUCCCUGGUUGGAGUCCAAAUCUGCGGUAAAAUACCAUUUAAUGGUUUAAAAUCAAUUAGGGUUCAAAAUAUAGGAGUUUCGCUUAAAGAAAAUCAAGUAAAUGAAACUCGGUUAAGUAGUAUGUAUUUUAAUAUCAAACCCUAUAAAAUUCAUGCUCGCUUUUGGUUUUGAUAAAAAGUGAUUAAAACUUUUAAGUUCGUAACUUGGUCUAAAAGAUGAGGAAACGUAUUUAUAGUGGUCGCUACUUUAACCUUUUAAAGGAUACGAGUUUUGGCAAAAAUUCAGCUUCUUACCUCUACUAAAAGAAACUUGAAACCCUAGACAACCGAAGUCCAAUUCAUCCCCAAAACUUAAAAGUUUUAGAGUAUUGAGCCAGCUUUCUACUUACAAAGUUCAGAUCAAUUCGAUCAUCGUAGCCUCUAAAAUGACUAAACACCUUGCCUGCGGUGAAAACCCUGAUUUGCUGUAAACAUUUUCCUUUAUACUUCUGAAAUGUUUAUUUUUUACCCUGAAGACAUCUGAUUUUGAACCCAAUGUCUUUAUAAGAAAUGUAGCCCUGUGUCUUAGCUUCAAAAUGAUAUAGAAAUGAUCUCAAUCUGAUUUGUAUAGCCUCAGUUAUGAUCAGAAUACCAACACAUGACAAAGCUGUCACCUAUACAUUUUCUCUUUAGUAUUUCCUUUCUUCACUUUUCUUGAUUCCAUUCAUUUUCUUAGUUCAAAUUAACAUUUGUACUCCAUAUUACACUCAAACCCUUGUACUUGAUGUUUCCUUGGAUUUAAAUGAGAAAGCUUAAUGUUCUUUAUUAUGCUUAAUUCUUGACCCAGAACUUGAUUUCUCAAUGGUUCCAUUCUUACUUUUGAACUUUGAAUUUGAAAAGGCUUGAUUCAAGGCUAUAACAACUCGCUUUAUUCUUUAGUAUACAUUUGAGAAUUAUAUAUCAACCUCUUGUUUCUUCACUUUUAAGUGCGAAAACCCUAAGAUUUUUUUCACUUUCAUAUAAACUUGUUGGUUCUUACCUCAGGACUCGAGGGUAAUCAAUGGUGUUAUCAGGAACUAAGACAUAUCGCACGUAACAGUGAGUGUGUCCUUGCAUGUGUGUGUGACUUGAAUAGUUUUUGCUACAUGUUUACUUCAAUUUCUUUGUGUGUUUAAGUGUAAGUGCUCCCUAUAAUUGCUCCUAUGUAAUUUUCCACCAUUUUAAGGUGAGUAUGUAUUUAUCACACUCGACCUACUAAAAUAACAAAUUUCUACCAUUUAAUCGUGAAUUUCUACCGUUUACCGGUUUAUUUGAUUAUUUGUGCAUGUUGUAAGCUCUUACCUGAACUGGGCCCUGCCCUUGGUUGCUAACUUGUUCGAGCCAGGACUGGGCUCGGUCGGGUAGGUUAGAACCCUAGCUCACCGUUUCGGUAUACUCGAGUAUUACCACUGAGAGAAAUAAGGCGAUAGCCAGACAAACUGAGGGAAUUAUUAAGUUAUAAGGUGAAGCUGACCGAAAUAGUUCCACGUGAACACCGUAUCCUUUAAUGUGUGUUUAUUUCUGUAAAAUGAUAAAUGUCUCAUUUUAAUGUGCCAAUGUGAAACCAUGAACCAUAUAUGGUUAUGCUUAAUUUACUUGAUUUAUUAGAACUGCUUGUGUGUUUUGGAACCUCACUGGGCUGUUUAGCUCAUUCCACUCCUUUGUUUUCCUCAACAGGGUUCAAGGCCGAGAGUGCUCAUGAAUAGUACUAAGUUGUUUUCUUUUGGAGACUUUAAGUUGUAUUAUAGCAAAUAACUGUAGUACAUAUUCUUUUGGGUUGUAUUUAAGCUUGAAGGUUAACUAAUUUUAAGUAUUAAUGUUUUGGAGUACUUUAGAUAUAUAUUGAAAAUAUUUGAGUAUUUCUAACUUUUGAAUUAUUGAUUAUAGUGAGCCCCGGCGAGAGUUGGGCAGGCAGUUCGCUGAGCCCUCUGGUUCGCCUUUGGGGAAAGUGGAGCUGUCACAUGCACAAGUCUAGCAAGUAAGCUUCACUUGGAAAUUCGAAAACGGUGGCUAUAAGCCAAGUACAAGUCUUGACCGCUUUAAUUAAGGUAACUUGUUAAAAAUGUAAAACUUCGAGAAAAUGAGAGAUACAUUAGCGAGAGAAGUUCAAUAGAGAUACAUUUGAAGUCAAGGAAGUGGAAAAGUCAAGGUAAGAGGUUGGAAGUACCUAAAAGAGUACUUUGUAUGAAACCAGAAAAUUUCCAGUUUAGAGCGACACUACUUGGAAAAAUCAUAUCUCAAGUUUCAUAAGUCCAAAAAUUGGAAACUUUAUACCGUUGGAAACUAGACUCAAAGCAAAAAACUCUCUAGAAGACACUUUUCUCAUAAUCCAAUCGGAAAUCACUCAAAUAUUAGCUCAAAAAUCACUGUUCUAGACAGGAUAGGGCAAAACAGGCUUGUAAGUUCAGUAAAUUUUGGAAAUUCGGUAAAAUUCGUAGGAAUGGAAUCAACCCUUAAAAUUUAUACUGCUAAUAGAGUUCCAAAUCUAGUUUCAAAUGCAAUAAACAGAACCCAAUUUGUACUUUUCUACAUCAAGAUACAAUGGUUUAAAGAAAGCUGAAUUUUGAAACCUGUUACACAAAAUUUCCAGUUUAGAAGGCUUGACAGAGUUUCAAAAUCUGAUCAUAACUAGAGCUACACAACUCAAAAUUUAGUGUGGUUUGUGGGUUGAAAACUAGAUUCAAAAUGCUACAAAUCACUGGAAGAGAUCGUGUUCAAACUCUUUUCACAAGAGGGACAAAAUUGAGCCACAUGAUGCAGCUGUAUGAUUUUCUCGGGAAAACAGGUGAAGUAAAUCAGUCCACUUUGCCGGUUCGCUACGGUUCACUCAAAAUGAAUUAGCAGGGGAAUUUUACACCGUUGGAAAGCUCUGGAUGUCUAGUUUCAAAUGCCACAAACGCCACUGAUUUUGACUUUUGUACAAAGAUUUAUACACAGACAAAGAACCCCUGGUCGGCUGACCUGGUAGCUUUUCCAAUUUUCUUCCUUUCUUCAAAACUCAAGUUUUAUCCAACCAAUUGAAAUGAUUUUUGAAAAACAAUCUCUACACACACAAUACAACAUAUAACAAGCAUUCUAGCAGCCAUAUAAGCAACAAAAUUUGAAAUCAAACCAAGGCAUCAAGGCAGCAGUUCGGCCAGCUCUUCCCAUGAGUUUCUUCCAACUUUCUCUCCUCUUACCAAGCCAAUAUCAAGUCACUCAUCACACAAACAACAACAAUCAGGCAAGAAGCCUCAAGUCCACUACCUAAAAGGUCAUCUCAAGACCACUACCUAGGAUGUAUAUCAAGAAAAUAAAGUUCCUCAAGUCCUGUAGUCUACUUCCUUUGUGACAGCCCCACCUCCCCCUAAGGCAAACCAGAGGGUUCGGCGGGCCGCCUGCCCGGCUCUCGCCGGGACUCAGUCAUUCACUAAAGUCCUCAAAUGAAUUACAAAAAUAAACCUCAAAGAUACAGAACAUGGUCCACAAAUAUACAUCCAAGUCUCCAAUAAUUACAUGUCACAAUUGCAGCGGAAACAAUUCCCAACUAUACAUAAAAUGAUUCCAAAUCCAAAUUAUACAAAACAUAGGCCAUCCAGUCACGUGCACAAGCACUACAAGUCCUUCCUUCGCCUUGAGCCCUGUGGAGGGGAAUAAAAUAUUUUUGGGGUGAGCUAGAAGCUCAGCGAGUAACCAGUAAAAUCAUUAAACAAAUAUAUUUCACAAUGUUGCAUUUCGAUCAUUUCGAUGAUGUCAUGAUUCAGAGAUCAAAUGUUCGUUUAGUGCUCUCGUGAGUCAGGGAAAUCAUAGCACUUGAACACCCAACGCUCAAAUAGAUCAUUUAACAUUAACAUUAACAUUAAGAGGGAGCCCCUUCUUGAGCUCCAGAUAAACAUGAACAUGAACCAUAAACAGAGUGGAGACGUUGGUGUCCAGCACAAGACUUUCCCAGAACUCAUUGAAGCCAAAUCAUGUCAUGAACUCACAUGCAAGCACGCAUGAUAUGCAAUCGAGUACAUAAUGCAAGAAACAUUUCACAAGUACUUUGGAAAUAGUUUAGGAUCACUCACCUCCACGGCUCAGAAAUUAUCCAUCAUAUAACAUUGCCUUACUCAAAUCCAAGUCUUAGAUCACAAACUCAAUGCAAACAAAUCCCUUCAAAGUUCGGACAGCACUUCCCCUGAAUUUGCUAACUUUUCCAGCCAUCAUGGCUUCAUUAUUUCCUCAUCCAGUCCCAAAGGUACACACACAACAACAAGUUCAUCCAAUAGCCAUUCAGCAAGCUCCAAGUAGUAUUAGUACAAGUCAAGCUAGGGAAAAGUCCGGAAAUGAAAGUUAAGCUCAAAAUCAGAAAAAUAGUUUUGACAUCAUUUUGCGGUAAUGGUACCAAAGGCACUACGAUUAUCGGAUGAAGGUCCAAGUCCCACCGUUUCGAAGAUAAGAGAUAGGGCUACAAUAUUACAGAAGGUUACUCAACCCAGUUUUGAGUGUAACCAGGUCAAAAAUGCAAGAUACCAUACCAGAAUCAAAAAACAGAUUCACAGAACGCAUUCUAGCGGAAACAUCAUAAAGCAGGCUAUCCAAGUCCAAAUCCAGAAAUUCCAAAACCAGCUGAAAUAUAAGAAACAGGGCUAAAUUUCAUCAGAAGACCUCAACAACCAAUUCAGAAGCAAUUCCAGCCAAAACAACCAAUUAUAGGCGCAAUUCUUACAUUCGGGUAAAACCAGAACAGCAAUAGUAAUUUCGACUUUUCUCAUUCUACACUACUCCGAUUGACCUAAAAUUUUGUAUACACCUCUAUAAUAUCAUUCCAUACAACUUUCAUGUUUUAAGACAAGGCCAAUUAGGCCUCUAUCUAGGACCUAAAAUUUCGGACAGAAUGUUCCUUCACAAAAGCUAAUUUUCUGAAAUUUCUUCCAAAACAGAAAUUGAUUGCAAUUGAUCACUUUUUCCACCUUCUAGCUUCAUUACAUAACAUUUCCAAUCAUCAUACAUGACCACACAAUCAUGCUUAUAUUAAAACAGAAAAAUCCCCAAUAAUUACAAAACUUCACCAAUUCAACCAAAAAUCAAGAAAUAAUCCAUAAAACCAUCUCUUUAGCCAUCACAAGUCACUAAUUUAGCAUAAUCAAGAACAAAGAAAGGAUUGCUAGACAUGAACCUUGAAAUAUCAAGAAAGUUGAUGGCUUAGUCCUUUGCCUUCUCUAAUCACUCCACCACUACCUUCAAUCUUCCUAAACAAGUGACUUUUGUGGAGGAAUUUGAAAGUUUAAUGGUUGAUUCACAAGAUUGAGCAAGAAAUGGAGUUGGAGUUGAAGGCUUUCUUCUUGUAUUUGUGCUCCAAGAGGUUCGGCCAAGCUUCCAGAAAUUUAGGUGCUUUUUGGGUCAAAAUUGAGUAUUAGUAAAGGUAAGAAAUAAUGGUCAAAGUCAAGGUUGAAUAGGAAGGUGACACUUGUCACCCUUUAGGUUAAAACUUAACUUUUUGUCUCUCCAAUACAAAUAUCUUAACACUUUGUAAAAUAAUAUCACUUAAUACAAAAUUCCAACAAGUUGUCAAAAAUAUAAUGCAUUUACCGCACUUGCGGGUCCCACGUUCAAAAUACGCUCUUAAUUUCUCAAAAACUAACCGAUACUAGAAAAAUCAUUUUAAAACUAUUUGCUCAUAAACUUUAUCUGGGGAAUUUUUCAAAUGUAGAAAAGGCGGGCGAUUAAAUAAAAUAAACCCUAGAAAAUUAGAAAAUUUUCGGGUUCUCACACUUAUACUUUUCGGGGCGUCACAUCCUUGAUUAGGGUUUCAAACUCAUGAAAUUCAACCUCUAGUCUUGGUAAAAUUGAAAGGUUAAAGAAGGAUGAAGUGGUUACCUCUUCAAGUUCUUGAACCCUAGUUGAAUGCAAGACUUUCACCAACACUUUCACCAAAAAUCACCACAAGAUUGCACUUUCCUUCUAGCUGGAGAAAAACCCAAAGUUUUGAUAGUUGGAUGAAGAUCUUUGAGUAAGAAUGGAGAGCAAAAGAUGAAGUUUUUCUUUCCCCCUUUGAGCCUCUAUGUUCAGCGAGAAUGAGAGAGAGUGAGGGAGUGAAAUGUUUUGAUUUUGUGAAAAAAUGGGAAGAAAACUAGCCUUGUUUGGUGAAAAAGUCAACUUCGAAUAAUGGCAAAAUAGUGUCUUGCACUACCAAUUUCCCUCUUAUUUGCUAUACUUAAACACUAAUCCUCCAAGGUAGUUCCUCUAGCACUACAAGUACUCAUACUUACUAGUCUAAAAUUAAUUCUCCAAAUCUCCAAUUAGUCGUGCUGGUGUGACUUUUGAAAAACUUUCGACGCGUAAAUGAUAAAAGCACCAUUUAAGAAAAUUCAUGCAUAAAUAAUAUGUGACAGCCCCACCUCCCCCUAAGGCGAACCAGAGGGUUCGGCGGCCGCCUGCCCAGCUCUCGCCGGGACUCAAAAUUUCAAAAACAAUAAAAUUAGAUAAACCCACAAGCAUACUAUUCACAAUAUAUCUAACGCCAAAAGAGAUCUAUUUAACAUCUUCAAAAGUAUCGAGUCAAACCACUCUAAUACAUUAAAAUAACAACCAGCAGAAGGUAGACCCUAUGGAGGGUUCUUAUACAAACCACCAACACAAAACAAACAUCCCAACUGUCUGACUGUUACUAUCAAACCUAACUAUACUAGUGUAUGUGUCAAAAGUCCCCGCGUCGGCCCCUGCUAAGGAAAACAAAAGGAAAGGGGUAAGCUAUAUGCUUAGUAAGUAAACAGGGGCAAAAGCGUAAAUUCCACGUAACAACAGUUACAUAGUAAGAGUAAAGCAAAAGCAGAAAAGUAACAUCACAUAAUAAGGAUACAGGUGGCUCCAAAGCCAGAUCGUUUGCCAUGUGUGACCUCCUGCCGACACUCCGUCGACCUCAACUAAUGGUCCGUAGAACUUCACUUGUACUCCCACCGUACACCUUAUCACCCUCUUUGGCCAGGCACCUCACAAACUUGCUCGAGCAAACGAAAUUGAGCUUGGUUCACAAGCUCGGGUCACAAACUUGGUCCACAUAAUCGUGAACCGGAUUCACAAACUUGGUGACCUCAAGACCAGGUUGGACUGACUUCGACCAAGCCCUGACCGGCUCGAAUAGUCCAUCUAGGUCGGAAGAUCAACCUCAAACUCAAAAAACUUCACAAAAUUAUUCAAAAGUCACCCCGAGCCACAAGCUCAAGGGUUUUAGUUCCAAAAUGAUUCGUAUACAUAUGCCAUAUACAAAUGUGUGCGUAAAUUAGGGUUUAGGUCGAGUGCGAUAAAGUACACACUCGCCUAGGUACUCUUUUCAUACAUAUCGAAACACAUAAGCAACUAACACAUAAGAGCAGCCUGAAUACUUACACAACGAACAAAAGAGCAAAAAUACGAAAUUCGUCCGCGAGGAGUAGCUAGUAGGCCCCACCGGCUCCACCUAGCUCACCAACGUCUGAAAUUGAAGAUUGUGUCACAAUAUAUCACAAACGGCUACUAACAUACUUAAAACAAGCAAAAAUGGCAAAAUUGGCACGUGCAAGUGCGGAAACGGCAAAAUGGGCACACGCGCCGCGCGGAACGGCAAACGGAAAUGGCCAAAUCUUCCUUCUCAAACCGUUUUGAUCAAAAGUUAGACUAGGAAUGUCGGAUCAAGGUACAUGAGGUACCUUACGAAGCUAAGAGGAAGGGUUACAAUUUUCAUGAAGACACCUAAAUCCGGAUCUGAACAGAAAUAGGUCGAAAGUAUGGAAAAUCGUUCCAGAAAUUCGCACUUUAGAGUGACGGACAGGGUAUGUUUUCUGGACCAUAACUCCCAGCUCACAAAUCCAAAUCAGGAAAUUCCAAAGGCAUUAGAAAACUGAGACAUAAGGAUAAAACUUUGAUGUUUUGGUCAAGACCUGAAUCCACUCAGAACAGAACGAAAAUUGAGUGCCAAAGUACCCGUCAGAACUGUCCAGAUCAAAGGCAGUUCUGACGAUCAAUCUUGUUUUAGUCAUAACGGAAGCUACGGAACUUGGGAUUUCGACGCACUUUAUACAGUUUCGAAGCUAAAACCAAGAUCUACAUACUACCAAAACAGGGUUCCCUAAGCAUACACAAACAAUAGAGGAAACCAGAAAAAUCCGGAAAUGAUUUAUCUUUAGCCUGAAACAAAACAGAUUUUGUCCUCAUUUGCGGUAAUGGUGCCAAAGGCACUACGAUGAUCGGAUGAAGGUAAAAGACCCACUAUUUCGAAGCUAAAAGACAGUGCUACAACAUCACAGAAGGUCACUCAACCCAUAUUUGAGUGCAAACAGGUCAAAAAUGCAAGAUACUACAUCAAAAACGUAAAAACAGAUUCACCAAAAUGCAUUCUAGCGGAAACAUCAUAACUCAGGCUCUCCAAGUCCAAAUCCAGAAAUUCCAAAACCAGAUGAAAGCUAAGAAAAGUGUUAAAUUUCAUCAGAAGGCUCAACAACCAAUUCGGAAUUAAUUCCAGCCAAAACAACCCAUUACAGACGCACUUCUCAAUUUCGGGUGAAACCAGAACAGCAAUAGUAAUUUCGACUUAUCUCAUUCUACACUACUUUGAUUGACCUGAAAUUUUGUAGGUACCUCUAAAAUGUAAUUUCCUACAACUUUUAUGUUUUGAGCUAAGGCCAAAUCGGCCUCUAUCUAGGACCUAAAAAUUCGGACAGAAUGCUCCCUUAAGAACCCUAGGUUUUUCAAUUUUCUUCCAAAACAGAAAUUGGUUGCAAUUAAUCACUUUUCCACCUUUUAGAUGCCUUAUAUACCAUUUCUAAUCAUCAUAGAUAGCCACACAAUCAUGCUUAUAUUAAAACAGAAAAAUCCCCAAAAAUAAUAAAACUUCAUCAUUCAACCAAAACUCAAGAUUUAAUCCAUAAAAUUGCAUCUCAUACAACCUCUAAGCAUGAUUUAAGCAUCAAUUAAGGGAGGAGGGUGGUUCUUCACAACUUACCUUGAACACAAGAGACAGAGAGCUAUUGGUUGUGACGCCCCGAAAAAAAAAUGAGUUUGAGAACCCGGAAAUUUUCUAAUUUUCUAAUUUCUAGGGUUUAUGUUAUUUAAUCGUCCGUCUUUUCUACAUUUUCUUGAUUAGAAAAUUCCCCAGAUAAAGUUUAUGAGCAAAUAUAGUUUUAGAUGAUUUUUCUAGUAUCGAAUAGAUUUUGAGAAAUUAAAAGCGUAUUUUGGACGUGGGACCCGCUAGUGCGGUAAAUGCAUUAUAUUUUUAACCACUUGUUGGAAUUUUGUAUUAAGUGAUGUUAUUUUACAAAGUGUUAAGAUAUUUUUAUUGGAGAGACAAAAAGAUAAGUUUUAAACCUAAAGGUGACAAGUGUCACCAUUGUAUUGGAAAUAGCUUAAGAGUUACUAUUCAUUUUUUUUGACUUUUGACCCAUUUGAGUUAAAUAUCUUCAAAAAUCACUAAAAAUGCACCAUUUCUUACCCUUGGAUGGCCGGCCCUCUUAGCUCAAGAAGGAAGAAAGUUCUUCAACAUUUCAAGCUUCCAACUAGCUUAAUCUUCCAAAAUCAAUCACAUAAAUUAGUUUUUACUCCAUACAAUCUUGCCUUUUUGUGUUAGUGGGGAGUUUGGUGAAGUUUUUGGAAGAGCUAAGGUGGUCUAUAACUCCUUUUCUCUUGUUUCCUAGGUAAGUGAUGGUUGAACAUCCUACACACCUAAUGAUGCUUAAGUGAUGCUUAAUAGUAGCUAAAGUGAUGGAUUAUGUGAAUUAAUUCUUGAUUUGAAGUGAUUUGGUGAAGUUUUUAUAUUUAUGAGGAAUUUUCUGGUUUAAUAUGAAUGAGAUGUUGUGGUCAUCUAUGAUGGCUGUUAAUGAGUGGAAAUGACUCAUGUGGGUGUGAAUUGGUGAUGAUAGCAACCAAUUUUGGGUUUGGAAGAAAUUCUGGAAAAUUAGGGUUCUUGAAGCUACAUUCUGUCCGAAAUUUUAGGUCAUAGAUAGAGGCCAAAAUUGGACUUUACUCAAACAUGAAAGUUGUAGGGAAUGACAUUUUAGAGGUGCCUACAAAAUUUCAGGUCAUUUAGAUUAGUGUAGAGUGAGAUAUGUCAUUUUUUCUGUUGCUGUUCUGGGUGAUCAGAAUGUGCGAACUGUGAUUGUAAUCGUCUGUUUUGACUGGAAUUGCUUUGGAUUUGGAUGUUGGUGUCUUCUGAUGAAAUGUAUCUUGAUGUCUUAGCUAUCAUAUUUUGGAAUCAAUGCAUUUGGACCUGUGUACACUGAGUUGGAUGAUUACAGCAUUGUGUGAUUUGGGAACCUGCAAUUACGGUUCUGGGUUGGUUUCUGCCUUUUUGACCUAGUUGUGUUAGGAUUUGGACUGAGUGACCUUCUACAUUGUUGUAACCCUGGUCUUAGCUUCAAAAUGGUGGUCUUGACCUCCAUCCGAUAAUCAUAGCCUUUGUGGCAUUACCGCAAAAGACGUCAAAACUGUUUUUCUGUUUUGAGCUUAACUUUCAUUUCCGACUUUUCCCUAGUUGACUUGUACUAGUACUACUUGGAGCUUGCUGAAUGGCUAUUGGAUGAACUUGUUGUUGUGUGUGUACCUUUGGGACUGGAUGAGGAAAUAAUGAAGCCAUGAUGGCUGGAAAAGUUAGCAAAUUCAGGGGAAGUGCUUGUCCGAACUUUGAAGGGAUUUGUUUGCAUUGAGUUUGUGAUCUUAAGACUUGGAUUUGAGUAAGGCAAUGAUACAUGAUGGAGGUUUCGGAGCCGUGGAGGUGAGUGACCUAAACUAUUUCCAAAGUACUUGUGAAAUGUUUCUUGCAUUAUGUAUCGAUUGCAUAUCAUGCGUGCUUGCAUGUGAAUUCAUGACAUGAUUUGGCUUCAAUGAGUUCUGGGAAAGUCUUGUGCUGGACACCAACGUCUCCACCUGUUAUGGUUCAUGUUCAUGUUAUCUGGAGCACCGAAGGGGCUCCCACUUAAUGUUAAUGUUAAUGUUAAAUGAAAUAUUUGAGCGUUGGGUGUUCAAGUGCUAUGAUUUCCCUGACUCACGAGAGCACUAAACGAACAUUUGAUCUCUGAAUCAUGACAUCAUCGAAAUGAUCGAAAUGCAACAUUGUGAAAUAUAUUUGUUUAAUGAUUUUACUGGUUACUCGCUGAGCUUCUAGCUCACCCCAAAAAUAUUUUAUUCCCCUCCACAGGGCUCAAGGCGAAGGAAGGACUUGUAGUGCUUGUGCACGUGAUUGGAUGGCCUAUGUUUUGUACAGUUUUGAUUUGGAAUCAUUUUAUGUAUAGUUAGGAAUUGUUUCCGCUGCAUUUGUGACAUGUAAUUAUUGGAGACUUGGAUGUAUAUUUGUGGACCAUGUGAUGUAUAUUUGAGGUUUAUUCUUGUAAUUCAUUUGAGGACUUUAGUGAACGACUGAGUCCCGGCGAGAGCCGGGCGGCCCGCCGAACCCUCUGGUUCGCCUUAGGGGGAGGUGGGGCUGUCACAUUGGUCACCUUAACUUUCCAAAUAACUUCACACAACAACUCACAAACACUACUUGUAGGUGUUUUAUGGAGGAAAAUCAAGGUUGGAUGGUUGGUUUUGAGGAUUUGGAACAAGAUUGAAGCUAAAAUCUUGAAGAGCUUUCUUUCUUUUGUUGCUCAAGAAGCUCGGCUACCAUGGAGGAUAUUUUGAUGAUUUUUGGGUCAUUUCUGGUUUAUUUAAGUUAAAUGGAAAGAAUAGGAAUAGUGGUCUUACUUCAAGACCAAUCCAAUGGUGACACUCGUCACCUUUAAUUAACUAUCUACCUAACUUGUCUCUCUCAUAUCAAUCCAAAUUGCAACCUCUACUUAUCUCUUAACACCCGAUAAAUUAAUUCCAGUAUCCAAAACUUAACCUAGUUGGCCGAAUUUUUUCUGAACUUUUCGCACUAGUGGGUCCCACGUCCAGUAUACGCUCUUAAUUUCUCAAAACCUAUUCGAUACUAGAAAAAUCAUAUAAAAAUUAUAUCUGCUCCUUAAAUUCAUCUAGAAAUUUUCUAAUCACGAAAAUGCAGAAAACAAGCCACGGAAAAUAAAUAAACCUAGAAAAUGGGAAAAAUACGGGUUCUCACAUAAUAAAAUUAAAUAACACAACUAACACUCACGAACACAAGUCCCAGUUCAUUUCACUAGUUCACCACUUAAACCCGCUAUUUCACCCUUUUUGCAAAAAUAAAGCAUACGCGUCACGCGAAGCACUUUUAAUGAAAUCUUCAUGCUUAAUUGAUAAAAGUAAAUGGUAUGCUAUUGUAGAUGAUUUAAAGUGAUAAAAAUGGAUAAUUUAAAUAAAUGAUUAAAUAUUCAAAUAAAUAGAUAAUUAAAUAAAAUGUUUAAAAAUUACAGGUCCUUACAUAAGUCCAGCCCGUCUUAGUCACACGCCCAUGCUCGUACUCUCUGUAAGGAAAACAAGGCUAAUGGAAUGAGUCAGAGCUCAGUGACGUUCAUAAUAAGACAUGCAAACAAAGUAUCAAUCACAAAGCAAGUAAUAAAGCGAUAACUAAACAAAUCAAUAUUAGGUAAGCAGGAACAAGUAGCAAACCUUAUGCAACUAGAAAUCAUGUACAAAGUACAUACAGGUUCCUUUUUGUUUUUAGAAAGAAAAUGAUAAAAUUCUUUAAGUUUAAAACUUGACUUAUGCAACUAGAAAUCAUGCUUAAAAUAGCCAUUAGUUUCUCCUUGUAAAAUAUAUAGUUUUUUGGCAAAAUUUCAGCUUACGUAUCACUACCAUGGGAAACUCAAGCAACCCUAAGCAAACCAAGUCCGAAUCAACCAAAAUCACCCUUCUACUCUCGCUUCUACUUGCUUAUACUACAAAAAAAAAAAAACGGGCAGAAUCUCCCUUAUUUUCCUUCAAUUUUCCUCCAAUUUUCAAAGCUACACUUCAUGGCAACACAACCCUAAACAAGUCCACAAGUUAUAGAAUAGAAAGGGUUUUUAUUCUAGGCCACAAAACUAACUAAAUUAGGCAUAUACUUAACAUAUAUUCAUCAUAUACUCAAGCUGGAAAAUUAAACCCUGGCUGGAAAUUUACCAAUAAAAGCUAGAAAUCCCUUAAGUGAAGCAAAAAAUGCAUAUACAAGCUAGAAAAUUCUCCUGGCAAGACUAAAGUUUCAUAGCAAAGUUAGAAAUAAUAUUUCAAAGCUGGAAAUUCCAAUAAAAGCUGGAAAUAACAAACUAUUAUACAAAACUACAAAAUCUUCCAUAAAUCCUACUACAAACAAGCUAUAAUCUCAUUCAAAUGCAAGAUUAAAGAGAAAGGGUAGUUCCUUGCCAAGAGUACCUUCAAACCUUAAGGUGAAUAGCAAACCACAGCUUUCUUUUCCCCAAAAUCACUCCACACCAACCUCCUUCCUUCCUUGUUGCAACCUCUUAUGGAUUGAUUUAGGGUGUUUGUAAGGCCCAAAGACAACCUAAGAGGGGGGGUGAAUUAGGUUGAUUAAAACCUUAAUCAAAUUUAUGCAAUUUUUUGCUUAAUAAAAAUUUACCUUCUUUUCUUGUAAUGAUCAAUCAAGUAGAUUAGAAGAAGAGAGCAAUAUUGAUUCGAAAAACAAGUAUAGAUAAGCAAUGAGAAUUUUAUUAAACAAAAAAGAAUAAGAUAGAAUAUCAAACCGAUUGUCUACCAAGCUUUCCUCAAACUUGAAGACCAAUCACUAGGUUGAGCAACUUCUCUUUGAUGAAAGAUGAUCAACUAGAUGUACAAUGGAGGGAGCACUUCCUCCUUGCCCUAAGCCACACUUAGUCAAGCUAAGAAGUUUUACAAUCACUCAGAUAACCCUCAACAAAGCUACACUAAAGAAACUUUCAACCACAAAAGAAAUGCUCACAAGAAAUUCACACCACUUGGAGAACAAAUCUAGCUUUGGAGACUAUUUUCUAGCUAAAAUAUCUCUUCAGAUCUUGUAAACAAAGUGUGCAAAAGUCCUUGUCUUGUUCAGAGUCGUUUGUAUUUGAAGGGGACCUAAAAUGGGCUUCAUUAAUGCUUCCAACGGAUAGAAGGCAGAUGAAGAGUCAGCUAGCCGUUGGGGAUGUCGGACGUUGUAACAGCCCCACCUUCCCCUAAGGCGAACCAAAGGGGUUAGCGGACUGCCUGCCCAGCUCUCGCCAGGACUACGGAUCCAUUUACGUCAAUCUAAUACGUUCCGAAACUUACCAAUGCGCUCAACCAAGUCAAAAUGGCAACAUAACCCAAAAUAAGAAAAUGAAAUCCGGAGUCAGCCAUGAUAGUAACCGACCCGUCAGAACCCAACCGAAAGAGCACGCAAACAUUCACAUUGAACUUUAGCGAUUACAAUCCAAAAUGACAUACAAAAGUUUUCAAAAGUUAAUACAUAUACACGGUUUGCCAAAUCAAAAGAGAAAACGCCCCAAAAGUACACUUAGGGUUUUACUACAUGAGCUAUACAAAAGAUAUGUUCAACUAGCUCAAUUUGGCAGCCAUUUGUCAAAUCCAACCAAAAGGGUUUAUUUUCCUGUAAGGAAAACAAAAGGGAACAGAAAGGGGUGAGCUUGCGCUCAAUGAGGUACCAAAUAGAUAGCAAUAAAAUCAUGGCAUUUCACGUUUAGCAAAUCAAGUACACAUGCCAGAUGUAAAGCAAAGGAACCAAUGAUUCAAUUCAGAAGGAUACGGGUGGCUCUCAGGAGCCAAAUUUCCAGCGCAGUACUUGAUCCAAACCGGUUGACUCUCCGUCAACGUAUAUAGAACCAACGCGUCCGUAGACCCUCUUUACACCGAAUUCCGUCCACCAAACACCCCUUUACCGGGCCCGCUCACCGUAACAGAACAGAAAUGGUAAUACUCGAGUAUACCCGGAAUCAAGGGUCUCAAUACCCAAAGAUCCCAAAACAGACUACCGUGGUUCGUUAUCUAAUCGUCCAGGCCCUUGCCGGCCCGACUCGAAUAACUUAGCCACAGGAUUUGAGCUCAUAGGUCACAGAAAGGUCGUUGGACUCAAGCUUCCAAACGACGUCAGAACAGAUACAGAUCCAGAUACAGAUAACAGAUACAGAUACAGAUACAGAUAGCAGAUUCAGAUACGCGUUCAAAAUUGGCAUAUGAACAGACCAGAGAACGAGUGUGAUAAAGUACACCCUCGCCUCCAUUUUAUCAAAACAGUAUUUGGCUUCAAUAGUCAUAAAUCAAGUAUUCAGAUAGUCAGAUAUUUCACAUAACGGGUAGCAGGUAGUGGAACACUCACCGGUUCAACUUCAAAAGUUUUCACUUCAGAUUGGCCUUAAUCGCCAAGAAACCCUAAAAUAAUCAAAAUAAACCAAUUGAAGGUUUGACUUCCAGAAUCGAGUAAACAGAAUGCACAUGUGAGGCUCGACUACUAGUCGUAUGCCUCGCCAAAUAAUUACUAAUGCAAGGGUGCAAAAUAUGAUUUUUGGGAACAAAAAGGUAACAUGAAGACCUAGGUUCAACAACCCAAAAGCCCUUCAUUUCUACCAAAAGGCAAAUCCAACUUAAAGGAACCAAACAGCCUAGAAAAUCGGGCAGCACUUCCCCUAAAAUUCUUACUUUUCCAGCCAUUAAGGCUUCAUUAUUUCCUCGAAUCAGUCCCAACAUCUCACACAAAAUUCACCUCAUUUCCAAAAGCCAUUCACUAGGCUCAAAGUAAAAGUUAACUAAGACAUGACCGGAAUAAGAGUAAGCCUUAAAACAUGCAAACAAGUACAAUGAGACUCGAUAACUAAUCAUAAAUCAGUGCCAAAUAUGACUCCAAUAGGGUUCCAUAAUGUGACGCCCCGAAAAGUAUGAGUGUGAGAACCCGAAAAUUUUCCAAUUUUCUACGGUUUAUUUUUUUUUAAAACGCCCGCCUUAUCUACAUUUUCUUGAUUGGAAAAUUCCCCAGGUAAAGUUUAUGAGCAAAAAUAGUUUUAAAAUGAUUUUUCUAGUAUCGGUUAGUUUUUGAGUAAUUAAAAGCGUAUUUUGGACGUGGGACCCGCAAGUGCGGUAAAUGCAUUAUAUUUUUGACAACUUGUUGGAAUUUUGUAUUAAGUGAUAUUAGUUUACAAUGUGUUAAGGUAUUUGUAUUGGAGAGACAAAAAGAUAAGUUUUAAACCUAAAGGUGACAAGUGUCACCAUUGUAUUGGAAAUAGCUUAUGACUUACUAUUCAUUUUCUUGACUUUUGACCAAUUGCUUAAAUAUCUCAAAAAUCACACAAAAUUCAUUCUUGUCUUCAACCUCUUGGCUGAUUCUCUCUCUAGCAAAGAAGGAAGAAAAACCUCUUCAAAGUUUGGCAAUUAUCUAGCUCAAAUCCUCCAAAACACUUGCUUGAUCUAGUUUCUACUCCAUAAAAUCCCUCCAUUUGGUGCUAGUGAGUGAUUUGGUGAAGUUUUUUGGAAAAGCUAAGGUGUCCUACAACUCUCCCUCUCUUGUUUACUAGGUGAGUGGUAUAUGAACUUUCCCCUACACUUAAUGAAGCUUGAGUUGUGCUUAGUGGAAGCUAAAGUGUUGAAAUUUGUGGUUUAUUUCUUGUUUUUGGAUGAUUUGAUGAAGUUUUCAAUUUAAUGGUGAUUUUUCUGGUUUAAUUGAUCAUGAUGUUGUGGCCUUAUAUGAUGAUUGGCAAUGGCCUAUAAUGACUCUAGUAGGUGUGAAUGAUAGGUAAUUGCAAUCAAUUUCUGUUUUGGAAGAAAUCUGGAAAAUUAGGGUUCUUUGGUUCUUCAUUCUGUCCGAAAUUUUAGGUCCUAGAUAGAGGCCGAAUUGGCCUUAGCUCAAAACAUGAAAGUUGUAGGGAAUGACAUUUUAGAGCUGCCUACAAAAUUUCAGGUCAUUUGGAGUAGUGUAGAGUGAGAUAUGUCGAUUUUACUGUUGCUGUUCUGGGUGAUCAGAAUGUGCGAACUGCGAUUGUAAUCGUCUGUUUUGACUGGAAUUUCUUUGGAUUUGGAUGUUGGUGUCUUCUGAUGAAAUGUAGCUUGAUGUCUUAGCUACCGCAUACCUUUGGAAUCACUGCAUUCGGACCUGUAUAGACUGAGUUGUACUGAUUACAGCAUUAUGUGAUUUGGGAACCUGCAAUUACGGUUCUGGGUUGGUAUUCUGCAUAUUUGACCUAGUUGUACUAGGAUUUGGACUGAGUGACCUUCUACAAUAUUGUAGCCCUGUCUCUUAGCUUCGAAACGGUGAGUCUUCCACCUUCAUCCGACAAUCGUAGCGCCUUUGGUACCAUUACCGCAAAAUGACGUCAAAACUGUUUUUCUGGUUUUGAGCUUAACUUUCAUUUCCGAACUUUUCCCUAGUUUGACUUGUACUAGUACUACUUGGAGCUUGCUGAAUGGCUAUUGGAUGAACUUGUUGUUGUGUGUGUACCUUUGGGACUGGAUGAGGAAAUAAUGAAGCCAUGAUGGCUGGAAAGUUAGCAAAUUCAGGGGAAGUGCUGUCCGAACUUUGAAGGGACUUGUUUGCAUUGAGUUUGUGAUCUAAGACUUGGGUUUGAGUAAGGCAAUGAUACAUGAUGGAUGGUUUCGGAGCCGUGGAGGUGAGUGACCCUAAACUAUUUCCAAAGUUAUUUGUGAAAUGUUUCUUGCAUUAUUUAUUCGAUUGCAUCUCAUGCGUGCUUGCAUGUGAAUUCAUGAUAUGAUUUUGGCUUCAAUGAGUUCUGGGAAAGUCUUGUGCUGGACACCAACGUCUCCAUUCUGUUUGUGGUUCAUGUUCAUGGUUAUCUGGAGCUCAAAAAGGGGCUUCCUCUCUCUGUUCGUGUGUUAUGAUCUAUUUGAGCGUUGGGUGUUCUAGUGCAAUGAUUUCACUGGCUCACGAGAGCACUAAACGGACAUUUGAUCUCUGAAUCAUGACAUCAUCGAAAUCAUCGAAAUGCAACAUUGUGAAAUAUAUUUGCUUAAUGAUUUUGCUGGUUACUCGCUGAGCUUCUAGCUCACCCCAAAAAUAUUUUAUUCCCCUCCACAGGGCUCAUGGCGAAGGAAGGACUUAUAGUACUUGUGCACGUGAUUGGAUGGCCUAUGUUUUGUACAGUUUUGAUUUGGAAUCAUUUUAUGUAUAGUUGGGAAUUGUUUCCGCUGCAUUUGUGACAUGUAAUUUUUGGAGACUUGGAUGUAUAUUUGUGGACCAUGUGCUGUAUCUUUGAGAUUUGUAUUGUAAUUCAUUUGAGGAUUGUAGUGAACGACUGAGUCCCGGCGAGAGUUGGGCAGGCGGCCCGCCGAACCCUCUGGUUCGCCUUAGGGGGAGGUGGGGCUGUCACACAUAAGCAUAUAUAAUCAUUAGAGAAAACCAGAAAUUCAGAAAUGCAAUUAGCUUUGGCCCUGAAAAAAAAACAGUUUUUGACUUCUUUUUGCGGUAAUGGCACCAAAUGCCCUAGAAUUAUCGGAUGAAGGUGUAAGACCCACCAUCUCGAAGCUAAAAGACAGGGAUACAACAUUACAGAAGGUCACUCAACCCAGUUUUGAGUUCAAACAGGUCAAAAAUGCAAGAUACUAUAUCAAAAACGUAAAACAGAUUCACCAAAACGCAUUCUAGCGGAAACAUCAUAAAUCAGGCUCUCCAAGUCCAAAUCCAGAAAUUCCAAAACCAGAUGAAAGUUAAGAAACAGGGAUAAAUUUCAUAAGAAGGCCUCAACAACCAAUUCGGAAGCAUUCCAGACCAAAACAACCAAUUACAGUCGCAAUUCCCAACUUCGGGUAAAACCAGAACAGCAAUAGUAAUUUCGACUUAUCUCACUCUACACUACUCCGAUUGACCUGAAAUUUUGUAGGCACCUCUAAAAUGUCAUUCCCUACAACUUUUAUGUUUUAAUCCAAGGCCAAUUCGGCCUCUAACUAGGACCUAAAAUUUCGGACAGAAUGAAGAACAAGGAACCCUAGUUUUUUCAUUUUUCUCCAAAACAGAAAUUUCUUGCAAUUAAUCACUUUUUCCACUCCUAGCUUCCUCAAAUAUCAUUUCAAACAUCAUACAUAACCACAUUAAUAAUAUCAUAUGAAAACAGAAAAAUCCUAAUUAAAUAGAAAGUGUCAUCAAUCUCAACCAAAAUCAUGAAAUAACACCAAAGAUCAUCACUUUAACUCACUUAGGUUGCUCAUUAAGCAUUAUUGGAAAGAGAAAAGGAGUUUCUUCACUACUCACCUUGAUACCCAAAGGAAUGGAGCAACCUUGCACUUAAAUCUUCCAAAUUACUUCACAAAACAACUCACUAUCACUCCCUUAAGGGUUUCUAUGGAACAAAAACAAGAUUAAACGGUUGAUUGGUUGAAUUUGAGCAAGAUUGAAGCAAGAGUUUGGAGAGUUUUCUUUCCCUUUUGUUGCUUGAAGAGAAUCGGCCAAGGAGAGAAGAAAAUAAGGAAAUUUUUGGUCAAUUUUGAUAUUAAUUUGGUAAAGACAUGAAUAGUGGUCAUACAAGUCAAUCCAACCAAAUGGUGACACUUGUCACAUAAUUAAUGAAUCUCUAUCUCUUUGUUCCCUCGCACACCAAUCCAAAUAACAUCCUCUACUUAUCCCUUAACACCUGGUAAAUUAAAUCCAGUAUCCAAAACUUAACCUAGUUGGCCGAAAAUUGCCGAACUUUUCGCACUAGUGGGUCCCACGUCCGGUAUUCACUCUUAAUUUCUCAAAACCUAGUCAAUACAAGAAAAUCAUCUAAAAAUUAUAUUUACUCAUAAAAUUCACCAGAAAAAUUUCCUAAACCAGAAAAUGCAGAAAACAUGCCAUUAAAGGGGAUAAACCCUAGGAAAAUUAUUAAGAGGAAUUUACGGGUUCUCACAGACGUCCUACAGCUUAGUCAUCGUGUGACGACCCCACUUCUCCCAAGGGCGAACCCAAGGGUAUCGGCGGGCCGCCUGCCUAGCUCGUGCCAGGACUCAAAACUUAAAACAAUAAAAGCCAGAAAAUCCAAAAGAGUACUAUACAUACUAUAUACAAUCCCAAAAGAGUUAUAAUUACAUUCUCCAAAAGUGUCUGCUCACACUAUUACAUCCUUAUCAUUAUAACCAAAACCAAAAUGUAUACCCUAAGGAGGGUCCUUAUACAAACCACCACAACAAAAACAAACAUCCUAAUUGUUCAACUAUUACAAGCAAAGCUAACUAUACUAGUGUAUGUGCCAAAAGUCCCCGCGUCGGCCCCUGCUAAGGAAAACAAAAGGAAAGGGGUAAGCUAUAUGCUUAGUAAGUAAACAGGGGCAAAAGCGUAAAUUUCACGUAAAAACAGUUACAUAGUAAGAGUAAAGCAAAAGCAGAAAAUUAACAUCACAUAAUAAGGAUACAUGUGGCUCCAAAGCCAGAUCGUUUGCCAUGAGUGACCUCCUGCCGACACUCCGUCGACCUCAAAUAAUGGUCCGUAGAACUUCACUUGUACACCCACCGUACACCUUAUCACCCUCUCUGGCCAGGCACCUCACAAACUUGCUCGAGCGAACAAAAUUGAGCUUGGUUCACAAGCUCGGGUCACAAACUUGGUCCACAUAAUCGGUGAACCGGAUUCACAAACUUGGUGACCUCAAACCAGGUUGGACUAACUUCGACCAAGCCCUAACCGGCUCGAAUAGUCCAUCUAGGUCAUGAGAUCGGGCCCAAACUCACAAACUUCACAAAAUCGGGCCGGUCUCUUUCCCACUUUGCUCUAAUUACGUUUCACCAUGAUCGGGCCGGUCGCUCAAAUUGAAAUACUGCAAAGUUCACUUGCCUCUGCUCAGUGUAGUUUAGGGCUGUGAAGAUAUUAACCAUGGUUUCUAUCCAUUGUUCAGCCACGUCCGAAUCGGGCCCUCUAAGGAAUUUUGGCGGAGCAAAUUUUUGGAACCUUUCAAGAGCCUUAUCCUCGCCCAUCUCAGGGUUCCGAUUUUGGUUUACGGGUAUUUGGCCUUGUUGAUCCACCAGUCUUGCCAAGAUAUCUGUCAUUUGUUGCAUUGCCGUUGCCAUUUGGUCUCCAGUCGCAGCUCUUGAUCCCUGCCCUUGCUCGGCUGACGUUUCCCUUUCUCCUCUUGAUUCCGGGGUCCGCUCAGUUCCCCAGCCUCGACCACGUCCACGACUACGUCUCCCGUCCAUAGAUAUGUUUUUCGCUUUCUCUUUUCUUUUCUUUUCCCCAAAAGGUAUUUUAGUGAAUAAACACAGUAAAUUAACUAAGCAUCAAUUCCAGCAUACCAAAUACACAAGUAAACAUAUACGCACAUAACACGCCAUAUCAAGGAGGCAGAUAAUCAAAUACACAAAUACAUAUCACAAAUACAUAUCAAGUUUGACAGAUAAUCAUAUACACUAAUUCACAUGCUAACGUCAUGUAGUAGCCAUAUAUGGGUGCAUCAAAAGAAAAGGGAUACGUUGUCCCACACCCUGUUAACCCCGUCCGGUCUCUCACAUCACUUUCUAUCCAACUAGAUGUCCAUUGACCUCUUGAAAUCAUUCUAGCCAGACCAAGCCUGUUCAUUUCCCAAAAUGCGAAUCUCAAAUACUGAGCAUCGCCUCAACGCUAGAGUACUCGGGCACGAGAAUCCGAAAUAAGACAAUUCACAUCUCGAGCUGGCCAGUCCCAAGAGUAAACUAUCUACAAUCGAAAUUCCAACCCGACAUACCUAUCUAUGGUCCUCAGAUACCAUGAGAGAGAUUUAAGACCUAUAACAUUCACAAUUCAUAGCUUAUGCUCAAAUGAGCACUUAGUCCUUUAUACUCAUUCACCACUUAGUCCAGGCUCACUCCGCGCAGAGACCACGCGAAGCAGGCUCUGAUACCAACUGUGACAGCCCCACCUCCCCCUAAGGCGAACCAAAGGGUUCGGCGGGCCGCCUGCCCAGCUCUCGCCGGGACUCAGUCGUUCACUCACACAAAUCAGAAAUAGAACCAGAAGAAAGAGCAAAACGAGGAUCCAAAACUUAAAACAAAGCUUAUAUACAUUGCUAUCUCAGAAAGAAGUACAACCGUCGAGAAUACAAAAGUUCUCAAGUCACCAUACAACCAGCCCGUGCCAAGCACUAGGGCGAGAACCAAAACAAAACCAAAACUAGACCCAGCUAGUCGAUAUAGAGCUCUCGCCCUUGCUCGCCUUCCCCUGUUAAGGAAAACAAAACUAAAGGGAUGAGCUAAAAGCUCAGUGAGGUUCCGAACAUAGAAUCAAGCCAUAAAUCAAACAAUAAGUCAAGAAACAUUUACAACAUGUACAAUAAACCAUACAUGAAAAGGAUACGUUCGUUUGUUCAUUCGUUCGUUCGUUCGUUCUCCUGUCAUUCCCCUUUCCUUCACUCAUUUGAAAAUACAUUUUUCGUUUAUACAUAAAACCCUCGUUCCUUCGUUCAUUUCAUUCACCCUCUCCUGGACAUUGGCCAGGCUCCUCCAACCUCCACCAACCUACAGGUAAUACUCGAGUAUACCAAACGUUCACCCAGGUCACCAUAUCGCCCGACCGAGUCCGCUUCUGGCUCGAGUCGAUCGGUAACAAGGAUAGUGGCCAGUUCAGCCAAAAGGCAUACAUUCAUGCACAAGUAGCAUUUCAAUCGUUCAAUCAUUGAAAAGUUCACAAUCAUUUAGGCUGAGUGCGAUAAAGUACACACUCGCCAGAAAACUCAUUUUGGCUAAUCAUUGAAAGCGUUUAACAUGUUAUCAGUCAUAUAUACAAGCCAUAUAAUCAAGAAACAUAACAAAUAAGGAACACUCACCGAAUUAUGCUAAAUAACGUCCAAAAUGUCCUAUUUGAUUUUACCCUCGAUCACCGAGAAAACCUAUGAUUCAACGAGAAAGAAUAUUACAAUUCAUCUAGCAAAACAAGUAAGUGGAAUCAAGUAACUCGACUAGUUACGAGUAAAACGGAUAAAAGUGACUUUAAAGUGAAAAACAACCAUGUGGAUCUGUGGACGGAAAUAACUAUGGUGUCAUAAACCAAACUCAAAGGGUUAUAACAGUUCCAAUGGAAAACACUUGAAUUAAAGUCAAGUCGGAAUCCAACUAGAUAGGCUCAGAAAUAUUAUUUUUCGGAAUCGUGUAUGUGGUUCAAAAUCGAUAUACAUUCAAGUAGGUAUUAUGGCCUACACGUCUUGACUGAGAAAACCUUAGGUCAUACCUCGACAUUUUGGUAUGAAGUAGUAAAUAAACAUUUUAAGGUUCAAAUGGAAAAGGUAUCAUGUUUUAAGAUGGAAAACGGGCAUAGUAUUUGCCAAACGAAAAAUAGACAAGUUGAAAUAGAAACUUAGCCCUCGAGCGAAAAUUUGGGCAGCACGCCCUUUGUAUUUUCCUAUUUCCAGUCGUUUAUGGCUUCAUUAUUUUUCUCAUCCAGUCCCAAAGUCAUACACAAAAUAAGUUCAUUCAAUAGCCGUUCAGUAAGCUCCAAGUAGUACAAGUACAAUUCAAGAAGGUAUACUUGAAUAUUAUUGCUUCCCUAUUUAUUUACUUCAGUCGAAUCAAUACGUGUUAAUUGUUUUAUUUGAUUGCAUGAUUUUGGGGCACCACUGAGCUUUAGCUCACCCCACGUUUAUUUGUUUUCCUUGACAGGUCUUGAGGUUUGAGAAAUCUGAGCUGCUUAUAUCUUCUUAAGAAUGUAUCUAAUUCGUUUUGUGACUUGUAACGUAUUUGAAUUAAACGAUAUAGUUUUGUUUUGGGAUUGAAGCGGGAGAUGUGAAAACCCUGAUUAUAAUAUUUGGCUUGUAUGUGUAUAUAUACUCGGGCUGUAUGAAAUUUCAUGUUUUGGAAACUGUCAGACCUUACUUCUUGAAUGUAACGCGUGAGGUGUUUAGGAGCCGCCGAUUGGCUAACUCCGGUUGCUGUUAUCCUUGAAGUUAAUGUGUUUUAGUAUUCAAGCCGCUUUAAAGUUGGCAUGAUUGGAUGGCGGAUUGUGUUUUGGUUUAAGUUAUACGUGGAUAUUUGGUCGGUUUGCUUGCGUGAGUCCUGGCGAGAGCUAGGCAGGCGACCCGCCAACCCUCUGGUUCGCCUUAGGGGGAAGUGGGGUCGUCACAGUACCGGUGCUUCGACGCCUACGCCUGAAGCUAACUUGUGACCUUGUUUACUUACCUUGGUGAGUGUACCAUUAUAUGGUCUACUGCUUCAUUGGUUCAUUAUACUUGCUAUGUGAACUUGAAUGGCUUGAAUGAGAUGAGGGUGUACUUUAUUGCUUUCGAUCUCUUAUCUGUAUUCCUGUUACUGUCAAAGUGUGAAAUUGUCUGCAUGUAUGUUUUCACAUGGCUAAGGGCUUUGCCCGACAACUUAACUGUGCUAUCUGAGCUCAUAUCCCAUUGGUCCUUAAUCGAGUCGAGCCGGCCAGGGCUUGGACGAAUCGAUAAUGGACCUUGGGUUCACUGUAGUCGAGUGGAGUGUUAACUCCUCGACCUUAUGGUAUACUCGAGUAUUACCCUCUCUGUUACUGUGAGGUGUUCAGGCCCGGUAAGGGGGUGACCGGUGGAAGGGAUAUGGAGUAAAGUGGGGUUCUACGGAAUGUUCUUCGCUUUAAAGGUUGACGGAGUGUCAACGGGUUGGUGAUCAAGUGCGGCAAGUGGAAAGUGGCUCUUGAGAGCCAAUUGUGUCCUUUUAUAUUGACUUGUUGUGUUUAUGAGCUUUGGGGUCACUAUGUGAUAACAUGUGGUUACUGGUGUGUCUUGUUGGUACCUCACGAGCGUAAGCUCACCCUCGUUACUUUGUUUUCCUUACAGGGAAUAAACUUUUGAGCUCUAUGAUGUGGUGAAGCCGAGUUGAGCUAGUUUCCAUAUUUUUUUUUGUAUAACUCCUCGAUAGUUGGGAAAUCCAUACAUGUACUUGGAUCCAACAUUUCUUUUGGAAUGUAAAUUUGUAAUUAUGCGUGUAUAAAAGUGUUUGGUAAUGUUCAUGUACAGCCCCAUUUUUUUUUCCAUUUUCGUUUCGUGACUUUGAUUUAUUUGAGCGCGCUAAAAUAUUCUGGAACGUUUUAGAUUAUGUUUAAUCGUCUUUGUAGUCCUGGCGAGAGUUGGGCAGGCAGUCCGCUAACCCCUUUGGUACGCCCUAGGGGAAAGUGGGGCUGCCACAGGUGGUAUUAGAGCCUAGGUUAGAAAUAACUUAGGCGAACCCGAAACUUGAAUCUUAGCACUUUUGGAGAUUUUGAUAGGCUAUGUUUAAGUAUGAUCACUUUGUCUAAGUUGUAAUCUGUGGCUAUCCUUAUAGGUCAUGGACGGAGCUAGUGGGAGAGGAGGUGGGCCGCCUCGGAGGCAUUUUCGUGUUGUCGACUACGAGGAGAGGCCCGGAGGACCGAUUCGGUGCUGGAGUACAGCCAGUCCGACUAGGCGCUGUGGUCGUUGCCGGCACUACUCCUACGCUGACCAUGUGGUCGUCGCUGUGUUAGAUGAGAGGAGGAGGCUCAGGCGUGCCGCCGCCAGAGAUCACACUGAGCUGCAGCGUGUGAGGGGUAUCAUGAGGAUGCAGGAGGAUCGCAUUCGAGAGCUCCAGGGGGACAUAGCCAUGGAGCAGGAGAGGACAAACGCUCUGAGGGAGCAGUUACUGGUAGCCAACGGCUAUCUCACUAGGGUAGUCCGGGAGGUUCGAGACCGGUCCGGUGGCAUUAUUAACGAGUGUGAGGCGCUAAUCCAGGGAGUGAUUGGCGCCAAUGUGCCAGGAGCAGUUCCGGGUGACGGAGCACCAGGCGAGGGAGGCGCCCCUAGUUCUAGCUCUGGGGAGGAGUCGGUUGGCUCCGUUGAGAACUAGGCUAGAGUGCUUUGGACUAUGUUUUGAUCCCAUGUGAGGGAUGCCUAGGGAAAGUUUUUGGUUUGUUGUGUUGUACUUUUGGGACCUAGUUCGUAUAGUGUAUUUUGGAAGACCCUCUUUUGGCUUCAUGGAAGUACUUUUGUACAUAUUUGCUUGACUGCUCAUGUAUGACUGUUUGACACAGUUUUGUGUUCUAUGUAUAACUGCUCUAUGUGUAUACAUGCCUUAUGUGGUGUUUAUUUUGGUUCUUUGUUCAUGCUUAUAUGACUAUGUUUGUAUGCACUUUUAAUAUUAUCUUUGUGCCUCGACCUUAGAUUGACUUAGAUCGAUGGAAGGCACGCGUAGUGGCCGAGGCCGGGGACGUGGGGGUAGACAGCCCACAAUUGAACGGGGUACGGGGACCGCUAUGCCCGAACUAAAUCCUAAACCCCAAAUUGAUCCCAACAUUCAGGUAGCCGCUGCUAUCCAGCGGAUGACUGAUCUCUUAGCCCAGGUGUUGCAACAACAGGGCCCCAACCCUGUUCCACCAGUUGGUAACCCUGGAAACCCUAGAAAUCACGUCGAGAGCGAGGAUCGAGCUCUCGAACGGUUUCAAAAAUUCUCUCCACCAAAGUUUCUUGGAGGGCCCGAUCCGAACGUGGCUGAACAGUGGUUAGAAAAGAUGAUAGAUAUUUUUGCCGCUUUACAUUACUCGGAGGAGAGGCAGGUUACUUUUGCGGUCUUUCAAUUAGAAGGGGCCGCUCGCUCUUGGUGGAAUAUUAUUUGGACGAAAUGGGAGCGAGAACAGACACCAAGAACGUGGGUGAACUUCGUAAGGGAGUUCAAUGCCAAGUACUUUCCACCAUUGGUCCAGGAGAAAAAGGAAGACGAGUUCAUCAGACUCCGCCAAGGCACCCAAUCUGUGGCUGAAUACGAGAGCCAGUUUACCCGCUUGUCUAAAUUCGCUCCUGAACUCAUCCUAACUGAACAAAGGAGGGUGAGACGUUUCCUUCUGGGGCUUAACGUUCAAAUUCAAAAGGACUUAGCCGUGGCCCAAAUUACCACCUUUAGUGAUGCAGUUGAGAAAGCCUUACGAUCUGAGAAUGCCAGGCUUCAAGUGAGGAACUUUCAAAAUAGAAAACGUGGAGCUUCUGGGAGUAGGGUGAGAACCAAAACAAAACCAAAACUAGACCCAGCCAGUCGGUACAGAGCUCUAGCCCUUGCUUGCCUUCCCCUGUUAAGGAAAACAAAACUAAAGGGAUGAGUUAAAAGCUCAGUGAGGUUCCGAACAUAGAAUCAAGCCAUAAAUCAAACAAUAAGUCAAGAAACAUUUACAACAUUUACAAUAGUCACACAUGAAAAUGAUACGUUCGUUCAUUCGUUCGUUCUCCUGUCAUUCCCCUUAUUCCUUCAUUCGUUUGAAAAUGCAUUAUUCAUUUAUCAAUAAAACCCUCGUUCGUUCAUUUGUUCGUUCAUUUCAUUCAACCCUUCCUGGGCAUUGGCCAGGCUCCACCAACCUCCACCAACCUAUAAGGUAAUACUCGAGUAUACCAAACGUUCACCCAGGUCACCAAAUCGCCCGACCGAGUCCGCUUCUGGCUCGAGUCGAUCGGUAACAAGGGGCAGUGGCCAGUUCAGCCAAAAGGCUUACAUUCAUGCACAAGUAGCAUUUCAAUCGUUCAAUCAUUGAAAAUUUCACAAUCAUUUAGGCUGAGUGCGAUAAAGUACACACUCGCCUAGAAAACUCGUUUUGGCCAAUCAUUGAAAGCACUUAACACAUUAUCAAUCAAUAAUAACAAGCCAAUAAGUCAAGGAAAUAUAACAAACAAGGAACACUCACUGAAUUAUGCAAAAUAACGUCCAAAAUGUCCUAUCGGAUCUUACCCUCGGUCACCGAGAAAACCUAUGAUUCAACGAGAAAGAAUAUUACAAUCAUCUAGCAAAACAAGUAAGUGGAAUCAAGGAACUCGACUAGGUCACGACUCCUAGAGUUUUUGGGAUAGUUUUGUUUUUGUAUAUAGGGCGGAUAAGGAAAAGAGCCUUAGCUAAUCGUUUUGUACGUUUGGAUUAGCAACGUGUAUAUUUCUUUUGAUGAGGCCAUUCCCUCGUGGAUUGUCCAUGUUUGUACUUGACUUGACUGGUUGUUAAUGUGUGUGUUGUUUGUCUUGUUUGGAAUGUAUAUAUAUGUUUGUAAAAGUUUUUGGAUUUUACUUCCAUACAUUGUGCUUAUAUUGGUUUAGUACAUUUGCCUAGACCAAGUAGAUUUUAUGGAAGGCACACGUAGUGGACGGGGGCGUGGGCGCGGGAAUAGGCAACCUACGCCAGACCGGGGUGCUGGGGAAACCUCCUCUGGACCAAAUCCUGAACCGAGGGUUGACCCCAAUGUGCAAAUAGCUGCCACUAUGCAGCAAAUGACCAACUUGCUGGCACAAGUGGUGCAGCAACAGGGCCAAAACCCAAACCCUAAUCCUGGAAACCCUGGCAAUCACGUCGAGAGCGAAGACAGAGCUCUUGAACGAUUUCAAAAGUUUGCUCUACCCAAGUUCAUUGGGGGGACCCAAUCCGGAUGUUGCCGAAAGGUGGCUCGAGAAGAUGGUCGAUAUUUUCGCUGCCCUGCACUAUACCGAAGAACGGCAGGUGACUUUUGCCGUUUUCCAGUUGGAAGGGGCGGCCCGUUCCUGGUGGAAUGUCAUUCGGCAAAAAUGGGAACGGGAACAAACGCCCAGGACUUGGGUAAAUUUUAUGAGAGAGUUUAACGCGAAAUUUUUUCCCUCCUCUAGUUCAGGAGAGGAAGGAAUAUGAGUUUAUUCGACUCCGCCAAGGGGCACAGUCUGUCGCGGAGUACGAAAGCCAGUUCACGCGCUUAUCCAAAUUUGCCCCUGAGUUGAUUAUGACGGAGCAACGGCGAAUUAGGCGUUUUAUCCAGGGCCUAAACGUGGAAAUUCAGAAGGACCUCGCAGUGGCUCAAAUCAAUGCUUUUAGCGAAGUCGUGGAAAAGGCCCAACGGGUGGAGAGUGCUAGAUUACAAGUACGAAACUUCCAGGCGAAGAAGCGGGGUUUUCCUGGAAGCAACUCCGGGCAAGGGGAUAAAGGUACCCCCUCCAAGUUGGGACGAGGAGCUGGAGGUGGCCGACAGACGAGUUUCAGCAGAGGGGCUCAGACCAGGGAUGGCUCAACCGGGAGAGGCCCGGGCAGAAACUUCCAGAAGGGUUCAGGUUCGGCGUCCCGUGGGCCUUGUGGGUACUGCGGAAAGGCGAAUCACUCUGAAGAUAAUUGCUGGAAGAAGGGAGGCAAAUGUCUGCGAUGCGGAAGCGCAGACCACCAGCUUGUUACCUGUCCACUCUUAAAGCAAGACGGAAAGGGAACUCAAACCGCGCCAAAGACCAAUACGGGACCGGAUAAGGGGAAUGGGACGAAACCUAAGGUGUCAGCUCGAGUAUAUUCGUUAGAAUCUCGACAGGUCCCAGAUUCCUCAGAGGUCGUAGAAGGUACGAUCCCUAUUUUCCACCGUUUUGCCAAAGUUUUAAUUGAUCCUGGUACCACUCAUUCCUUCGUUAACCCUGAUUUCAUGUGUGGCAUCGAUAUAAAACUUGCUAGUUUACCAUACGACCUAGAAGUUAGCACACCUACGGGGAAUCAACGUUUGGUUACUAGUAUGGUUUAUAGGGAUUGUGAAGUGUGGGUAGGAGAGAAGAGAUUGUUAGGGGACUUGAUAAGCUUGGUCAUUAAGGGGUAUGAUGUGAUAUUGGGUAUGGACUGGGUAGCCAAGUAUAAUGCCCAACUGGAUUGUAAAACAAAAGUGGUAGAAUUCCGCAUUCCUGGUGAGGCGACCUUAAGGUUGGAUAUAAGGGGUAGGUUAGCCUCAUCUGCUUUGAUUUCGGGCAUUCGGGCUAGGAAACUGCUAAGUAGAGGGGCGCAAGGAUUUUUAGCCUUUCUGAUUAAUACCCCCACGGAUAAGUUACAGGUGGAGGACGUGGCCAUAGUAAAGGAAUUUCCGGAUGUAUUGCCUGAUGAGUUAGUAGCUCUGCCUCCGGAAAGAGAGAUUGAAUUCAAAAUAGACCUGCUACCGGGAUCCUCACCUAUCUCAAAAACACCAUAGCGAAUGGCUCCUGCUAAGCUCAAGGAGCUAAAGAUGCAAUUACAGGACCUUCUAGAGCGGGGAUUCAUUCAAGAGAGUGGGUCUCCUUGGGGAGCCCCUGUAUUGUUUGUGAAGAAAAAGGACGGUGGUUUGAGGAUGUGUAUCGAUUAUCGGGGCCUGAAUAAUAUUACGGUGAAAAAUAAGUAUCCACUGCCCCACAUAGAUGAGUUGUUUGACCAGUUGCAGGGAGCGGUGGUCUUCUCGAAACUAGAUCUCCGCCAAGGAUAUUACCAGUUAUUAAUCAGGAAGGAGGAUAUACCGAAAACCGCUUUCAACUCGAGAUAUGGCCAUUACGAGUUUGUAGUUAUGCCCUUUGGAUUAACCAAUGUUCCUGCCGCCUUCAUGGAUUUAAUGCAUAGGGUUUUUAAGCCCUACCUGGAUCGCUAUGUCGUAGUUUUCAUCGACGAUAUUCUAGUCUAUUCCAAGAGGCGUGAAGAGCAUGAGCAACACUUGAGGAUUGUCUUACAAACCCUAAGAGACCAUCAACUGUACGCCAAGUUCAGCAAGUGCGAAUUUUGGCUGGAGAAAAUUGCUUUUCUGGGACACGUAAUUUCUCAAGAGGGUAUUUCAGUUGACCCGGCGAAAGUAGAGGCUGUGACUAAUUGGAAGAGGCCAGAAAAUCCCACCGAGGUCCGUAGCUUUCUAGGACUGGCUGGAUAUUACCGGCGUUUCAUCAAGGACUUUUCCAAACUAGCCGGUCCUCUAACCGACUUGACAAGGAAACAUGGUCGGUUCAUUUGGAAUGCCCGAAGUGAGACAAGUUUUCAAGAGUUAAAGAAAAGAUUGACCAUGGCUCCAGUACUAGUUUUACGUAACGGAGGUGACGGGUUUGUCGUGUAUACCGAUGCGUCGCGAGAAGGUCUAGGAUGUGUGCUGAUGCAAAACCGAAAUGUGAUAUCUUUUGCCUCGAGAAAGUUAAAACCCCACGAGCAGAAUUAUCCAACCCACGAUCUGGAGUUAGCCGCAUUUGUUUUUGCUCUGAAGAAAUGGAGACACUACCUAUAUGGGGUAACCUUUGAGGUUUACUCUGAUCACAAAAGCCUGAGGUACCUCUUCUCACAGAAGGAAUUAAACAUGAGGCAGCGACGAUGGAUGGAAUUUCUGGAGGAUUACGACUGUACCAUCAACUACCAUCCAGGCAAGGCGAACGUAGUGGCCGAUGCUUUGAGUCGCAAGGCGCAAGUAGCAGGGUUAAUGAUUAAAGAGUGGAAUUUACUCGAGUCGGUUUGCGAGUGGAAACCCUACCUUGGGAGUCAUAAAGUGAUUUUUGGUAACAUUACGGUAACCUCCACCCUCUUGGAAAGGAUUAAAGAAGCUCAAAAGGAAGAUGAUAGCAUCAUGGUACGUGGGCAGGCCAACAAUGGCUCGGGUAAUCGAGGAGCUGAGGAUCACGUGCUCGCCCCAAGUGGACCCAUUACUCGGGCUCGCGCAAAGAAACUUCGUGAGCAACUCAAUGUACUUAUUCAGGCCAUACACAAGUCCUUUGAAGGAUUCAUGCAUUCAAGUGAAGGUGGUCGCGGUCCGAUAAUGAGCAUUGAAGCUACACCCGAGGAUUAGGGUUUAGCCAAACCCUAAUUUCCGUUUUAGCAUCAUAGUUAGUUAUUUACACAUUAGUUGAUUAGAUUGAAUAAUUGGCUAAGUGCAUAUCGCACGUAGAAUCGCCAAGGGUAGGAUUGCUAAUUUACUCAUUAUUAUUUGCUAGAGUGGGCUGCCUAGGAAGAAAAGCCCACGUGAGGCCCAACCCGUCGGGGGUUAAGCCUCCUUUAUUAGGGCCCAUAUCCACUGCGCCCUUAGUCCGUUUUCUACUAGAUUAGGUUUUUGUCGCGCCCCACUUUUUGAACGAUGAUUGGUGUGUGUGUGUAGUGUGGUGUGAGUGUGUGUAUGAUAUAAAUGUGAACGUGUGCGAAAUGAAAAGUAAAAGGCCAUGGGACUUAAGAAUGCGACGAUUUGGCCAAGGGAAGUUCAAAAAAGGGUUUUUUAAUGAAAAUAGAGUCGCCACUUGGUAUCGAGUUAGGGUAUACCAAGUCACCCAAAAAUGAUUUUUGUUUUUGAAUGAAAAAGUAAAUAAACCCUUUUAGAGAACUUUUGGGUCUACGUAACCAAAAGAGGGAUCGGGGGUCACAUUUGACGAAGGGGAAGGCAAGGAUAAAAUCCAAGGCACCCCUUCGACCUAGCCAAGGCUAGUUGCGUGACUUAAACCAAUUUUCCCUAAUUUUUCUACCCAAGGUAUGUAUCGCGUGUUUGGAUAUGUCUAUAUGAAUGCAAAAAACCUAGACCUAGGGGGACAUGGGGGAAAUUUCUCUUCAAAGGUUGAGUGGUGCCAAUCACAUUAAUUGUGAAGCCCACUAAUGAUCCUUUGGAGAGGUCACACCUAAACCUAAAUGACGUGAGAAAUGAGUGGAUGAACGCAUGCCAUGAAAAAUGUGAGUUUGCGUGAAAAAGUAAUGAAAACAAUAGCGUGAGUGGAAGUGUACAAAGAAAAUAUCCUUGAAUGUAAAAAUAUACUCCAAGUGCUAGUGGGCAAAAUGCAUAUGUGCAAUUUAGAGAAAAGUGUGAAAGUGUCGGUGUGUAAAUGAAAAAGUGCUCGUGUGCAAGUGCAGAUAAAAGUGCUCGUGUGCAAGUGAAGAUGAAAGUGCUCGUGUGCAAGUGAAAGUGAUAAAAAGGUGCAUGUGUGCAAAUGAGACAAAAGUGAAAGUGUGAUGAUAGAGUGGAUUUAGAAUGCAUGAGCCUAGGGAAUUCAUGCAUGUUGGGUACGGGGAGACCUAAAUCGUGACUCAAUUUGCCCUUUUAUAGAGAGGAUACAAGCGUGCUAAGGCUUUAGAAAAAGCCACACUCGUCUAUAUCCCAUAUUUAAGGGGACUCUCCAGGCAAAUGAACCCUAUAACUAGUAUGAGAUGCAAAAAUCCUAAAAUGAGGGGAAAAGGGGUUCGAGGAACAUGCCAAAUGAUAAAACUAAGAAAAAUGCAUGACAUGUAGUGAACAUGCAAAUAUGCACUAUCGAAAGGGAGAUCCUAAGGGUCUAGCGUUGGACUAGCCCAUCUAUGAAUUCCGACUAGCGUUGGACUAGCGGAAACGUACAUUCAUCCAUCACAUUCAUUCAUGGUUAUGGAAAGCGAGUAGACAUGCCAAACACUCGUAAACACAUAGCACAUAACAUUUAGCAUGCUCGACUAGAUGCAAGGCCCUAACAAAGCAAAUUAACACGUAGCAACUAAGCAUGCAAGACACAUAAGGCAAUUAAAGCCCUAACUAUUACAUUUGCUAGCUAGGCACACGUCUUCAACAGGUCUUCAUCGAAUGCGCCUCCAAGCCCUAUCUAUUACAAGCCAAGAGGUGUACACAUACCCCAUAAUGAAUACCUUAAACAAAGGGGGAAAGGGAAAGUGGACAAGAAAGCUCGCCAAACCUUAUCUAUUACAAGCCAAGAGGUGUACACAUACCCCAUAAUGAAUAACUUAAACAAAAGCGAAAAGUAAGUGAACUAAUUGAAAGAAAUUUAGACGAGGCAAGGAAAGCGAAGUAGACAUGCAUAUCCACAUAACACAUAGGAGCACAUAAGGUCAAAUGAAAUGCAAAUAAGGGAUAGAGGUUACCUCCCUUGCAAUGUGGUCCCAAAUGAAAGGAAAAUGGCUUCAAAACAAUAAAACGGUCAAGGUACCACUUUAUUUGGGAAAAUUAAAGAAAAUAAGCAAACACAUGCUCACUUGGUCAUAAAACCCUUAAAGUCAUGAAUUAAGUGAAAUUGAAACAAAGUAUAGUAAUUAAUUAAAGCAAACAAGCAAUGAAGUUGUCAAAUUAAAAGCUGCCAAGGGCCAAAUUGAGGAAAUCAUUCAAUUGAUUGGGCCAUAGUAGGACAAGGGGAGACUUGGGGGGUCAAAGUGCAAUUUCCAGAAAAUAUUUUCAUGCAAAACAUGCAGCUACGUAUGACUUAAACUUCUGCAACAAAAAAUGAGCAAGCUUCCUUUUGUAUCCAAGCUUGCUGCAACUUUCAUUUCUACACAUACAUAUCAACCUCAACAUCAAUUUUGAUCCAAAACCUUUAGAUCAAACACCCAAGAACUAAUCUAAGCAUCAUGCACACAAUUUCAACGUUCAAACCAACUCAAACAUAGAAGAAAAUUCGUGCCAAAAAAAGUUCGGCAAUUCUGAUUUGCUGCAAAAAAUGGUUUGCCAAAACUAGUUUAUGCAAACUUAGCACCAACCUUUCAACUCCAGAUUAAACCAGCAAAAAGAUGACUAAAACCAGUUUUUGUGAGCUGUUGCAGGAAGAAAAAGAAAGCAGCAAAGGCAUAAGGAAAAACGCAGCAGCUUUUCCACUUCGGCCUAGACAUGUGUGUGCGUGAAGACUCAAACAAGUUUUACUAAUUUGACAGCCCAAAUCGAAAUGCAAGGAUUUCAACUCAUUGUCAUUAACAUCACCCAAAUGUAAAGGUUUGUUUCCCGGACAUUUUAAGAAGAAAACUGAACACAAAAAUGCAGCAAAGGCCUGAGCUUGAAUCAGCUAAUGUUUCGGCAUUGCUACAUACAAAGAAAGUUCAGAAUUUUCUUAUUCCCUGCUGCACUUUUCAUUCCAUUUUAUCAUGCAAGCAAAUGCAACAAGAAACCAGAAUUCUACCCAUCCAUCAUUGACUAACAUGCUACUUCAUAGCAGGAUUUGAAAUUGAGAAUCAGAGCUAACCAUCAAGAGUGCAAACUAAAAAAAAGAAACAGAAGGAAAAAGGAAAAGUGCCUCAAGUUUCUGCAAUACUUUGCUUUUAUGCCUUCAGCAAACUAAACAAAUCCAAACGCACAGCUUGUAUAUCAAAAUUCUGGUUUCAAAACCCCAAACACACAGCUUUAGACUAGGCAAAAAAAACUUAGAAAAGCCUCACGCUCAUGCAAAAAUUCUGGACAACAUACAAACUCUUGAAGGACAAAAGCUACCUCAAAUUUCUCCUUUUCUUAUUCAGGCAAACCAGAUUAGCAUUAUGCAUUUUGUCAUGAUCAAAGUAAUCUGUGCACAAUUAAAUUCAUUGUAAUGAAGUAGACAAAUGCAUCUAGGCUGUAAAACAGAAACAAAGGGCUUUGCACUUGGUUCGAAGAGCAUCGAAAUCACAGGCUUCCUUGCUAAUUUCUGGUUUUGAACAAGAAACUUCUUUUGCGAAGGACUCCAUUCCCAUUACAUAUCCAUCGCACCAGGCUAGAGACAACGUAAAAGGAAAGACAAAUACAACCCGGAAAUAACAAACAAGGCCCAAAGGUUAAUCAAACCAGAAACUCAGCAAUCCAAGAGAAAAGGAAUUGGUUCGCACGGCUGCAUAGAUCAAGGGUAACUCUCGGCUACUCUAAGCUUCAAGUUCUCCAAGUUCUCAUCUAGCAUUACAAAUUUAUCCUCAAAGAAAAUUCGUGCAAGGGGAAGGGGAAAUCAGGGCAGAAAGGAGCCACAACAUCAGAUUCCUACUGUAAGCUUUGCUAGAAACACAAAUAAAUAGCAAAAGAACGCAACUUUCUGCCAUGCGUGUAGGUCAGAUGCAUUAGUAAGGUAACAUCAAUCUUUGAUUUUAAACAAUGAAAUCACAUAAAUUUCACCAUCCAAGCAUGCAAAAGAACCCAGAAUUCCAGGUUACGCAGACCAGAUGUUAACAUGGAAUGGAAAUGAAAAAAGAGAAAGGUCGAAGACUACCUGUUCAGUACGUGGGUUUUCUCAUUCGGGGUCACAAGGUUCAUGUUGCAUUUCUGAUGCGAUUCGAAGUGUAUUGAACCUUUCAAAGCUUCCUCUUUUCCAGUCACGAGACCCUCCCUCUCUUCUUACUCACUUACUGUUUCUCCCUCUGUUUCUUUCUCUUCCGUAGCUCUCUGCCGUCCACUCUGCUUAGCUCUUCCAAGGUUUUCUUUCUUUUCCUGAUGCAGCCGUCUUCCCCUUGGGCUUUCCUUCCUUCAGAUUCGUAUCCGUCAAUCUUCAAUCCUCUCUCUCUAUCUCCAAACCUAGCCGUCACUCCCCUGAUGAAAAACCUCUCCAAGCUUCCUUUUUUGUUGCUCUCCUUUUGCUCUUCUUUUGCUCGAUGCCCCCUUCCCCCUUGCUCGAUCUCUCCUCAACCCGCAGUUUCUUGUCCAGAACCCCAGCUGCCCUUUUUACUCUCUUCGCUGCCCACUCUCAAGACCUCCUUUCUUUUCUUUUUCUGUUUCUCCUCCCCAAAACCGAGCUCCCUCUGUUUCGUUUUUGCCUUUGCUGUUUUUCCUUCAGCCGCCCAUUCUCUCCCUCCUUGCUCUCUACUCUCUUUCUCUCUCAGACCUCAGCCCAGAUUUUUCUCCUUUUCUCUCGGUUUUGUUUAGCCCAGAAAAGCUUCCUCUCCUUUGUUUUCUUUUCAGCCGCUUAACUCUCUCCAACUUCCCCCCUUGCGGCUGUAGCUUUUCAUUCUACUUAUACGGGGUACCCAACCCUAAAACCCUCAGUCCUUCUUCUGCAAUUUGCAGCCAGGGGCUGCCCCAAAGUUCUCUUGCAAGCUGCGACCAAAACGCAGCUUGCGUGCCGCGAUUCUCAUCAUCAUUUUUCUUUUUUCUUUUUUUUUCUUUUUUCAUCAAGCAAAAUUGAUAAAAAUAAAGAUAAAUAAAUAAUAAUAACAAAUUAACAAAAUUGUCAACAAAACUAAGUAACAAUAAGAAUAAUAAUCUAAAAAAAAUCUAAACCACUAAAACAACAAAAAUGGACAUUUUUCAAUCUUUUUCUACAUUUUUCAUUGUUUUCUUUUUUCUUUUGAGAAAUUCCAUGCUAAAAGCUUAAAAAUAAAAUAACAACAUGAAAACUAAAAAAACCUAAAAACUAAAAAUGAAUAAAACAAACAUGACAAAAACAAAAACUAAGAAAUAAAGAGUAAAUGAACUUGAGCUAAAAUUUGGUGUCUACAGUUUUCACUUGUAGCCUAUAUAAGGCACCAUAUUACAUCAAUAAAGGGGAGACACUUUUAUGAUAAAAAUAUUGAGAGAGUUUUCUCCAUAGCUUUCGAGCAAACCUUGAACAACUUAGAGUUAUACUCUAGUGUUCUUGUUCGGCUUAUCAAUUCAAGAAUCGCACUUGAAUUGUGGCGCCUUCUACACUUGCCUGAGGUUCACUAAUUCGUUUGGUUACGGGUUGAGAUAAUAUCAACAAGUUCGUAGUCACGGGGAUUAGAGGGGUCGUAGGGUUUCCGCUGCUACCGUUCUUGCGUUCGAAGUCAAAUCCAACAAGUGAUCUUGGGUCGCAAAUCUUCUCUCCAACGAGAUUUGUAUCAGCUGGUAUCAGAGCUAGCUUGUUGGUAACAUCGUUAUCCCUCUUUUCGUGUCUUAAUUCGUAUCUGUCUCGGUAGCUCAAAAAAAAACAAUUUUUUUUGUGCACGUUGCAUUCUGGCCGCGAGUUCCUGGCCGCGAGUUUCCUUUGUUUUCGAGUCUGGUCAUCAUUGUUUGUUUCUGUCUUGUUGUCGUCUUCAAUUUCUGGAAUUCUGGGAGUUAAUUGUGUCGUGUUUGAUUUCUUUUGUGUGAGUAUCUCAUCGUUUGUUACACAAAGGAAAAAAAAAAAAAAUAGGGCUUCCUGGUCGGUGACUUCUUCCAAGUCGCAAAGCUGCGACCUUGGAAUUGUGCAAUCUGUCCGUGUCCUGUUAGUUCCAAUUCCAUUGAGUCUUGUGUGUUAAAUCUGCUCGUGUCUUGCUAUAUUGUUUCCACCGCUUGGGUUCAGCAGGAUAAGGAGUCAGUCGGUGCUGAAUUGUCAUGCUCCCAAGUCGUACAAAAUAUUGAGUCAAUAGCAAGUUCUGUCUUGCCGCACUUUCACUGAAAAUUCUGUCCAAGUUGUCGCCUCAUUGUUUGUGCAUGAUAAUUGUUCAGCAGCUUGCUAUCUUAUUGUUCUCGUGAUUGAGUCCAAUCUGAGUCAAAAAAAAAAAAAAAAACCCAUCAACACAAGCCGCACUUAAACCCGGACAGACCUGGGAAAUUCUGCCCAACGAAGCCUGUGUUCAGUUGAAGUUGCUGUUGCGCCAAAAAAAAAAAAAAAAAAAAACAAGCAGCCAGAAGAACGUUGGUAUCUUAUUAUGGUGCAAUCCUAGAGCACUUGAGAGGAACGGCUGAACAAAAGAAAAAAAAAACAAAAAAAAGGAGAGAGAAAUAGCCGCUGGAGGACUUCCAAUCCUGAUUGAUUUCUAAAUCCAAAGGGGUUUCCAUUCUUAUUGCUUCCUGAUCUGUAGCCCCCACUUGCCCAUAUUGAUACCGUGGCAUUUGAACCGCACCUCUGCACAACAAACAGACCCCAAAACAGCCCCAAACAGCCGCACCACACCUUGCUACCUAGACAGCCACACUACAAACCAGUCUCCUAAGCAAAACCACCGCCCACUAGCAUUUGCUUCCACUUUCGGUUACAACACCUGGUGAGCAGAUAUCAACUACUAUCAAGGGCUAACCGACCCAUUCUUGCACAUUCCCCACAGAACCAAUUCCCCAUAAAAUCAUCAGCCAAGCCCAAGGCAGCCGUAACACAAAAAACAAAACAAAAUUCCAGCAAGCCAAAGUCCAUUGAGUCAUUUCAGCCUUGAGUCGUUUCUGGAUUUGCCCAUUGAGUUGUUCAUUGAGUCCUGGUCAGUCUUGAGUCAUUUAUUGUGUCUUUCAUUCUCUCCCAUUCGAAUGCCAAGCAUUUGUUGACCUUGGUUGGUAAACGAUCCAAAAAUCCAGCAACGCAAAAGGAACCAACUUCCUUGUCGGCUAGGUGUUUGAGCAUCAUUCUUAAUUUUUUGUAGCUUUUGUGUCAAGUCUUUUCUCGAUUUUUGUUCUUGAAUAUAUUCUAUCACUCCAUUCUUAGUGUCCUAAUUUUGUUUUCCCAGAAAAUUUCCACUCUUACGAACCUCAAAUUCUAGCGUGAACUUGAUUUUUAAGCUAAAUUUGAGCACUUGAGGAGCUCUACUUUCUUCAAGGUUUCGCAAGGGGCUGUGAGAGAAUAUUUUGGUGAGCUUAUUAGAGUGAUUUGAGUUACCAUAUACGAGUGUGAGAGUAAACACUUAGGGAGUGAAGUGACAAAAAAAAAAAAACAAAAGAAAACAUUACUUUUUUCCCCUAUUUCCUUUGCUACUAACCCUUGCAGGUACACUUGAGACUCCAUGUCUAGUGGAAACGAAGGAGUAUCCCGUCCCAUGAACUUUGAACAGAUGAUGGAGCAAAUGGAGAGGCGUUUCCAACGCAUGCUAGAACCCAUUCAAGAUGGGUUGCUGCAACUCCGAGCGUCUGGAACACCAAAAACCUCUAAGUCCAUGCGAAGGCGAAGGGGCGUGGAGGAGUCGUCCGAUGGUUCCAAUAAUGAUGAUGAUGAUGAGGAACCUCGAAUUCGACCAAGGCAAAGGAACCAGACUGGACCUACCGAUGUAUUCAAGGGAAUCAAGAUGCAAAUCCCUGAGUUCAAAGGACGGUCCGAUCCCGAGACCUUUCUCGAAUGGUUAUCCAAGAUCGAAAUGGUCUUUUCUUGCCAAAACUACACCGAGGUGCAAAAGGUGCAAUUGGCCACCAUGGAAUUCACUGAGUACGCUGUGGUUUGGUGGGACCAAAUCAAGAAGUCUAGAAGGAGAAAUGGGCUACCUGAGCUUAUUCCAUGGCCCGAGCUUCGAGCCAUGAUGCGCACCCGCUUUGUACCUGGACAUUACACUAGGGAUUUAUACCACCGGUUACAAACCUUAGUCCAGGGCAACCGGAGUGUGGAUGAGUACCACAAGGAGAUGGAGAUCCUGAUGCUUAGAGCGGAUGUACAGGAGGAUCCUGAAGCCACCAUGGCGAGAUUCUUGAGCGGGUUACGACCCGAUAUUGCUGAACGAGUGGAACUUCAACAUUAUAUGGAGUUGCAUGAGCUUGUAGACAAGGCUAUUAAGGUCGAGCAAAGGCUCAAGCGGAGGGGUACUACUCGAUCGAAUUUCGGCAAUACCACCUACUCUACCAACCGCCCAUUCCAACCAAGGAAUGAUUCUCGGCCUUCACCAAAUGCUCCUACACCAAAGCCGAGAUUCGAGGGAGGUAAGGUGGGCAACCCUAGUAUUAGUAAGCCGCCCUCUUCUACUCCAAAAUUUGAGGAGUCUAGGGUACAAACUAGAGCUCGUGAUACUCGAUGCUUCAAAUGCCAAGGUAGAGGCCAUAUUGCUAGUCAAUGUCCCAAUCAAAGGACUAUGAUUAUGAUGCAAAAUGGUGAGAUCGUGAGUGAGGACGAAGCCGAGUACGAAGGCAUACUACCUCUUGACGGAGGUAGUGAUGGGGAAUCACCAAAUGAAGAGGAGUUUAGUGCACCCGAGGGUCAUUUUGGGACUGCAUUGGUUGCAAGGAGAGCAUUAACUGCACGUGUUAAGGAGGACGAGCUUCAACGGGAGAACAUCUUCUACACCAGGUGCUUCGUCAACCAAGCACUUUGUAGUGUGAUUAUUGAUAGUGGGAGCUGCACAAAUGUAGCUAGUUCACUCAUGGUGGACAACUUGAAGUUGCCUACAAGGGAUCACCCGCGACCCUACAAACUCCAAUGGCUCAACAACUCUGGGGAGGUUCGAGUAACCAAGCAGGUUCUUAUAUCCUUCCAAAUCCAUAAAUAUUCUGAUGAAGUAUUAUGUGAUGUAGUUCCUAUGCAGGCUAGUCACAUUAUACUAGGUAGGCCUUGGCAGUUUGACAGACAGGUGACUUUUGAUGGUGUGACUAAUAAGUAUAGUUUCUUGUACAACAGUAAGAAAGUCACACUAGCUCCCCUUUCCCCCAAACAAGUGCAUGAGGACCAAUUGAAAUUGCAACAAGAGUUUGAGAAGUAUAGUGCAAAAAGAAAAGAAAAUGAGAGAGCCGAGGCAAAAAAAGAGAGAAAAAAGGCUAUAGAUAGCUCGGCAAGUGAGGUAAAAAUUGAGGGAAAACAAAUGCUCCUGAUAAAAGCCAAGAAAGUGAGGAAGUUAAUGAGAGAUGAGCAGCCACUUCUUAUGCUUGUUAGCAAAGAAGUAGCUCUGAAUGUGCAUGAACUUGAUACUAACAUACCUCUUGAGGUUAAGUCUCUGUUGCAGGAAUAUGCUGAUAUCUUCCCCGAGGACGUGCCAAGUGGAUUACCACCGCUUAGAGGCAUUGAGCACCAAAUAGACUUCGUCCCUGGAGCUUCGUUGCCAAAUCGGCCAGCUUACAAGAGCAACCCGGAGGAAACUAAGGAGUUACAAAGGCAAGUGGACGACUUGCUUGGCAAAGGAUGGGCACGUGAGAGCUUAAGCCCGUGCGCUGUCCCAGUCAUUUUGGUGCCCAAGAAAGAUGGUACGUGGAGAAUGUGCACUGAUUGUAGGGCCGUAAAUGCCAUCACGGUAAAGUAUCGCCACCCUAUACCUCGCUUAGAUGACAUGCUUGAUGAGUUACAUGGGGCUGUGUUCUUUACCAAAAUUGAUCUCAAAAGUGGGUACCAUCAAAUUAGGAUUAAGGAGGGGGAUGAAUGGAAAACUGCCUUUAAAACUAAGUAUGGAUUGUAUGAGUGGUUAGUGAUGCCUUUUGGGCUCACUAAUGCACCUAGCACCUUCAUGAGGUUAAUGAACCAUGUUCUGCGUCCAUUCUUAGGAAAAUUCGUGGUAGUUUACUUUGAUGAUAUCCUAAUUUAUAGCAAAUCUUAUGAUGAACACCUCGAGCAUAUUAGGGCUGUUAUGGAUGUACUUCGACGAGAGCAGCUCUAUGCCAAUCUCAAGAAGUGUAAUUUUUGCACUAAUGAGCUUGUGUUUCUAGGGUUUGUUAUAAGUGCGCAGGGAAUGAAGGUGGAUGAUCAAAAGGUGAAAGCUAUUCAAGAGUGGCCAACACCAAGGUCUGUGGGUGAUGUUCGAAGCUUCCAUGGCCUUGCGGGUUUCUAUAGGAGAUUCGUGAGGGACUUUAGCACUAUUGCUGCACCCUUGACCGAGUUGAUUAAGAAGAAUGAGAACUUCCAUUGGGGAGAUUCUCAAGAACAAGCCUUUCGCGCUUUAAAGCACAAACUCACACAUGCACCUGUACUUGCUUUACCUGACUUUUCUAAGACAUUUGAGAUUGAUUGUGAUGCUUCAGGUAUUGGAGUUGGAGCUGUGUUGAAUCAAGGAGGAAGACCUAUUGCCUACUUUAGUGAGAAACUCAAUGGGGCUGCACUGAACUACUCAACUUAUGAUAAAGAGUUGUACGCCCUCAUUCGAGCACUACAAGUUUGGCAGCACUACUUAAGGCCUAAGGAAUUCGUGAUACACACUGAUCAUGAGUCCCUUAAAUAUCUUAAGGCCCAGCACACCUUGAGCAAAAAGCAUGCAAGGUGGAUCGCAUUCGUGGAGUCCUUUCCGUAUGUAAUUAAAUAUAAGGCUGGUAAGUCUAAUGUGGUUGCGGAUGCACUCUCACGAAGGUACUCUUUACUCACUUCCUUAGAUGCUAAGUUGUUAGGGUUUGAGCUGAUUAAAGACAUCUAUGCCCAAGAUAGUGAUUUCGGUGAACUUUACCUUUCUUGCAAACACACUGGGCAAGGUAAAUUCUUCAUUUCCGAUGGUUACUUGUUUUAUGCCAAUCGGCUUUGCAUCCCACAUGGAUCCAUCCGCGAACUUUUGGUACGAGAAUCCCAUUCGGGUGGCCUUAUGGGACAUUUUGGGGUUGAUAAGACUCUUGCCAUGCUGCAGGAGCACUUCUAUUGGCCGCACAUGAGGAGAGAUGUUGCACGGGUGGUGGAGCGAUGCUUAGCUUGUAAGAAAGCUAAAUCCAAGGUACACCCGUAUGGCCUUUACACCCCGUUACCUAUUUCUAGUGCACCAUGGGUCGACAUUUCUAUGGAUUUUAUACUUGGUUUGCCUAGAUCCAAGUAUGGCCAUGACUCCAUUUAUGUGGUAGUUGAUAGAUUCUCUAAAAUGGCACACUUCAUUGCAUGUCAUAAAACUGAUGAUGCAUCUCAUAUUGCUAACUUAUUCUUUAAAGAGAUUGUGAGAUUGCAUGGCAUUCCUAGGACCAUUGUCUCAGACAGAGAUGUCAAAUUUCUGAGUUAUUUUUGGAAGACACUCUGGUCUAAGUUAGGCACCAAAUUGCUAUUCUCUACUGCCAGCCACCCCCAAACUGAUGGUCAAACUGAGGUGGUAAAUCGUACAUUAGGUACCUUGUUGCGUGCCAUCAUCAAAAAGAACUUGAAAUCAUGGGAAGAAUGUUUACCUCAUGUUGAGUUUGCUUAUAAUAGGGCUAUCCAUUCUACUACUGGUUUCUCUCCAUUUGAAUGUGCUUAUGGUUUUAAUCCACUAACACCACUUGAUCUAGUGCCAUUACCUAGUAAUGAGCGCGCACAUUUGGAUGGUAAGAAACGUGCAGAGUUUGUUAAGCAACUGCAUGAGAAAGUCAGGGCUAACAUUGAGAGGAGAACUGCUCAAUAUGUCAAGCAAGCUAACAAAGGUCGCCAAAAGUUGAUUUUUGAGCCUGCGAUUGGGUGUGGUUGCACAUGCGCAAAGAACGCUUUCCUGUUCAAAGGAGGAACAAAUUACAACCACGGGGUGAUGGACCUUUUCAAGUGUUGGAGCGCAUCAAUGACAACGCCUACAAACUUGACCUUCCUGGUGAGUAUGGAGUUAGUGCUACAUUUAAUGUCUCUGACUUAGCUCCUUUUGAUGCAGAUGAUGCGUUUGAUUUGAGGGCAAAUCCUUCUCAAGAGGAGGGGAAUGAUAGCAUCAUGGUACGUGGGCAGGCCAACAAUGGCUCGGGUAAUCGAGGAGCUGAGGAUCACGUGCUCGCCCAAAGUGGACCCAUUACUCGGGCUCGCGCAAAGAAACUUCGUGAGCAACUCAAUGUACUUAUUCAGGCCAUACACAAGUCCUUUGAAGGAUUCAUGCAUUCAAGUGAAGGUGGUCGCGGUCCGAUAAUGAGCAUUGAAGCUACACCCGAGGAUUAGGGUUUAGCCAAACCCUAAUUUCCGUUUUAGCAUCAUAGUUAGUUAUUUCCACAUUAGUUGAUUAGAUUGAAUAAUUGGCUAAGUGCAUGUCGCACGUAGAAUCGCCAAGGGUAGGAUUGCUAAUUUACUCAUUAUUAUUUGCUAGAGUGGGCUGCCUAGGAAGAAAAGCCCACGUGAGGCCCAACCCGUCGGGGGUUAAGCCUCCUUUAUUAGGGCCCAUAUCCACUGCGCCCUUAGUCCGUUUUCUACUAGAUUAGGUUUUCACUUGUAGCCUAUAUAAGGCACCAUAUUACAUCAAUAAAGGGGAGACACUUUUAUGAUAAAAAUAUUGAGAGAGUUUUCUCCAUAGCUUUCGAGCAAACCUUGAACAACUUAGAGUUAUACUCUAGUGUUCUUGUUCGGCUUAUCAAUUCAAGAAUCGCACUUGAAUUGUGGCGCCUUCUACACUUGCCUGAGGUUCACUAAUUCGUUUGGUUACGGGUUGAGAUAAUAUCAACAAGUUCGUAGUCACGGGGAUUAGAGGGGUCGUAGGGUUUCCGCUGCUACCGUUCUUGCGUUCGAAGUCAAAUCCAACAAGUGAUCUUGGGUCGCGAAUCUUCUCUCCAACGAGAUUUGUAUCAGAAGAUUCAUUGGUGCAGAAAUGGGGAGAGAAAGUGGAAAAAGGAGAAACAACUGAUUUCAAUUUUAGUCCUGAAGGUGUUUUAAAAUACCGAAACCGAAUAGUAGUGCCGAAGGAUGAGUCGUUGAAAACGGAGAUUCUAGAGGAAGUCCAUCGGUCCGAGUAUACAAUCCAUCCGGGUAGUAGCAAGAUGUAUCAGGAUCUGAAAGGAACCUAUUGGUGGGAUAAUAUGAAAAAGGAAAUCGCUCUAUACGUGCAAAAAUGUCUCAUUUGCCAACAAGUUAAGGCGGAGCAUCAAAAACCAUCGGGCUUGUUACAACCCCUUGAGAUACCUGAGUGGAAGUGGGAAAACAUCACCAUGGACUUCGUCUCAGGGUUGCCGAGGACGCAAAGAGGGCACGAUGCCGUUUGGGUGAUCGUUGAUCGAUUAACCAAAUUGGCCCAUUUCUUGCCGGUGAACAUGAAGUACUCCAUGGACAAGUUGGCCCAGCUGUACAUGGACGAGAUUGUAAAACUACACUGUGACGACCCCACCUCCCCCUAAGGCGUACCAGAGGGUUCGGCGGACUGCCUGUCCAGCUCUCGCCAGGACUCACUCACUAUCUAAAACGAAUCGCGUGCGCACAUCCAUGAACCAUAAAUAACAUCCACAAUUCAAACUUAUAAUUUACAUUGAUACAAUUCAAGAUACAAAGUCUCAAUAUACCAAACUAGUUCAAAGCGUAUACAAAUCAAAUAUAAAAACAUUAUAUUUGAGGAAUAGCGCGAGUACAAGACAAAAGUCAAAAGUCAAACGACUAGACUACGCUAGACUUUACACGUCUCACACGUCACUCGUACCCCUGUAAGGAAAACAAAACUAAUAGGGUGAGCCAAAGCUCAGUGAUGUUCCAUAUAUCAAAUUGUCCAGCAAACAAGAUUAUAACAAUGUAAUAGUGAAAUAGCGAGCAAACAAGUUCAAGUAAAGCUAUAAUACUUCAAGUAGUCAAGAAAUGUGUGGAUCAUGUUCACAAGUAAGGAUACAGUUGCUCAUGUCUCGGCUUCAUCCCAGCUUGAUCGAAUAGUAGUUGACACUCCGUCAAUUUUCAAGUAAUAACUAGUCCAGAAAGAAAACUCCACUUCUCGCCAUUCUCCGUCCACCAAUCAACCCCCUUCUCCGGGCCCGCACGCCACACGAAACACGGGUGGUAAUACUCGAGUAUACCAAAUUACCGAGGAGAUAACACUCCACUCGACCUUACUAGUGACCCAGGGUUUGUUAUCUAAUCGACCAGGCCCUUGCCGGCUCAACUCGAUUAACUAGCCACAGGGUUUCUGGAAUUCCAGGCAAAAUAUAAUUCAUGUACAUGUAGAGCAAGUCAAGUAAAGUCGAUAAACAAGAACAAAUUUGGAUAGGGCAAGUGCGAUAAAGUACACCCUUGCUCUAUCAAAUCACAUAUAUAUCACGUAUUCAUGUUGAUGAUCAAAGAUAAAUGGCAAAUAUCGAGUUCAAUCAGAUAUUUGGAAGCACUCACCAAAAGUAGUGCCUCUAGUGCUCGUGUCUGGGUGGUACUCCGGGUUUGGAGUCCAAAUCUGCGAUAAAAGUUGACUUGAGAACUUUGAAAAUCGACUAAAGUUCGAAACUUAAGCGUUUUGUUCAAUAAGAAUCAAGAAAUUGAAAUUCACUUGAGAAAUAGUCAUGAAAUAGUUGCUCGCUUUUCAAACGGAAAAUUUUGAUAACAUGUUUGCUUGAAAAUGACUUUUGAGUCGAAAGUGCAAGUAAAACGGUUUCAUAGUGAUCCUUACAGCUUUUCCUAGGGGUACAAGUUCGACCAAGUCCUAACGUAUAACCCUCGAUAAACAAAGUAGCAAAGGUCCUCGAUAGUUCAAGUGAUAAUCACUUCUAACCUUUACUCAAGUUGCAUGUAUAGUUUUCUAGUCCUCAAACGUAAAUUUGGGUAGCAUGCCCUUUGUGUUUACCUAAUUUUCCAGCCAUUUAGGCUUCAUUAUUUUUCUCUCAGCCAAUCCCAAAGUCAUACAUAUCAUAGAUUCAAGUAAAUAGCCAUUCCAUAGGCUCAUAACAACAUAAGAACAAAAAUCAAAGUGAUAACGAGUGCGGAAAUGUAACCUAGCAAAAGAUAGAUUUGAUGCGUGGUUGCGGAAAUAACAUAUCCGAGGCUACACUUAUCAGAUUGAGGCGUAACUUAUACCGUUUCGAAGCUAAGACCCAGGGAUACAAUUUUCAUGAAGAUCACUUAGUCCAGUUUCCAAUGCAACCUAGUCAAAUUCCCAAUUUACAAAACCAAAAUCCAACUAGUCGGCUAAUUAACCGCACUGCACUGGAAUGGUCAUAUCUCAGGUUACCAAGGUCCGAUUAUGGUGUUCUUUGAGGCAUUUAAAAGAUAGGAAAGAAUAAUAAAACUUUAAUGUUUUGGAAAAUAACUAAAUCUGUACGGAUCAUAAUGAAUAAACAAGGUUAAUCGGAUGAAUCUGUCAAAAAUGGAUCACUGGACAAACCCUAAUGCAGCGACCGUAUUUUGACCUUUUCUCAGUUUACGUUGCUCCGAUUACCCUGAAAUUUUGUAGGAACCUAUAAAAUAUCAUUCUAUACAACUUUCAUGUUUUAGGCCAAGCCCAAUUCGGCCUCUAACUAUGAGCACUAAAAUCAGGCAGAAUGUAAUCCUGAAAUUCCAGAAAUCUGGAAUUUUUGAAAUCUCAAGUCAAUCCUUCCAUUUUCUUGCUUCCAACUCUACCAAAACCCCUUAUCUACUCUUAUAUACAACAUAUACUAAAUAUAAAACAAGUUUAGGCAGAAAUUAAUCAAACCCUAGCUUGCAUAUAUCAUCCAAGAAUCAUCACAACAACUUGCUUAUCUUGUAAUCAAGCUAAAACAUGAUCUAAAUAACAUUUUAAACCAAAAUUUAAAGGAACAAGGAUCAUGAUCAGAUUUUUAUACCUCAAAUACAAGGCUCGGAAGAGUGAUACUUCACCCCCUUGGAAAUUUCUUAGUUCCUCAAGCUUCCCAACUCACAACCCACACUUUAAUCGGUUUAGAAUUGGAUUUUCUCACUUGGUUGAAGCAAAUCAAGAAGGAAAUUUGUUUCUCUUGCUCUUCUUUUCUCUCUCUCUUGUCUCGGCCCUAAGCAAGAAAAAAUGAGGGAGAAAGAGCUUAGUUUGUCUUAUAAGAAGGUAAGAGGAUUAGGACUAAUUGUAACCACAAGUUGGGCCAACACUUGGCUCAACUUUCACCACAAAAUUUUCUUUUCUUUCCUUGCAUUUUUUUUGUCCCAAUUUUCGGCCAAGAGAUAGCCAUGAGGGGGGGAUAUUUUGCUCAAUUAGUAAUGAGCUUGUAGGGUAAGAAAGUGGUGAUCAGGUGGUGGUUAAAUCGGUUGUACACGGUACACGUCGGUUCGCGCCGUUUUUCCUUAAAUUACCCGUACUAGGGUUUUUAAUUUCUUUUCACUAACUUUUAUUCAUUGCUUCUAAUCACAUAUUGUAACGACCCCACUUCUCCCUAGGGCGAACCCAAGGGUAUCGGCGGGCCGCCUGCCUAGCUCGCGCCAGGACUCAAAACUUAAAGCUAAUAAAACUAUAUUAAACCACAAGAAAACAAUUCAUAAUAUAUACAACCACCAGAUAUUCUAUUUACAUCUUCAAAAGCAUCAAGUCAAACCUCUCUAAUAUACUAUAACAACAACCAGUAGAAGGUAGACCCUAAGGAGGGUUCUUAUACAAACCACCAAAACAAAAAACAAACAUCCUAACUGUCCAACUAUUACAAACGAGACCUAACGAUAACGGCAGAGUCCCAAAGUUCCCCGCGUCGUCCCCUGCUAAGGAAAACAAAGGAAACGGGGUAAGCUAGAAGCUUAGUAAGUAAACAGGGUAAAACGUAAAUUUCACGUAGCCACAUUUACAUAGUAGGAGUAAAGCAAAAGCAGAAAAGUAACAUCACAUAAUAAGGAUACAGGUGGCUCCAAAGCCAAUUCAUGUGCCAUGUAUGACCUCCUGCCGACACUCCGUCGACCACACAUAAUGGUCCGUAGAACUUCACUUGUACACCCACCGACACCUUAUCACCCUCACUGGCCAGUCACCUCACAAACUUGCCCGGGCGAACGAAAUCACAAACUUGAGCUUGAGUCACAAGCUCGGGUCACAAACUUGGUUCACAACUCGGUGAACUGGAUUCACAAACUUGGUGACCUCAGACUAAGUUGGACUGACUUCGACCAAGCCCUAACCGGCUCGAAUAGUCCAUCUAGGUCACGAGAUCGGGCCCCAAACUCACAAACGUCACAAAAUUAUUCAAAAGUCACCCCGAGCCACAAGCUCAAGGGGUUGGGUUCCAAAAUGAGUCACAUACAUAUGUCAUGUACAAAUAUGUGCACAAAUUCGGGUUUAGGUCGAGUGCGAUAAAGUACACCCUCGCCUAGAUACUCUUUUCAUGUAUAUCGAAACACAUAAGCAACUAACACGUAAGAGCGGCCUGAAUACUUACUCAGAAUCUGAAAUAGCAAAAACACGAAGUCGGAUCGAAAUGAACAGCUAGUAGUGGGCCCCACCAGUUCCGCCCAGCUCACCACCGUCUGACAUAGAAGAUUAUGUCACAUAAUAUCACAAACGGCUACUAUCGUGCCUAAAACAAGCAAAACGGCAAAAACGACACGCGCGCACGUAAAUAUGACAGACGGAAACGGAAACGGCCGUUAGCGGAAACGGCAGAUUUGACACUCGUUUCUAGUUUACUCAUAAGUUGAGCUACGAAUAUCGGAUUAAGGCGUAUGAGACGCCAUAUCGAAGCUUAAAGGAUGUUAUGAAGACAUCCAGAACUGAAACUGGAGGCUUCAGUCCCAAAUGAACCAAACACAAUCACUUACGAAAUCUGGCCAAUACACAAAUGGUCAGUUUUGAGUGCAAAUUGUUGUCCAUGCUACACAUGGUCAAAAGAGCUGAAAAUUGGCAGUUAGAUGGUUCAUUCCAAAUGGAACAACUUUCAUAAAGGUCGGCAAUCCAAAUUCGGAACGGAAAUUGGUCAUCAGGACCAAAACAGAUCUGACCAGAAAAUGGUCAUUUUCACGGGCAGGCCUUAUUUGCUCGGCUAUAUCUCAGGUUUUAUAAAUCCGAUUCAUGAAUUUCCAAGGGAGUAGAAAUCUAUGAUAUAGGGCUAUAAGUUUGGUGUUUUGGUCGCAAGCCCAAACAGCUUGUAACCUAGUCAAACGUGAAGCCAAAGUUCCAGUCGUAAACUGUCCGGAUAUAAAAACAGUUCUGACAUGCAUUCUUAUUUCGAUCAUAACUAGAGCUACGGGACUCGGAUUUUGACGCACUUUAUAGCGUUUCAAAGCUGUGGCCAAGUUCUAAAUUUCUCAGGAAGAAGUCGACACCCAGAUCGUACUCUAUCAAAAUCGAAAAAAACACGGUCAGAAACUUUCCAAAAACGUAACAGAAUUUGACGGUCAAAACAGGUCUGAGUAUUUCGUUUAUAACUCAGGAUAUACUAAUCCGUUUAAUCUGACAUUUUACAGGAAUAUCCAGGACUCAAGGGGCUACAACAAUGUAGAAGGCCACUCAGUCCAAAUCCUAGCACAACUAGGUCAAAUAUGCAAAAUACGAAACCAGAAUUACCAAAACAGGUUUGCAAAUCACAUAAUGCUUAAUGAGUCCAACUCAGUCUAUACAAGUCCAAAUGCAUUGAUUCCAAAGGUAUAUGGUAGCUAAAACAUUCCUCUAUAUUUCAUCAGAAGACACCAACAUCCAAAUCCAAAGUAAUUCCAGUCAAAAUAGCCAAAUACAAACGCAGUUCUGCCAUCCUGAUCAACCCAGAACAGCCACAGUAAAAUCGACAUAUCUCACUCUACCCUAAUCCAAAUGACCUGAAAUUUUACAGGAACCUCAAACACAUCAAUACCUACAACUUUCAUGUUUUAAGAAAACUCCAAUUCGACCUCUAACCCUAUGAUCCAAAACCGGACAGAAUAAGGGGUGAUAAAACCCUAACUUUCCACAAUUCAAUCCAAACCCAAAAUUGGUUGCAAUUAUCACUAAUUCACACGUACUAGAGUCAUUCCCCCUCAUUAUCAACCAUCAUAGAUGACCACAACAUCACAUUCAUAUUAAACCAGAAAAUUCCUCAAAAAUAUAAAAACUUCACCAAAUCACUUCAAAUCAAGAAAUAAAUCACAAAUAUCAUCACUUUAGCCACUACUAAGCAUAACUGAAGCAUCAUUAGGUGUAGGAGUAUGUUCAAUCAUCACUUACCUAGUAUACAAGAGAAGAGGAGUUGUAGACCACCUUAGCUCUUCCAAAAACUUCACCAAACUCACCACUAACACCAAAUGGAAAGGUUGUAUGGAGUAGAAACUAGUUUAGGCAAUUGGUUUGGAUGAUUUGAGCUAGUUGAAAGCUUGAAGUUUGAAGAAGUUUUCUUCCUUCUUGGCAAGAGAGAGGGCCGGCUAUGGAGGAGGUAAGAAAUGGUAAUUUUUGUGCAAUUUUUAAGAUAUUUAACCAUUUUGGUCAAAAGUCAAAAACAUGAAUAGUGUUCCAUAAGUCAAAUCCAAUAAAAGGUUGACACUUGUCACUCCUUAAAUGCAAUCUUAUCUUUUCUUUUCCUCUCACAUCAAUCACUUCACAUCCUCUACUUAUCUCUUAACACCCGAUAAAUUUUACACAGUAUCCAGAAUUUAACCUAAUUGGCCGAAUUUUUCCGAACUUUUCGCACUAGUGGGUCCCACAUCCGAUAUACGUUCUUAUUUUCUCAAAAUCUAACCGAUACUUGAAAAAUCAUCUAAAACCCAUAUUUACUCAUAAAAAUUAUCUGGAGAAAGUUCUAGUAAAGAAAAAUGUAGAAAAGGCGGGCGAUAAAGAAAAGAAUCAAAAACCCCACUUAAACUUUCUAAUAAAAUAAACUAGGGUUUUCAACCUUAACCGAGGUUAGGGUUUUUUUUUCUCCUUAGCCGUAAAACCCGAAUUCCAUCCCGCCGAUUUACGAAUAACCCUCAUAUCAGCUUACGGACGGACUGGGGCCUCACACAUAUUAUUUCUCACUUAAAAGUCACUCUUAAGCACCAAAUGUGAUCCGUACUCUGUACCGAAUAAUUACACUGCGGAUACACGAAAAAUUCUUAUUUCACCUUGAAUUGAAAACGAAUAGGAAAACCCUAAUUUCCUAUAAAUUUUUGCACUUUUCUAGGGUGGUUGAACUAUAGGAUGGCAUGAAAUAAUAAUUACCAAAUACUUUUCAAAUAAAAGGGAAUUUUGAGGAAAAAUAUAAGGAAUUUGCGUGUCUUCACAUUUACACGGUGUUCUUGUGAGCAUCGUCUCCGAUAGAGAUCCCCGGUUCGUAUCUCGAUUUUGGCAGAAGUUUCAGGAGACUCUAGGGACUAAACUCAAUCUAAGCACCACCUAUCAUCCUCAGACGGAUGGACAAUCGGAACGGACAAUCCAAACUCUCGAGGACAUGUUACGGACUUGCAUUCUGGAUUUUUGAGGCAACUGGGGUCAACACAUGACCUUAGUAGAGUUUGCAUACAAUAACAGCUACCAUUCGUCGAUUCAAAUGGCUCCAUAUGAAGCAUUAUAUGGACGAAAAUGCCGAUCACCAAUUUACUGGGAUGAAGUUGGCGAGAGAAAGGCAUUAGAUCCAACCACUAUUCCAUGGACGGAAGAGGCUCGAGAAAAGGUCAAGUUGAUACGGCAACGACUCCAAACUGCUCAAAGCCGACAAAAGAGCUAUGCAGAUAAUCGAAGAAAAGACUUGGAAUUUGAAGUUGGAGACCAUGUGUUUCUCAAGAUCUCACCCUUACGGAGUGUCACAACAGGCAAAGGAAAGAAGCUCCAACCGAGGUUCGUUGGACCCUACAAGAUCCUACAAAGGAUAGGUGCUGUAGCAUAUAGGCUAGAGCUGCCGUCAAGUCUCUCUAGAAUUCACGACGUCUUCCACGUCUCGAUGCUAAAGAAGUACUAUCCCGACCCAUCCCAUAUCUUACAACCCGAGGAGAUCGACGUAGACGAAUCGCUUGCUUACGAAGAGAAACCUGUCCAAGUACUUGACCAAAAACUUAAAGAGCUAAGAAACAAGCAGAUUCCGUUGGUUAAGAUACUGUGGAGAAACCAUGGGGUAGAGGAAGCUACCUGGGAAGUGGAAGAAGAAAUGCGAAAGAAAUACCCUGAACUUUUCAUGAGUUGAGGUGAGAAAUUUCGAGGGCGAAAUUCUUUUAAGGGGGAGAGAGUGUGAGAACCCGUAAAUUUUUUUCCAUUUCCUAGGUUUUAUUAUGUUCAAUGGCUUGUUUUCUGCAUUUUCGUGAUUAGGAAAAUUUUUAGAUACUUUUAAGGAGCAGAUAUAGUUUUUAAAUGAUUUUUCUAGUGUCGAAUAGUUUUUGAGAAAUUAAGAGCAUAUACCGGACGUGGGACCCACUAGGGCGAAAAGUUCAGAAAAUUCGGCCAAUUAGGUUAAGUUUUGGAUACUGGGUUUAAAUUAUCGGGUGCUAAGAGAUAAUUAGAGGUUUCUAUUUGGAUUGGUGAGAGAGGACACAAAGUGAUAGAGAUGCAUUAAUUAUAGUGACAAGUGUCACUUAGAGAGUGGUUGGACUUGAUGACCACUAUUCACCUUUUACCAUUUGACCAAAUAAAUCACAAAAAUUACCAAAAUUUCACCAUUUUCUUCUUCUCCUUGGCCGGCCAACUUCAAGAAAGAAAGAAAGAAAACUCUCCAAGUUCUUGCUUCCAUUUAGCUCAAAUCCACCAAAACAACCACAUAAACUUACUUUUGUUCCAUAAAACCUCUUCACUUAGGGUUGGUGAGGUGAUUGGUGAAGUUGUUUGGAAAGCUAAGGUGUCUAAUUGCUCUCUCUCUUGUAUUACUAAGGUGAGUAGUGAAGGACCUCUCUCCUCCCUCUAAUGAUGUUAAAUUCAUGAUUGGUGGUGGUAUAAGACGCAAUUUUAUGGAUUAUAUCUUGAUUUUUGGUUGAAUUGGUGAAGUUUUAUAAUUAUUGGUUGAAAAGUUAGGGUUUCAUUGUUCUUCAUUCUGCCCCGCACUGUAGCUUAUAGUUAGAGGCCGAAUUGGCUUUGGAUUAAAACAUGAAAGUUGUAGGGAAUGAUAUUUUAGAGAUUCCUGUAAAAGUUCAGGUCAAUCGGAGUAGCGUAGCUUGCGAAAAGACGGAAUUACCCUUGCUACCCUGGUUUUACCCGAAUUUGAUAGUUGCGUCUGUAAUUGGUUAAUUUGGUUGGGAAUGCUUCAGAAUUGGUUGUUGAGGUCUUCUGAUGAAAUGUAUCCUUGUAUCUUAUCUUUCGGAUGGCUUUGGAAUUACUGGAUUUGGACUUAGGUAGCCUGAUUUAUGAUAUUUACACCAGAAUGCGGUUUGUAAACCUGUUUUUGCGGUUCUGGUGUAGUACCUUGCAUUUUUGACCUGGUUUCACUCGAAACUGGGCUGAGUUACCUUCUACAACAUUGUAUCCCUAUCUAUUAGCUUCGAAACGGUGUAUCUUGCACCUUCAUCCGAUAAUCUUAGUGCCUUUGGUGCCAAAACCGCAAAAUGGGGUCAAAAACUAUUUUUUUUUGGGUUAACACUUAACUCUAUUUCCGGAUUUUUCUGGUUUCCCCUAAUGCUUAUGUAUGCUUAUGGAACCCUAUUUUGGUAGUAUUUGGCAUUGGUUUAUGUGUGAGAACCCGUAUUUUUCCCAUUUUCUAGGUUUUAUUAUUUUUUCAUGGCAUGUUUUCUGCAUUUUCGUGAGUAGGAAAAAUUUCUAGAUAAUUUUAAGGAGCAGAUAUAGUUUUUAGAUGAUUUUUCUAGUAUCGAAUAGGUUUUGAGAAAUUAAGAGCGUAUAUCGGACGUGGGACCCGCUAGUGCGAAAAGUUCGGAAAAUUUCGGCCAACUAGGUUAAGUUUUGGAUACUGGAAUUAAUUUACCGGGUGUUAAGAGAUAAGUAGAGGAUGCUAAGUGGAUUGGUAUAAGAGAGACAAGUUAGGUAAGCAUUUAAUAAAGGUGACAAGUGUCACCAUUUGAGUGGGUUUACUUUAGGAAAACUAUUCAUGGUCUUACCAUUUGACUUAAAUAAACCAAAAAUUACCAAAAAUCAUCAAAAAUCCUCCAUGGUGGCCGGCUCUCUCUUUCUCUAUUUCUCUCUCUCUUUCUCUAAGCACAAGGAAGAAAACUCUUCAAGCUUGCUCCAAAUCAUCAAAACCAACCAUUGAAACUUGCAAUUUCUCCAUAAAACCUCUUCAUUUAGUGUUAGUGAGUUGAUUUGUGGAGUUAUUUGGGAAGCUAGGAGGACCUAUUGCUCUCUCUCUCUUGUUUCUAAGGUGAGUUGUGAAGAACCACCCUCCUUCCUUAAUUGAUGCUUAAAUCAUGAUUAGUGGUAGUAUGAGAUGCAAUAUUAUGGAUUAUUUCUUGAUUUGUGGUUGAAGUGAUGAAGUUUUAUUAUUUUUGGGGAUUUUUCUGUUUUAAUAUGAACAUGAUUGUGUGGCUAUCUAUGAUGAUUGGAAAGGGUAUGUAAUGACUCUAGGAGGUGGAAAAAGUGAUUAAUUGCAACCAAUUUCUGGUUUGGAAGAAAUUUCAGAAAAUUAGGGUUUUAGUGGGAACAUUCUGCCCGAAUUUAUAGCUCCUUUUUAGAGGCCGAAUUGGCCUUGUAUUAAAACAUGAAAGUUGUAGGUAAUGACAUUUUAGAGGUGUCUACAAAAUUUCAGGUCAAUCGGAGUAGUGUAAAAUGAGAAAAGUCGAAAUUACUAUUGCUGUUCUGGUUUUACCCGAAUGUAAGAAUUGCGCCUGUAAUUGGUUGUUUUGGCUGGAAUUGCUUCUGAAUUGGUUGUUGAGGCCUUCUGAUGAAAUGUAUCCCUGUUUCUUAGCUUUCAGCUGGUUUUGGAAUUUCGGGAUUUGGAUUUGGAUAGCCUGAUUUAUGAUGUUUCUGCUAGAAUGCGUUCUGUGAAUCUAUUUUUGUGAUUCUGGUGUAGUAUCUUGCAUUUUUGACCUGGUUACACUCGAAACUGGGUUGAGUGACCUUCUGAAAAAUUGUAGCCCUCUCUUUUAGUUUCAAAACGGUGGGUCUUGUACCUUCAUCCGAUAAUCGUAGUACCUUUGGUGCCAUUACCGCAAAAUGAGGUCAAAAACUUUUUUUUCAGGGUUAAAGCUAAAUCAUUUCCGGAUUUUUCUGGUUUCCUCUAUUGCUUGUGUAUGCUUAGGGAACCCUGUUUUGGUAGUAUGUAGAAUUGGUUUAUGACUUGUAAUCGAGUCUUAUUGUGUUUAUUUGAAUAGUUUAGGGCUUGACUUUCAUAUCCGGUCAUUUCCUAGCUAAAUUUUGUACUUGAAUGCCAUUAAGCCUAGUGAACGGCUUUUGGGAAUGAGAUUAUUUUUGUACGAACUGUUGGGACUGAUUUGAGGAAAUAAUGAAGCCAUGAUGGCUGGAAAAUAGGUAAACAGAAGGGAUAUGCUGCUGAAAUUUUCUUGAAGGCUAGUUGGAUUUACUUGUGAUUUGAACGAAGGGCUUUUGGGUUGUUUGAACCUAGGUCUUCAUGUUACCUUUUCGUUAUCAAAAAUCAUGUUUUACACCCUUGCUUUAGUAAUUAUUUGGCGAGGCAUACGACUGGUAGUCGAGCCUCACAUGCGCAUUCUGUCUACUCGAUUUUGAAAGUGGAACCUUCAAUUGUUUUCCUUGGAUUAUUUUAGGGUUCCUUGGUGAUUAAAGCUCUCUUUUGGGAGGUAUCCGUACUGACCCUGGUGAGUGUACUACUCACUUGUGUGUUACUAUAUGACUUUGAUACUUGAACUUGAUGAGUUAAAUGUUUAUUGUACCAUUGAUAUUGAUUGAAGUGAGGGUGUACUUUAUCACUCUCACUUAUUUCUCAUGUUAUUGAAAUGUUCCAUGCAAUGUUACAUGAAAUGAAAGUACUUGACUUGGUGUCGAUUGGACGAGUAUCCAACGACUACAAAUGUUAUCAAUGAGCUCAACCACAUUGGUAGUUGAUUGAAUCGAGCCGGCGAGAGCUUGGUCGUGCCAAUUGAUAUGCCUUGGGGAAGUGUUAUAUGGAAUCUUGUAGUAUGCGAGACUCUCGAUUCCGGUUUACUCGAGUAAUACCAAAGUGCAAGUGUUUGGAUUUCGGGCCCGGUAGGGGGAUGUUAGGUGGAAGGAGUGGAAGUAAAGUGGAGUCUACGGUUGGUUACUUUUGAACAUUGACGGAGAGUCAAUGACGUCCGAUCAAGAAAUGCAAACGAGGAAAGGGCUCUUGAGAGCCAUCUGUAUCCUUUUAUCAUCAUAUUUGACGUGUGCCUUUGCUUAUUUUACUAUAUUGAAUGAAAGCUUGAUGCUUAUAUGCACUUGGUUGCGUAAGUGAUAGUAUCUCACUGGGCAAUUAGCUCACACCGUUCCUUUUGUUUUCCUUACAGGAAUAUGACUCUUUUUGGAAUGAAUCUUGAUAGAUGGUUGCCGAAUGAACUAGAUGUAUAUCUCUUUUGUAUUGUAUAUGAAGUGGAACCCUAAAUGUAUCUAUAGGGCCGUUUUCACUUUCAAUUUGGCAAACCGUGUAUAUAUUAACUUUUGAAAAACUUUUGUAUGUCACUUUGGAUUGUAAUUGCUAAAGUUCAAGAUGUGAAUGUUUGUUUGAGAUUUGGUUGCGUUCUGACGGGUCGGUUACUAUUCAUGGCCGACUCCGAAUUUCAUUUUUUUUUAUUUUGGGUUAUUUUGCCCUUUUUCCUUGUUUACACGCGUUAUAAGUUCCGGAACGCAAUAGAUCGCUCUAAACUGCACCGUUAGUCCUGGCGAGAGCUGGGCAGGUAGUCCGUUAACCCCUCUGGUUCGCCUUAGGGGAAGGUGGGGCUGUCACAUUAUGACUCGUUAUCGAGUCUUAUUGUACUUGUUUGCAUGUUUUAGGGCAUGACGGUGGUUCACGACGCUCCUUUGACGGAGGUGCAUGAAAUAUCAUUUUCAAGCUUGGUGAGUGUACUACUCACUUGUGUGUUACUCUAUGGCUUUGAUAUUUGAACUGGAUGUGUUGAAUGUUUAUUGCACCUUCGAUAUUGAUUUAAGUGAGGGUGUACUUGAUCACUCUCACUUAAUUGGAAUGUUACAUGAAAUAAAAGUACUUGACUUGGUAUCGUUUGGACGAGUAUCCAACGACCAUGAUUGUUACCAUUGAGCUCAAUCCCAUUGGUAGUUGAUUGAAUCGAGCCGGCGAGGGCUUGGUCGUGCCAAUUAAUGAACCUUGGGGACUGUUAUAUGGAAUCUUGUAGUAUGAGAGACUCUUGAUUCCGGUAUACUCGAGUAAUACCACAUUGCAAGUGUUUGGAGUUCGGGCCCGGUAGGGGUAUGUUGGGUGGAAGGAAUGGAAGUAAAGUGGAGUCUACGGUUGGAUACUUUGAAACAUUGACGGAGAGUCAAUGAGGUUCGAUCAAGAAUGCAAACGAGGAAAAGGGCUCUUGAGAGCUGCCCGUAUCCUUUGAUCACCACUUUUGAUGUGUGCCUUUGCUUACUUUUGAUCAAUUGGAAUGAAAAGCUUUAUGCUUAUGUGAACUUUGCUGCUUGAGUGGUAUUAUCUCACUGGGCGUAAGCUCACCCUAUUCCUUUUGUUUUCCUUACAGGAAAAUAAAUACUUUUGGACUGCAAUUGAUAGUUGGUUGCCGAAUUGAGCUAGAUGGACAUAUCUUUUGUAUAACUCCUAGAUUGAAACCCUAAAUGUACUUUUGGGACCGUUUCUCUAUUGAUUUGGCAAACCAUACAUGUAUCCACUUUUGAAUACUUUUGCAUGCCACUUUGGUUUGUAAAUGCUAAAUUUCAAGAUGUAAAUAUUUGUUUGAUGUUUGGUUGGGUUUUGACGGGUCGGUUACUAUUAAUGGCCGACUCCGUUUUCAUUUUUUUUUUAUUUUGUCAUUUUGACCUGUUCAUGCGCGUUUGUAUGUUCCGGAACGUAUUAGAUCGCUCUAAUCUGAACCGUUAGUCCUGGCAAGAGCUGGGCAGGCAGUCCGCUAACCCCUUUGGUUCGCCUUAGGGGAAGGUGGGGCUGUCACAAUAACAGUUCCAAUGGAAAACACUUGAAUCAAAGUCAAGUCGGAAUCCAACCAGAGAGGCUCAAAAAUAUUAUUUUUCGGAAUCGUUUAUGUGGUUCAAAAUCAAUAUACAUUCAAGUAGGUAUUAUGGCCUACAUGUCUUGACUGAGAAAACCUUAGGUCAUACCUCGAUAUUUUGGUAUGAAGUAGUAAAUAAACAUUUGAAGGUUCAAAUGGAAAAGGUAUCAUGUUUUAAGAUGGAAAACGGGCAUAGUAUUUGCCAAACGAAAAUAUACAAGUUCAAAUAGAAGCUUAGCCCUUGAGCGAAAAUUUGGGCAGCACGCCCUUUGUAUUUUCCUAUUUCCAGCCAUUUAUGGCUUCAUUAUUUUUCUUAUUCAAACCCAAAGGUACACACACAACAAUUUAAUUUCAAUAGCCGUUCAGUAAGCUCCAAGUAGUACCAGUACAAUUCAAGCUAGGGAAAAGUCCGGAAAUAAAAGUUAAGCUCUAAACCAUAAAACAGUUUUUGACAUCAUUUUUGCGGUUUUGGCACCAAUGGCACUACGAUUAUCGGAUGGAGGUGCAAGAUACACCGUUUUGAAGCUAAGAGAUAGUGAUACAAUGUUGAAGAAGGCUACUCAGUCCAGUUUGUGAGAGCCCGUAAUUUUUUUUAAGUACUAGGUUUUAUUUUUUCUUUUAAUUGCACGUUUUUCCACAUUUUAUUGAUUUGAAAAAUUGGGAAAAUAAUUUUUAUGAGUAAAUAUAGUUUUUGGAUGAUUUUUCUAGUAUCGGAUAGUUUUUGAGAAAUUAAGAGCAUAUACCGGACGUGGGACCCACUAGUGCGAAAAGUUCGGAAAAAUUCGGCCAACUAGGUUAAGUGUUGGAUACUGGAAUUAAUUUACCGGUGUUAAGAGAUAAGUAGAGGAUGCUAAGUGGAUUGGUAUGAGGGAGACAAAAGUUAGGCAAGCAUUAAAUGAGGUGACAAGUGUCACCAUUUGAUUGGAGUGACUUGUAAAACUACUAUUCCUUUUCUUACCAUUGACCAAAUAAAUCACAAAAUUAACCAAAAAUUCCCAUUUUCUUCUCUUCAAGUGGCCGGCUCUCUCUCUCCAAAAGAAAGAAAGAAACUCUUCAAGGUUUGCUUCCAUUUAGCUCAAAUCCAUCCAACCAACCAUUGAAACUUGCAAUUUCUCCAUAAAACCUCUUCAAUUAGUGUUAGUGAGUUGAUUUGUGGAGUUAUUUGGAAAACUAAGAGGACCUAUUGCUCUCUCUCUCUCUUGUUUCUAAGGUGAGUUGUGAAGAACCACCCUCCUCCCUUAAUUGAUGCUUAAAUCAUGAUUAGUGGUAGUAUGAGAUGCAAGUUUAUGGAUUAUUUAUUGAUUUGUGGUUGAAGUGAUGAACUUUUAUUAUUUUUGGGGAUUUUUCUGUUUUAAUAUGAACAUGAUUGUGUGGCUAUCCAUGAUGAUUGGAAAUGGUAUAUAAUGACUCUAGGAGGUGGAAAAAGUGGUUAAUUACAAACAAUUGCUGAAUUGGAAGAAAUUUUGGAAAGUUAGGGUUUGGUUAGGGAACAUUCUGCCCGAAUUUAUAGCUCCUAGUUAGAGGCCGAAUUGUCCUUGGAUUAAAACAUUAAAGUUGUAGGGAAUGACAUUUUAGAGGAUCCUACAAAAUUUCAGGUCAAUCGGAAUAGCGUAGAAUGAUAAAAGUCGAAAUUACCCUGGCUGUUCUGGUUUUAUCCGAAUGUAAGAAUUGCGCCAGUAAUUGGUUGUUUUGGCUGGAAUUGCUUCGGAAUUGGUUGUUGAGGUCUUCUGAUGCAAUGUGGCCCUGUUUCUUAGAUUUCAUCUGGUUUUGGAAUUUCUGGAUUUGGACUUGGAUAGCCUGAUUUAUGAUGUUUGCAGUAGAACGUGUUCUGUGAAUCUGUUUUUCUGAUUCUGGUGUAGUUUCUUGCAUUUUUGACCUGGUUACACUCGAAACUGGGUUAAGUGACCUUCUGCAAUAUUGUAGCCCUAUCUUUUAGCUUCGAAACGGUGAGUCUUUCACCUUCAUCCGAUAAUCGUAGUACCUUUGGUGCCAUUACCGCAAAAUGAGGUCAAAAACUAUUUUUUUCAGGGUUAAAGCUAAAUCAUUUCCGGAUUUUUCUUGUUUCCUAUAAUGCUUAUGUAUGCUUAUGGAACCCUAUUUCGGUAGUAUUUGACAUUGGUUUAUGACUAGUAUUCGAGUCUUAUUGUGUUUAUUGGAAUCUAGUCAUUUUCCUAGCUAACCUCCGUACUUGAAUGACUUUAAGCCUAGUGAACGGCUUUUGGAAAUGAGAUUAUUCUGUAUGAGAUGUUGGGACUGAUUUGAGGAAAUAAUGAAGCCAUUAAUGGCUGGAAAAUAGGUAAACACAAGGGAUUUGCUGCCGAAAUUUUACUUGAAGGCUAGUUGGAUUCCGACUUGUCUUUGGUCCAAGUGCUUUUUUUUGCCGCAAAAUUUUAUAACCCUUUUUAGUUUAGUUUUGCGUUUGGUUUAUGAAACCCUAGAUAUUUCCGUCCAUCAGUCCAAAUGCCCCGUUUCGCUUUAAAGUCAUUUUUAUGCGUUUUACUCAUCAUUUAUUGGGUUUCUUCGAUUACACCUAAUUGGUUGUGCUAUAUUCUUUCUCGUUCAAUCUUAGGUUUUCUCGGUGAUUAAGGAUUCUAUCCAGAAGGAUAUUUUGCACGUUAUUUUGCAUAGUUAGGUGAGUGUUCCUUAAUUGUUAAAUGCUUCUUGACUUCAUAACUUUUAUUAUUGAUUGCUAACGUGUUAAGUGCUUUUAAUGAUUUCCAAAACGAGCUUUCUAGGCGAGGGUGUACUUUAUCGCACUCGACCUAAAUAACUGUGCAAUUUUCAAGGAUUUAAUAAUUGAAAUGCUAGUUGCGCAUGAAUGUAAGUGUGACAGCCCCACCUUCCCCUAAGGCGAACCAGAGGGGUUAGCGGACUGCCUGCCCACCUCUCGCCAGGACUAACGGUACAGUUUAGAGCGAUCUAUUGCGUUCCGGAACUUAUAACGCGCGUAAACGAGUCAAAAUGGCAAAAUAACCCAAAAUAAAAAAAAUGAAAUCCGGAGUCGGUCAUGAAUAGUAACCGACCCGUCAGAAUCCAACCAAAUAGCAAGCAAACAUUCACAUCUUGAACUUGAGCAUUUACAAUCCAAAGUGACAUACAAAAGUUCUCAAAAGUUAAUAUAUACACGGUUUGCCAACUUGAAAGUGAAAACGGCCCUAAAGAUACAUUUAGGGUUUCACUUCAUAUAUAAAACAAAAGAGAUAUACAUCUAGUUCAUUCGGCAACCAUCUAUCAAGAUUCAUUCCAAAAAGAGUCAUAUUCCUGUAAGGAAAACAAAAGGAACGGUGUGAGCUAAUUGCCCAGUGAGAUACUAUCACUUACCCACCCAAGUGCAUAUAAGCAUCAAGCUUUCAUUCAAUAUAGUAAAUAUAGUAAAAAUAAGCAAAGGAACACGUCAAAAUGAUGAUAAAAGGAUACGGAUGGCUCUCAAGAGCCCUUUCCUCGUUUGCAUUUCUUGAUCGGACGUCAUUGACUCUCCGUCAAUGUUCAAAAGUACCAACCGUAGACUCCACUUUACUUCCACUCCUUCCACCUAACAUACCCCUACCGGGCCCGAAAUCCAAACACAUGCACUUUGUUAUUACUCGAGUAAACCGGAAUCGAGAGUCUCUCAUACUACAAGAUUCCAAAACAUUUCCCCAAGGCACAUCAAUUGGCACGACCAAGCCCUCGCCGGCUCGAUUCAAUCAACUACCAAUGGGGUUGAGCUCAUUGAUAACAAUUGUAGUCGUUGGAUACUCGUCCAAACGACACCAAGUCAUGUAUUUUCAUUUCAAGUAACACUUCGUGUAACAUUUCAAUCACAUGAUAGCAAGGAUAUAAGGCACAUAGUGAGAGUGAUAAAGUACACUUUCACUUCAAGCAAUUAACAUUCAAAGCACCAAGUUCAAGUAUCAAAGCCAUAUAUUAACAUACAAGUGAGUAGUACACUCACCAAGCUCGCAAAUGUGGUUUCAUGCACUUCCGUCAAAAGAACGUUGUGCACCACGGUCACGCCCUAAAACAUGCAAACAAAUACAAUGAGACUCGAUAACGAGUCACAAACCAAGGCCAAACAUGACCCAAUAGGAUUCCAUAAGCAUAUACAAACAUUAAAGGAAACCAGAAAAUUCGGAAAUGCAAUUAGCUUUGGCCCUGAAAAAAAUAGUUUUUGUCCUCGUUUUGCGGUAAUGGCACCAAUUUCACUACGAUUAUCGGAUGAAGGUGUACGAACCACCAAUUCGAAGCUAAAAGACAGGGCUACAACAUCACAGAAGGUCACUCAACCCAGUUUUGAGUGAAAACAGGUCAAAAAGCAAGAUACUACAUCAAAACCGUAAAAACAGAUUCCCAAAACGUAUUCUAGCGGAAACAUCAUAACUCAGGCUCUCCAAGUCCAAAUCCAGAAAUUCAAAAACCAGAUGAAAUCUAAGAAACAGGGAUAAAUUUCAUCAGAAGGCCUCAACAACCAAUUCGGAAGAAAUUCCAGCCAAAACAACCAAUUACAGGCGCAAUUCUUACAUUCGGGUAAAACCAGAACAGCAAUAGAAAUUUCAACUUUUCUCAUUCUACACUACUCCGAUUGACCUGAAAUUUUGUAGGUAUCUCUAAAAUGUCAUUCCCUACAACUUUCAUGUUUUAAGACAAGGCCAAUUCGGCCUCUAACUAGGAGCUAAAAAUUCGGGCAGAAUGCUCCCACAAGAACCCUAAUUUUCUGAAAUUUCUUCCAAACCAGAAAUUGGUUGCAAUUAAUCACUUUUUCCACCUCCUAGAGUCAUUAUAUACCAUUGCCAAUCAUCAUAGAUAGCCACACAAUCAUGAUUAUAUUAAAACAGAAAAAUCCCCAAAAAUAAUAAAACUUCAUAACUUCAACCACAAAUCAAGAAAUAAUCCAUAAACUUGCAUCUCAUACUACCACUAAGCAUGAUUUAAGCAUCAAUUAAGGGAGGAGGGUGGUUCUUCACAACUCACCUUAAAAACAAGAGAGAGAGAGCAAUUGGUCACCUUAACUUUCCAAAUAACUUCACACAACAACUCACCAACACUUCCUUAAGUGGUUUUAUGGAGCAAAAUCAAGGUUGGAUGGUUGAUUUUGAUGAUUUGGAGCAAGCUUGAAGAGUUUUCGUCCUUGUGCUUAGAGUAAGAGAGAGAGAAAGAGAGGGCCGGGCACCAUGGAGGAUUUUUUUGAUGAUUUUUGGUCAUUUUUGGUUUAUUUAAGUCAAAUGGUAAGACCAUGAAUAGUGGUCUUAAGGUAUGAAGCAAUCACAUGGUGACACUUGUCACCUUUUAUUAAAUACCUACCUAACUUGUCUCUCUCGUAUCAAUCCAAAUUGCAACCUCUACUUAUCUCUUAACACCCGGUAAAUUAAUUCCAGUAUCCAAAACUUAACCUAGUUGGCCGAAUUUUUCCGAACUUUUCGCACUAGUGGGUCCCACGUCCGGUAUACGCUCUUAAUUUCUCAAAACCUAUUCGAUACUAGAAAAAGCAUCUAAAAAUUAUAUCUGCUCCUUAAAAUUAUCUAGAAAUUUUCCUAAGCACAAAAAUGCAGAAAACAAGACAUGAAAGAUUCUAAAACCUAGGAAAUGGAAAAUUACGGGUUCUCACAGUAAGCCUUUUGGCUGAACUGGCCACUGCCCCUUGUUACCGAUCGACUCGAGCCAGAAGCGGACUCGGUCGGGCGAUAUGGUGACCUGGGUGAACGUUUUGGUAUACUCGAGUAUUACCUUUGUAGGUUGGUGGAGAUUGGUGGAGCCUGGACAAUGUCCUGGAGAGGGUGAAUGAAAUGAACGAACGAACGAACGAACGAGGGUUUAUUCCCAAAAUGAAAUUUUCAAAUGAUUGGAGGAAUACGGGGAAAUGUCAGGAGAACGAAUGAAUGAUCGAAUGAAUUGCUCCCUGUGAGCCGUAUCCUUUUCAUGAAUGUUUUAUCGCUUUCCAUUGUAAAUGUUUCGUGAAGUAGUGAUAUGCCAUGUUAGUGUAUUGGAUUGAUUGUUUUAUUAUGUGUUCGGAACCUCACUGAGCUUUUAGCUCAUCCAUUUAGUUUUGUUUUCCUUAACAGGGGAAGGCACGCAAGGACGAGAGAUCUGUAUAGACUAGCUGGUCUAGUUUUUUAUUUUUGUAAUGGUUCUCGCCCUAGUGCUUGGCACGGGCUGGUUGUAUGGUGGAUUGGGAACCUUUGUAUAUUCGACGGUUGUACUUCUUUUGAGAUGGUAAUGUAUAUAAGUUUCGUUUACGUUUUUGGAUCAUUGCCAUAUUUUUUGUACGGGCUAGAUCUGGUUUUGCUCAAGGAUGGAAGUGAUCGACUGAGUCCCGGCGAGAGCUGGGCAGGCAGUCCGCUAACCCCUUUGGUUCGCCUUAGGAGAAGGUGGGGCUGUCACAGUUGGUAUCAGAGCCUGCUUCGCGUGGUCUUUGCGCGGAGUGAGCCUGGACUAAGUGGUGAAUAGGUAUGAAGGACUAAGUGCUCGUUUGAGCCUAAGCUCUGAAUUGUGAAUGUUAUAGGCCGUAAAUCUCUCUCAUGAUAUCUGAGGAUCAUAGAUAGGUACGUCUGGUAGGAAUUUCGAUUGAAGAUGGUUUACUCUUGGGACUGGCCAGCUCGAGAGGUGAAUUGUCUUAUUUCGGAUUCUUGUGCCUGAGUACUCCAGAGUUGAGGCGGUGUUAGUAUGUAGGAUUUGCAUUUUGGGAACAUGAAUAGGUUUUGUUUGGCUAGAAUAAGACAGGAGGUCAAGGGAUAACUAGGUUGGUUGAUAAGUGACGUGAGAGAUCGGACGGGGUUAUUUGACUGCGACCGGGAUGAUAUCGCCUUUACUUUUGAUUUGCUCUUAUACCGUUAUGACAUGACAUUGGUUUGAGUAUUGUGCAUAGGAUUAUCUAUCUAAUUUGACAUGUAUCGGUGUAUUUUAUUGUCUGCCUUCUUGAUACAUGGUGUGUAUAUGUGUAUAUGUCUUUGGUGUAAUUGGUGUGCUAGAAUUCGAUUCCUUUUGUCACUUUCCUGUAUUUAUUCACUGAAUUACCUUUUUGGGGGGAAAAAAAAGAGAGGGAAAAAAAAAAUAUAUAUAUAUAUAUGGAGGGAAGACGUAGUCGCGGACGUGGUAGUGGCCGUGGUGAUAGGCGAGCCCAAGAACCAAGGGCAGAAAGGGAAACAUCGGCGGAGCCUGUACCAGGUACCAAGGGUUGAAGCCGGAGAUCAGGUGGCGACGGCCAUUCAACAAAUGACCAAUAUUCUAGCACGGUUGGUGGACCAACAAGGUCAAAUGCCCGUGCAUCAACCCCAAAACCCUGAAAUAGGAGAAGAUCGGGCCCUUGAGAGGUUUCAAAAGUUUGCACCUCCAAAAUUCGCUGGAGGGCCUGAUCCGGACAUCACUAAACAGUGGUUAGAGGCCAUGGUGAAUAUAUUCACAGCUUUGAACUACACUGAACAGAGACAAGUGAACUUUACAGUGUUUCAAUUUAAAGGAUCGGCCCGGGCAUGGUGGAACGUAAUUAGAGCAAAGUGGGAAAGAGAACGGACUGUAUGGACGUGGGCGAAUUUUGUAAGAGAAUUUAACGAGAAGUACCUCCCACCUCUAGUCCAAGAAAGGAGGGAGGACGAAUUUAUUGGACUACGCCAGGAGACCUUAAGUGUGGCUGAAUACGAAACCAAAUUUACCAAACUAUCCAAGUUCGCUUCCGAAUUAGUAGCCACGGAACCGAGAAGAGUUAGGCGGCUCAUACAGGGAUUGAACUUGGACAUCCAGGAGGCGUUGGUAGCGGCGCAAGUGAAUACAUUUACGGAGGCCCUUGAGAAGGCUCAACGAAUCGAGAAUGCAAAGGCGCAGGUGAAAGCUUCCCAAAUACGGAAAAUGGGUGCAGUGGGUAGCGUGAGUGAGGAACUUACCAAAUCAGUAGCACCCUCUAAAGUGCAGAAAGUGGACUUUUUGUCCUACCCGCCAUGGACAUUGGGGCCGGGAGAUGAAAGGUCUACUAAAGGAAGCCAAAUAGGACCUGAAAAGAUUUCUCAAGACAGUCAAAAGAUGACUUCUCACUUGGUUUACGGUAACUGUGGAAAGGCAAAUCAUACCGAGGAUGCUUGUUGGCGGAAAGUGUGACAGCCCCACCUCCCCCUAAGGCGAACCAGAGGGUUCGGCGGGCCGCCUGCCCAGCUCUCGCCGGGACUCAGUCGUUCACUACAGUCCUCAAACAGAUUACAAGAUAAAACUCAAAUAUUACAUCAAAUUCUCCAAUAAAUAAUUACAUAUCAAAAGCGAAGCGUCCAUGCUUCCACUGCGCCACUCUGAUCCAUGAUCCCCACUAUUAUACAAGAGGAAUUCCACAACAAUAAAAUCACAACAAGCCUUCCUUCGCCACGAGCCCUGUGGAGGGGAAUAAAAAUAGUUUUGGGGUGAGUUAGAAGCUCAGCGAGUAACCAAUAAAAUCAGUAAUCAAAUAUAUUUCACAAUAAUGCAUUUCGAUGAUGUCAUGAUUCAGAGAUCAAAUAUACGUUUAUUGCUCUCGUGAGCCAGUGAAAUCAUUACACUUGAACACCCAACGCUCAAAUAGAUCAUUUAACAGUAACAUUGAGAGGGAGCCCCUUUUUGAGCUCCAGAUAAACAUGAACAUGAACCAUAAAUAGGGUGGAGACGUUGGUGUCCAGCACAAGACUUUCCCAGAACUCGUUGAAGCCAAAAUCAUAUCAUGAAUUCACAUACAAGCACGCAUGAGAUGCAAUCGAGUAAAUAAUGCAAGAAACAUUUCACAAGUACUUUGGAAAUAGUUUAGGGUCACUCACCUCCAUGGCUCAGAAAUCAUCCAGCAUAUAACAUUGCCUUGCUCAAAUCCAAGUCUUAGAUCACAAACUCAAAGCAAACAAAUCCCUUCAAAGUUCGGACAGCACUUCCCUUGAAUUUGUUAACUUUUCCAGCCAUCAUGGCUUCAUUAUUUCCUCAUUCCAACCCAAAGGUACACACACAACAACAAGUUCAUCCAAUAGCCAUUCAGCAAGCUCCAAGUAGUACUAGUACAAGUCAAGCUAGGGAAAAGUCCGGAAAUGAAAGUUAAGCUCAAAACCAGAAAAAUAGUUUUGACGUCAUUUUGCGGUAAUGGCACCAAAGGUACUUCGAUGGUCAGAUGAAGGUACAAGAUACACCAUUUCGAAGCUAAGAUAUAGGGCUACAAUAUUACAGAAGGUCACUCAACCCAGUUUCGACUGUAACCAGGUCAAAAAUGCAAGAUACUAUACCAGAAUCACAAAAACAGAUUCACAGAACGCAUUCUAGAGGAAACAUCAUAACUCAGGCUCUCCAAGUCCAAAUCCAGAAAUUCCAAAACCAUCUGAAAGCUAAGAAACAGGGAUAAAUUUCAUCAUAAGGACUUAACAACCAAUUCAGAAGCAAUUCCAGCCAAAACAACCAAUUACAGGCGCAAUUCUUACAUUCGGGUAAAACCAGAACAGCAAUAGUAAUUUUGACUUUUCUCACUCUACGCUACUCCGAUUGACCUGAAAUUUUGUAGGCACCUCUAAAAUGUCAUUCCCUAAAACUUUCAUGUUUUAAUCCAAGGCCAAUUAGGCCUCUAACUAGGAGCUAAAAAUUCGGGCAGAAUGUUCCUUCACAAAACCUAAUUUUCUGAAAUUUCUUCCAAAACAGAAAUUGAUUGCAAUUGACCACUUUUUCCACCUCAUAGAGUCCUUAAACAUCAUUUCCAAUCAUCAUAUAUAACCACACAACCAUGUUCAUAUUAAAACAGAAAAAUCCCCAAAAAUUAUAAAACUUCAUCAAGUCAACCACAACUCAAGAUAUAAUCCAUCAAACCAUCUCUUUAGCCAUCACAAGUCACUAAUUUAGCAUAAUCAAGAACAAAGAAAGGAUUGCUAGACAUGAACCUUGAAAUAUCAAGAAAGUUGAUGGCUUAGUCCUUUGCCUUCUCUAAUCACUCCACCACAACCUUCAAUCUUCCUAAACAAGUGACUUUUGUGGAGGAAUUUGAAAGUUUAACGGUUGAUUCACAAGAUUGAGCAAGAAAUGGAGUUGGAGUUGAAGGCUUUCUUCUUGUAUUUUUGCUCCAAGAGGUUCGGCCAAGACAAGCUUAAAAUGGAGAGAAAUUGGUCAAUUUUUGAGGUUUAGUAAAGGUGAUGCAAAUUAGUCAAAGUCCAACUUUGAAUAAGAAGGUGACACAUGUCACCUUUUGGUUUAAAACUUAUCUUUUUAUCUCUCCAAUACAAAUAUCUUAACACUUUGUAAAAUAAUAUCACUUAAUACAAAAUUCCAACAAGUUGUCAAAAAUAUAAUGCAUUUACCGCACUUGCGGGUCCCACGUUCAAAAUACGCUUUUAAUUUCUCAAAAACUAACCGAUACUAGAAAAAUCAUUUUAAAACUAUCUUUGCUCAUAAACUUUAUCUGGGGAAUUUUUCUAAUAAAGAAAAUGUAGAAAAGGCGGGCGAUUAAAAAAAAUAAACCCUAGAAAAUUAGAAAAUUUCCGGGUUCUCACACUCAUUCUUUCGGGGCAUCACAGAAAGGGCGGAAAUGUUUGAUCUGUGGAAGCAAUGAGCAUCAAGUGAGUAAUUGUCCGAGGAGACAUCCACGUGAGGGUAGUACUCAGUCACUGGAUGGAACCAAAGUAAAACCGGUGAAAGAAAGAGGGAACCGACCAAGUGUACCGGCAAAAGCGUAUGCAUUAGACAACCAAGCUAUUCCGGACUCGUCUGAGGCAAAUAAAGGUAAAAAUUUCGAGAACGAAAUUUCCUUAAGGGUGAGAGAGUGUGAGAGCCCGUAAUUUUUUUUAAGUACUAGGUUUUAUUUUUUCUUUUAAUUGCACGUUUUUCCACAUUUUAUUGAUUUGAAAAAUUGGAAAAAUAAUUUUUAUGAGUAAAUAUAGUUUUUGGAUGAUUUUCUAGCAUCGGAUAGUUUUUGAGAAAUUAAGAGCAUAUACCGGAUGUGGGACCCAUUAGUGCGAAAAGUUCGGAAAAAUUCGGCCAACUAGGUUAAGUGUUGGAUACUGGAAUUAAUUUACCGAGUAUUAAGAGAUAAGUAGAGGAUGCUAAGUGGAUUGGUAUGAGGGAGACAAAAGUUAGGCAAGCAUUAAAUGAGGUGACAAGUGUCACCAUUUGAUUGGAGUGACUUGUAAGACUACUAUUCCUUUUCUUACCAUUGACCAAAUAAAUCACAAAAUUAACCAAAAAUUCCCAUUUUCUUCUCUUCAAGUGGCCGGCUCUCUCUCUCCAAAAGAAAGAAAGAAACUCUUCAAGGUUUGCUUCCAUUUAGCUCAAAUCCAUCCAACCAACCAUUGAAACUUGCAAUUUCUCCAUAAAACCUCUUCAAUUAGUGUUAGUGAGUUGAUUUGUGGAGUUAUUUGGAAAACUAAGAGGACCUAUUGCUCUCUCUCUCUCUCUCUUAUUUCUAAGGUGAGUUGUGAAGAACCACUCUCCUCCCUUAAUUGAUGCUUAAAUCAUGAUUAGUGGUAGUAUGAGAUGCAAGUUUAUGGAUUAUUUAUUGAUUUGUGGUUGAAGUGAUGAAGUUUUAUUAUUUUUGGGGAUUUUUCUGUUUUAAUAUGAAAAUGAUUGUGUGGCUAUCCAUGAUGAUUGGAAAUGGUAUAUAAUGACUCUAGGAGGUGGAAAAAGCGGUUAAUUGCAAACAAUUGCUGAAUUGGAAGAAAUUUUGGAAAGUUAGGGUUUGGUUAGGGAACAUUCUGCCCGAAUUUAUAGCUCCUAGUUAGAAGCCGAAUUGGCCUUGGAUUAAAACAUGAAAGUUGUAUGAAAUAAUAUUUUAGAGGUGGCUACAAAAUUUCAGGUCAAUCGGAGUAGCGUAGAAUGAGAAAAGUCAAAAUUACCCUUGCUAUUCUUGUUUUACCCGAAUGUAAGAAUUGCGCCUGUAAUUGGUUGUUUUGGCUGGAAUUGCUUCGGAAUUGGUUGUUGAGGUAUUCUGAUGAAAUGUGUCCCUGUUUCUUAGAUUUCAUCUGGUUUUGGAAUUUCUGGAAUUGGACUUGGAUAGCCUAAUUUAUGAUGUUUACAGUAGAACGCGUUCUGUGAAUCUGGUUUUCCGAUUCUGGUGAGUUUCUUGCAUUUUUGACCUGGUUACACUCGAAACGGGGUUAAGUGACCUUCUGUAAUAUUUUAACCCUAUCUUUUAGCUUCGAAACAGUGGGUCUUGCACCUUCAUCCGAUAUUCGUAGUACCUUUGGUACCAUUACCGUAAAAUGAGGUCAAAAACUAUUUUUUUCAGGGUUAAAGAUAAAUCAUUUCCGGAUUUUUCUGGUUUCCUAUAAUGCUUAUGUAUGCUUAUGGAACCCUAUUUCGGUAGUAUUUGACAUUGGUUUAUGACUUGUAUUCGAGUCUUAUUGUGUUUAUUGGAAUCUAGUCAUUUUCCUAGCUAACCUCCGUACUUGAAUGACUUUAAGCCUAGUGAACGGCUUUUGGAAAUGAAAUUAUUCUGUAUGAGAUGUUGGGACUGAUUUGAGGAAAUAAUGAAGCCAUUAAUGGCUGGAAAAUAGGUAAAUACAAGGGAUUUGUUGCCGAAAUUUUACUUGAAGGCUAGUUGGAUUCGGACUUGUCUUUGGUCCAAGUACUUUUUUUUGCCGCAAAAUUUUAUAACCCUUUUUAGUUUAGUUUUGCGUUUGGUUUAUGAAACCCUAGAUAUUUCCGUCCAUCAGUCCAAAUGCCUCGUUUCGGUUUAAAGUCAUUUUUAUGCGUUUUACUCAUCAUUUAUUGGGUUUCUUCGAUUUCACCUAAUUGGUUGUGCUAUAUUCUUUCUCGUUCAAUCUUAGGUUUUCUCGGUGAUUAAGGAUUCUAUCCAGAAGGAUAUUUUGCACGUUAUUUUGCAUAGUUAGGUGAGUGUUCCUUAUUUGUUAAAUGCUUCUUGACUUCAUAACUUUUAUUAUUGAUUGCUAACGUGUUAAGUGCUUUUAAUGAUUUCCAAAACGAGCUUUCUAGGUGAGGGUGUACUUUAUCGCACUCGACCUAAAUAACUGUACAAUUUUCAAGGAUUUAAUAAUUGAAAUGCUAGUUGUGCAUGAAUGUAAGCCUUUUGGCUGAACUGGCCACUGCCCCUUGUUACCGAUCGACUCGAGCCAGAAGCGGACUCGGUCGGGCAAUAUGGUGACCUGGGUGAACGUUUUGGUAUACUCGAGUAUUACCUUUGUAGGUUGGUGGAGGUUGGUGGAGCCUGGACAAUGUCCAGGAGAGGGUGAAUGAAAUGAACGAACGAACGAGGGUUUAUUCCCAAAAUGAAAUUUUCAAAUGAUUGGAGGAAUACGGGGAAAUGUCAAGAGAACGAAUGAAUGAUCGAAUGAAUUGCUCCCUGUGAGCCGUAUCCUUUUCAUGAAUGUUUUAUCGCUUUCCAUUGUAAAUGUUUCGUGAAGUAGUGAUAUGCCAUGUUAGUGUAUUGGAUUGAUUGUUUUAUUAUGUGUUCGGAACCUCACUGAGCUUUUAACUCAUCCCUUUAGUUUUGUUUUCCUUAACAGGGGAAGGCACGCAAGGACGAGAGAUCUGUAUAGACUAGCUGGUCUAGUUUUUUAUUUUUGUAAUGGUUCUCGCCCUAGUGCUUGGCACGGGCUGGUUGUAUGGUGGAUUGGGAACCUUUGUAUAUUCGAUGGUUGUACUUCUUUUGAGAUGGUAAUGUAUAUAAGUUUCGUUUACGUUUUUGGAUCAUUGCCAUAUUUUUCGUACGGGCUGGAUCUGGUUUUGCUCGAGGAUGGAAGUGAUCGACUGAGUCCCGGCGAGAGCUGGGCAGGCAGUCCGCUAACCCCUUUGGUUCGCCUUAGGGGAAGGUGGGGCUGUCACACAGUUUCUAGUGCAAUCAGGUCAAAAAUUCAAUAUACUAAACCAGAACCGCAAAAACAGGUUCACCAACCGCAUUCUGGUUCAAACAUCAUAAGUCAGGCUACCUAAGUCCAAAUCAAGUGAUUCCAAAGCCAUCCGAAAGCUAAGAUACAAGGCUACAAUUAUUCAGAAGACAUCAACAACCAAAUCAGAAGCAUUCCCAAUCAAAUUAGCCAAUCACAGAAGCAAUUCUCAAGUUCGGGUAGAAACAGGGCAGCAGGGUUAUUUCAGUCUUUUCACAAGCUACGUUGCUCCGAUUGACCUGAAAGUUUGUAGGCCUCUCUAAAAUAUCAUUCCCUACAACUUUCAUGUUUUAAUCCAAGGCUAAUUCAGCCUCUAACUAUGAUGAACAGUGCCGGGCAGAAUUGGGGAAAAUGAAACCCUAAUCUGGAAAUUUUUGCUUCAAACCAGAAAUUUUCCACUAAUCAUUACAAUUAUCAUACCAAAGCUUCAUUCUAACCCAUACUAAAGUAUUGUUAUUUUCUUGUUGCUUUGGUGAAAAUAAUAGUUGAAAGUAAGGGAAUAUAUAGUGGGAGACAUGUCUUAAUUUUGAUUAAAAAAAAAAAAAAAGGAAAAGCGCCUGAUAAAACAAGGUUACAGAUAUUUGUAACAAAUGGUUGAUACCAAUUCACUUGUUCUUUCCACUUGACGUUCGUGGCUUGGAAUAUGGAGAACAAGACCGAUUAAAACAACGGAUUAAAUGUCUAUCUAUUAAUUUAAGUAUGCGUGAAACAAAAAGUUGAAAAAUAGUAAGUGAGCCAUCAAUAUUUGUUUUUGGUCCUUUUAACAUAUUUUGUUCAGGACUUUUGCGUCUUUCUGAAAGGCUUGGAGGUGGCAAAUGUGAAGUACAUAUAUACAACAUUAAUAUCUGCUGAGGAUUAUAUAGUACAAAAGUAAAGUACACAUACUCAAUACCAAUGUAGUUGACAAUUUUAUAUUUACAAUACUGAAGGAAUACGGCCGUAAUUAACAAGUUACUUCUAAAUGCAUGAAUCACCCCACAAGACUAAUGCAAUAAUCUAGCCUAACUAGGUGGUCCUAAUAAUUUCCUGAUGAUAGAAAUGGAAAAUUGGGCAUCAUGUAAUAGAAAACUUAGACAACACAACCAUAAUUCAUUAAAUACUCCACAAAAUUGCAUCUUUAACUACCAACCUCUACUAAUUUCACAUCAAAACCAACAAAGGGAUAAUUUCUUAACCACUCACCUUUGUAACCUGAAGAAACAAGAUAGCUAGGGCUUGUUCUUCCUAAAUGGCUCCACCAAUCCCCUUAAACUAGUUUAGCAACUCACUUUUGUGGAGAAUUUUGGAAUUUAAAAGGUUGAUUUGUGAGAUUCAAGCAAGAAAUUGAAGAAAGAAGUUGGGAGUUUUUCUCUUCUUUUCCACCAAGAAAUUUGGCCGAAGAGGGAGAAAUGGAAGAUGAUUUUUGGUCAAAAUUAGUUUUAAGAAGGAAAGAAAAUAUCUUGGUCAAAAGUCCACCCUCGAAUAGAAACGCGACAUGUGGCGCCUUUUAUGUGUAAGCUUAUCUUCUUGUCUCUCCACUCUCAUCCAUAUAACAACCUUCAAUUAUCUCUUAACACCUGGUAAAAUAAAUCCGAUAUCCAAAACUUAACCUAACUGGCCGAAUUUUCCGAAUUUUCCGCACUAGCUGGUCCCACGUCCGGUAUACGUUCUUAAUUUCUCAAAAACUAACCGAUACUAGAAAACUAAUUUUAAAACCCUAUUUGCUAAUAAAAAUUAUCUAGAAAAUUUUCCUAAUAAAGAAAAUGCAGAAAAUAUGCCAUUAAAUAGAAUAAAACCCAGAAAAUGAUAAAAUUACGGGGUCUCACAUCCUCGACUAAUCGGUAUACUCGAGUAUUAUCACCAAUAUUUAUUGAGGAUUUUGGGCCCAGUAGGGGGUGUGAAUGGUGGACGGAGAGUAGUGUAAGUGGUGCUCUACUGGAUUGGUUACUUACUUGAAGGUUGACGGAGUUUCAACUAUUACUUGAUCAAUCUCUGGUGAUGCAAUGGGAAUUUGGCUCCUGAGAGCCAUCCGUAUCCUUAUACUUUGGAGUGAUUAUUGUUUAUUGGAUUAUUGUUUCUUUUGAAAAACUUUUACACUCGCUCAGUUUGAGAUUGUGUUUAUCUCAACUCAUAUCUUUUGAUGAUUACAAAACAAACGGAUGUUACUAAUACGUUUUGUAGAAACCCUUUUCAGAAAUGACACUAAACAGGUCUGUGGACUUAGAGCAAAAAGAAUAUCAAAAAAGGUGAAAAGUAUUGAGGAAGAUGUCGGACGCACAAAAGGAGUGUAUCGGACGUCCGACAUCCAUUGAGUAACUUCGGACGUAUGAAGAAAUCAGACUCGGACGUCCGAAGAAGACAAGCCAGGGCUUCUACGAUUACUGAUCACGAUCGGAUGCUCAACACCUGAGCAUUGAACGUCCGACAAGCGUUGCUGCACUUCGGACGCAACACAUUGGACGCAUCGGCCGUCCGAAGGAAUUGAAAAGAAACCUCCAGAUCUGCAUCUUACCCUCGGACGCAUGGCAAUAAGGGAUCGGAUGUCCUAAAAGGGCUCAAGAAGAUUUCUCAUAUUCAUUGACCUCGUUCGGAUGCAUAAAAACUGAAUAUCGGACGUCCGACAGCACCAACGGCUAGUUGACUCUUCAGUUGCCUUCUACCCGUUGACAGCAUUAAUUGAAGAAUUUCUUGGUCUCCUAUAAAAGGAAAAAAGUCAACCACCUUAAAACAACUUUGCACAUCCAGUCUACAUCAAAUAGUGAGUGAUUCAAGUGGUUGAAUACUCAAAAAGGAAAUAUUUGUAUUCUCAGCUUGUGCAAUUUUCUUGCAGCUUUUCAAGUGUGACACAGCCUCUUCAAUAGUGUAGCUUUGUGAGGGUUAUCAGAGUGUUUGUAAAACUUCCUUGCUUGACCAAGUGUGGUUUGGGGCAAGAGGGAAGUGAUCAUUCCAUUGUACACAGAAAUUGGUUGCAAGAUUGUUCAACUUGAAGUAGCUUGUUAUAUAAAGUAUUGUUCGAACUCAAGUUGAGUUUGAAGCCUGGUUUGUUUCUUUACUUUCGUUUACAGCUUUACUAUAUAAACUGUUCAUCUCUUCAUCUCACGAACAACUGUGCUUUCUUGUAAUCUGAUCCAUUGAGUGGUCUUCGAGAAAAGGAGGGCAGGCUUGAAAAAAAGGUGACCUAUAUCUUAGCUGGUUUUAGAAAACCUAAUUCCCCCCCCUCUUAGGUUGUCUUCGAUCCUUACAAUUGGUAUCAGAGCUUGGUCUCCUACAGAUUAAGCUCAAUCGGCUUGGGAGUAAACAUGACAACCAACAAUGCCAUGUUCUUUGAGGGACAAUCUGUCACUAGACCUCCAAUGUUCAAUGGGCCAAACUAUGUGAGCUGGAAGGAAAGGAUGAUUAUAUUCUUGCAAUCCAUUGAUAUUGAGCUGUGGUUCAUUGUUAGUGAAGGUCCAUAUGACGCAACUAUUGUUGAUUAAAUUACUCAUAGGCCAAGACAAAAAACUAGAAGUGAGCUGACUGCUGAAGAUAGAACUCAUCUCACUCUAAAUGCCAAGGCUAUGAAUGUUUUAUACAGUGCAUUAUAUUCAAAUGAUUCCAUUAGAGUCAAAGGCUGCAGAUCUGCAAAAGAAAUUUGGGACAAACUUAAAGAGAUCCAUGAGGGAAGCGAGAACGUGAGAGAGCAAAAGAAAUCUAUUAUGGUCACUAAGUAUGAAUCUUUUAAGAUGGAGCCUCAUGAAAACAUUGACAAAAUGUAUUGCAGAUUUAAUGAUCUGAUCAAGGAUUUAGAGGUGCUUGAGAAGGAGUACUCUCUAGGUGAAAAGAACAGAAAAAUCCUGAAUGCUCUAUCAAAGGACUGGGAAAGCAAAGUGACUGCCAUUGAGGAAGCCAAUGAUCUGAAUACUUUACCCAUUGAAUCUCUGAUUAACUCUCUAACUUCUUACGAACUGAAACUUAAAUCUAAGAUGCAGGAUGAAGAAGAAACCAAGGUAAGAAAGAGCAUUGCUCUGAAAGCUUCACAAGACGAAGAUCAAACAGCCUCACAGGAUGAAAAUGAUUUGGAAGGUGAUGACAGUGAUAUUGCACUCAUCACAAGAGGCUUCAAAAGAAUUCUCAACAAGAGAAGAUUCAGGAAAGGCGGAUCCAGCAAUUCCUUCUCAAAUCAAUCUAAUGACUUCAGAAACAAAGGGAAACUGGAGUUCAACAAAAAGCUGACUGAUAAGUGUUUCGAAUGUGGCCAACCAGGACACUAUGCAAAUGAGUGUCCAAUGAAGAAAAAGAAGGAGAACAAGAUUGAACGAAAACCAAAGUUCAACAAUUUCCAGAUCACCUGGAAUGAUUGCAACUCAGAAGGUGAAGUUGAAGAAGAAGAGGAAUCUGCUCAAGUGGCUUUCAUGGCCAUUGGAGAUGAAGAGGUAACACAAUGCAACUCUCAAACUGAUAGUGAUAGUGAAUCUGAUGUUGAUGUUAAUUCUUUUCUAGAAAAAAUGCAUAACAACUUGAAAGAAUCCUAUGUUAGAAACAAGGAACUAAAGCAAAAAAUUAUCUUUCUAAUACAAGACAAUGCAAAUCUUUUUCGACAAAACAAGUGUCUUAAGCAUGAAAAUGAAAAGCUGAAAAGAACUGAAACUGAUGUGCUUGCUGAACUUAACAAAAAGAAAAAUUUCCCUGACAUACUCAGAAGUGAGCAAUGUAACCUAAGAAAUAGGAUGGAGAAUUUAUGCAAAUUGUUACACCAUAUGAAACAAAACUGUCUUCAAAAGAAUGACACUAAACCUUAUCUUAACACUCAUCAAAUAAGACUGAAUCAAAAUGCAAAUGAGUUUGCUAUCCACAGGAGAAGGCAAGUCAGAUUCAUUAAACCUGUUCAUUUGAUUGAUCCAGUGUCAGUAUGCAACUUUUGUUGUCAAUUUGGUCACAUGAAUAGCAACUGUUAUGUUAAGAAAAACAUGAAGAAUGGCAUGAGAUGCAUGUGGAUGGUUAGACAUAAGACUAACUUUCAAGGACCCAACAUGUAAAGGGUACCAAGUAUUAUCUUGUGGGUUUGUGUGUAGGUGAACCGGGACAACAUUGCUAAAGAAUCAAAAUGGUUCAUUGAUAGUGGAUGUUCAAGACAUAUGACUGGUGAUGCAUCACAAUUCAUUAAACUCAAGCAAAAAGCAAGUGGAAAGGUAACGUUUGGAGAUGAUAACAAAGCCAAAACGGUUGGUAUUGGUGAUGUUGGUAAGAAUAGUCAAACCUUUAUCCACAAUGUUCUUCUCGUUGACAAUCUGAGCUACAACUUAUUAAGUGUUAGCCAAUUGUGUGAUAGGAGUCUGUUUGUAUUGUUCAAGAAGCUUGAAUGUCUCAUACUUGACUCAAAGUUCAACGUUAUUUUCAAAGGAAAAAGAGUUAAUGAUGUCUAUGUAGUUGUUCUUGAAAAAAUUGAUUCCUCCUAUCUCAAAUGUCUCAAAGUAGCAAAUGAGGACCCAUGGUUAUGGCAUAGAAGACUUUGUCACUUCAAUAUGGAUUUGCUAAAAGAAAUUUCUAAAAAGGAUCUUGUUAGAGGUCUCCCAAAAAUCAGAUUUGAAAAGGACCGGAUAUGUGAUGCUUGCCAAUUUGGAAAACAAGUCAAGGUAUCUUUUAAACCCAAGAAAUGUGUUUCUACUUCAAAACCACUUGAACUUUUGCACCUUGAUCUGUUUGGUCCUACACAAACUACAAGCCUUGGUGGUAAGAGAUUUUGCUUUGUUGUUGUUGAUGAUUAUUCCAGAUAUACAUGGGUGAUGUUUCUUGCACAUAAAGAUGAUGCUUUCAGGAAUUUCGUAUCACUGUUUGCUAAAGUUCAGAAUUUGAUUGGCUUGAAAAUUAUCAAAAUUAGAAAUGAUAAUGGCUCUGAAUUUCAUUUUUGUGGCUUUCCAGAUUUUUGUGAUAACAAUGGUAUUUCACAUGAAUUCUCUAUUGCUAGAGUCCCCCAACAAAAUGGAGUUGUAGAAAGAAAAAAUAGAAUUCUCCAAGAGGCUGCUAGAACCAUGCUUAGUGAAUGCAAUCUACCAAAAUAUUUUUGGGCUGAAGCCAUAAACACAGCCUGUUAUACCAUGAACAGAGUUCUCUUAAGACCAAUUUUGAACAAAACUUCCUAUGAGCUCAUGUUUGACAAAAAGCCUAUUGUUGGUUACUUCAAAAUCUUUGGUUGUAAAUGUUUCAUUUUAAACAUCAAGGAACAUCUUGGAAAGUUUGACAAGAAAUCUGAUGAGGGAAUUUUUUUGGGAUAUUGUGAAAACAAAAGAGGGUUCAGAGUUUAUAAUCGUAGAACACUGGUUAUAGAGGAGGCGAUACACAUUACUUUUGAUGAAUCUAAUGGUAACAUUUCCAUGAGUUGUGGUGAAGAUGAUGAUACAGGUGUACAAGAAGAAUUAAAGAAGUUAGCAAUCAAUGAUCAUAGCUCUGCUCCACCAGAAAUUGAUUCAAAGAAUGUUGACACUCAAGACAGUCCUGCUGGAGAAGUAAAUGACAGUGAUGCCACCAUUCCUAAUUAUCUUCCAAGAACCUGGAAAUUUGUCCAGAGCCAUCCCAGGGAGCUUAUAAUUGGUGAUCCAUCUGAAAAGGUCAGAACUCGUUCCUCUAGACACCUAGUAGAUAAUCUUGCAUUAGUAUCACACUUUGAACCUAAAAAUGUUGUUGAUGCAUUGAAUGAUGAGCACUGGAUUUUAGCUAUGGAAGAAGAGUUAAUUCAAUUUGAAAGAAACAAGGUUUGGACUCUGGUUGCCAGACCACAAGACCAUCCUAUCAUUGGCACAAAGUGGGUUUUUAGAAACAAAAUGAAUGAGAAAGGGGAGGUUGUUAGAAAUAAGGCCAGGCUGGUGGCUAAGGGAUACACUCAAGAAGAAGGAAUAGACUUUGAUGAGUUCUUUGCACCUGUAGUUAGAUUGGAGUCCAUUAGAAUGUUUCUAGCAUUUGCUUGUUUCAAGAAUUUUAAAUUAUUUCAAAUGGAUGUUAAAAGUGCCUUCUUAAAUGGCUUUAUAGAUCAAGAAGUUUAUGUCGACCAACCUCCUGGUUUUGAAAAUAAAUCUUAUCCAGAUAUGUUUUUAAACUCUCAAAAGCCUUAUACGGGUUAAAACAAGCUCCUAGAACAUGGUAUGAACGUUUGAGUGGUUUUUUGAUUGAAAAUUUAAAAGGGGCAUUGUAGAUACUACACUUUUCACAAGACAAAGCUCACGAGACCUUUUAAUUGUGCAAAUAUAUGUGGAUGAUAUCAUAUUUGGUGCUACUAAUGAGAGCUUGUGCAAGGAUUUUUCCAUCAUCAUGCAAAAAGAAUUUGAAAUGAGCAUGAUGGGAGAAUUAAACUUCUUGGACUCCAAGUGGUUCAAACCCAAGAUGGAACAUUUAUAAAUCAAACAAAAUACACCAAGGAGUUGCUGAAAAGAUUCAGAAUGGAGGACUCAAAGCCUGUUGGAACACCUAUGUGCACAUCUACCAAACUUGACAAAGAUGAAAAAGGUACAAAAGUUGAGGAAAAGAAGUAUCGAGGUAUGAUCGGAAGUUUACUUUAUUUAACUGCCAGUAGGCCUGACAUCAUGUUUGCUGUAUGCUUAUGUGCUCGAUUUCAAUCCUGUCCAAGGAAUCACACUUGAAUGCGGUAAAAAGAAUUUUUAGAUAUCUUAAAGGAACCUUAAACUUUGGCUUGUGGUAUCCAAAAUGUCAUCAACUUCCUUUAUGUGGAUUCUCUGAUGCUGACUUCGGUGGUUGUAAAAUAGAUAGAAAAAGUACUACUGGUAUAUGCAACUUUCUUGGAAACUGCUUGGUAUCUUGGUUUAGCAAAAAACAAAAUGCUAUCUCAUUGUCCACUACUGAAGCUGAAUAUGUUGCUGCUGGUGCUUGUUGUGCUCAAUUGUUAUGGAUGAAAAACACAUUGAAUGAUUUUGGUUUAGUAUAUGAAUGUGUACCUAUGUACUGUGACAACACUAGUGCAAUUAAUCUGACAAAAAAUCCCAUUCAACACUCUAGGACUAAGCACAUUGAUAUAAAGCAUCAUUUCAUUCGCGAUCUUGUCUCCAAGGGGGUAAUCCGUGUUGAGUUUGUUUGUUCUAAAGAGCAAAUCGCUGAUAUCCUCACAAAAGCUCUUCCACUGGAUCAAUUUGUGUUCUUAAGAACAAAACUGGGCGUUUCAGAAAAAAUAUUCUAAGUUUCCUUUCCAGUCAAUCUUUAUCGGACGUCCGUUUCCGACAGUGUUCUUCGUCCAGUUUCAGAAAAACACUGGUUCGGACGGUUGUGUCGGACGCUUCACUUCAUUCGGACGUCCGACACUCAAAAAUUGAGCCCUAUAAGGCAGUUACCCAUCCUUCUCAGUUCAUUUUCUUCCAUAGUCUCGGACGCAACCUUUCAGUUUCCUCUCAUAUUUAAAAUUCAAAUUCCUCUCUCAUCAAACCAAGUUCCAAGAAAUUGACUCAACCAACGCCAUUACACCUCUGUUGCCCGUUAACCACCCAUAAAAAUCACUCCUAACCCCCAACUACCCCAUUGUUCCCAAUUCACAUCCGAAACCCUAACUUCUUAUAAUCCUCUCCUUGCGGCAUUUCAGUACAUUCUUAUUUCUGCUCAUAUUGCAUUCUUCCUCUGUAUAACACGUUCUGCAUCAAAAACACAUCCACAUUGCAUCAUGGUUAAAAUUAGGGGAGGGUCUACCAGUGUCGGACGGUCCUUUAGGCUUAGAGAUGAGGACAUUGAGAUUGUGGAACCAUCUACUCAAGCACCUAAAAAGAAGAUUGUGACCCGUGGUGGUAAAGUGAAGCAAACUGCCCAAAGAAAAUUGGUUACUCCAACUGCUGAACCAUCUGAUGAGCAGAUGGAAGAGCAGAACUCUGAAGGAAAUAUUGUUGGUGGAAAUGAGGAACCAGAGUAGGCUACCCAGGGUGAUGAAACUGUCACAAGGGCAUCUGGUAAAAGGAAAAGAACAGCAAAGAAGAAGAGCACCCCCCAAUCUAAGAAAAAGCAAUCUGCUGAUCCCUCUGAUGAUCAGCAGAAUGAAGAAAACUUUGCUGAGAUUCAGCAAACACCUGAACCCUCCACCAGGAAGUCUCCAAGGACAAGAUCUGAGGCUCAAAAUGUGGGAGCAUCUGCCACACAAACCUCGAAGGGGAAACGCUCUGGAAAGAAUCCAGUAUCUCAGCCCGUAACAGAACCCACUUCUCUUCCAAAAUUCAUUGAUGAUGAAGCCAGAGACAGAUUUGAGUUGGUCUCUCAAAAAGGGUUCAUCACCCAAAGGUUCAUCCUUCCCUACGAAUUUCGUAAGCUUGAUCUUGAACCUGUUAUUAAACUGUUUGAAUUCCAAAAAUGGGUUCAUCUUCUGACCAUUCCUAAUAUCUUUUACCCUGACAUGCUUUAUCAAUUCUUUGCUAAUCUUAGAAAUGGUAACUCACACACUGAACUCAUCUCUAGGGUCAAUUCAGUGAACAUCACAUUAACACCUGACAUUGUAAACUCCAUUUUGAAAACAAAGAUUGAAGAUGGUUACAAAGGAAAAAUUGUAAAUUUCUUUUCGUAUGAGGAAUUUCCUUCUGCCUACCAUCAUUUUUACAAUGCUAAACUCAUGACCUAUUUUCAAACCAAAUUCAAUACUCCUGCUGAGGCAAGAUUAGAUUAUCUCAGUCCUCAGAAUCUGAUCAUCUUCACCAUCAUUUCAAAUCGGUUAGUGCCAACUGAUGGCCACAGAACAGAUGCAAACAAAAUAGAACUCUAUCUUUUCUACUGCUUUGUUGAAAAAAUUCGCAUUGACUUUGGAUUUGUAAUGUGCAAGUUUCUGCUCAAAAUUAGCACUGACAGUCGUAGGAAGCUCUCUUAUGGUAGAUUUUUGACCCCUAUCUUUGCCCAUUUUGAAAUCCCUUUUUCUGGAAAAUCUCCCAAAGACAGUGCUUCAUCAGUUUUCUCAAAAGCCUACUUUGAAAGAAAGAACUUACGAUUUUUUGAUGGCCAUUGGUGCUAUAAGGAGACUGUGGCUGAGUCUAGAAGGAAAAACUUUCAUGAAACCCCUGUCACUUCUAGGACUCCUCGUGAUCAAUCAGACUAUGUCUCUCCCUUCACCAUUCAUCCCAGAAAGUCUGCCAGCAAGACCUUUGCAUCCAAUUCUGAGGUCAUCUCCUUGCUUGAAGACCUAAAACAGCAUGUUAUGCUUAUUGAAGAUGGUCUCAUGAUGACUAUGACCCCUGCCCAACAAUCUUCCUUCUUGAAAAAAAGGAACCUUCUUGUGCCUCCAAUACCUGAAAAUAAUGAAAAUGCUCAUCAGAAAGAGCCAAGACCUGAGCCCACAGGGCAAACUACUGGUACUGAGGCCACACCAGCUUCCAGCUCUCAGCCCAAGGAUAAAGGCAAGGCUCCAGCAACUGAGGAAUCAUAUGAAGAAGACGAUGAAGAAACUGAGGAAGAAGAGGACCCUGAACAGUUUCGUCUGGCCAGGAGGAGGCCUGGAUCAUCUAAAAUCACUAUCUAGGCACUGCUAGGUCACUGCACCUUAUUUUAGGACUAUAGUUCAUCUUUUGCAUUGCAAAACAUUUCACUGCACCUUGUUGUACUUCUGGUUUGUACAAAUGGAUGUUUUCUAUUGUUAUGACUAAGUGUUUCUGAUAAUAUCUGCUGAAUGGAUGUGUUUGUUAUGAAUGAAUGUUUCUGAUGAUUCCGGAUUGUGUUGAGCAUGAAUGGAUUUUGCUGAUAUUAUCUGAUUGAAAAAUCUUUGUUAUCAAAUUGCGUAUUGUUGCUAAUAUUAUUGAUGGAUCGUGCUGAUGUUAUCUGAUGCUGCUGGUAUCAAAAUCGAUCAGACAUGGCAUACCCACUUUUGUGAUGACAAAAAGGGGGAGAAUUGGAUUAACUAGUUAGGGGGAGUUGUGGAUUAACUAGUUAGGGGGAGUUGCGUUUCUUCUCGUAUACUCAUGCACUUCGUUAGGGGGAGUUGUAAUCCUAGUUCGUAUAUUUUUGCUCUAUCCAAAUGUUUUGUCAUCAUAGAAAAGGGGGAGAUUGUUUAUCUCAACUCAUAUCUUUUGAUGAUUACAAAACAAACGGAUGUUAUUAAUACUUUUUGUAGAAACCCUUUUCAGAAAUGACACUAAACAGGUCUGUGGACUUAGAGCAAAAAGAAGAUCAAAAAAGGUGAAAAGUAUUGAGGAAGAUGUCGGACGCACAAAAGGAGUGUAUCGGAUGUCCGACAUCCAUUGAGUAACUUCGGACGUAUGAAGAAAUCAGACUCGGACGUCCGAAGAAGACAAGCCAGGGCUUCUACGAUUACUGAUCACGAUCGGACGCUCAACACCUGAGCAUCGGACGUCCGACAAGCAUUGCUACACUUCGGACGCAACACAUUGGACGUAUCGGCCGUCCGAAGGAAUUGAAAAGGAACCUCCAGAUCUGCAUCUUACCCUCGGACGCAUGGCAAUAAGGGAUCGGACGUCCUAAAAGGGCUCAAGAAGAUUUCUCAUAUUCAUUGACCUCGUUCGGACGCAUAAAAAUUGAAUAUCGGACGUUUGACAGCACCAACGGCUAGUUGACUCUUCAGUUGCCUUCUACCCGUUGACAGCAUUAAUUGAAGAAUUUCUUGGUCUCCUACAAAAGGAAAAAAGUCAACCACCUUAAAACAACUUUGCACAUCCAGUCUACAUCAAAUAGUGAGUGAUUCAAGUGGUUGAAUACUCAAAAAGGAAUUAUUUGUAUUCUCAGCUUGUGCAAUUUUCUUGCAGCUUUUCAAGUGUGACACAACCUCUUCAAUAGUGUAGCUUUGUGAAGGUUAUCAGAGUGUUUGUAAAACUUCCUUGCUUGACCAAGUGUGGUUUGGGGCAAGAGGGAAGUGAUCAUUCCAUUGUACACAGAAAUUGGUUGCAAGAUUGUUCAACUUGAAGUAGCUUGUUAUAUAAAGUAUUGUUCGAACUCAAGUUGAGUUUGAAGCCUGGUUUGUUUCUUUACUUUCGUUUACAGCUUUACUAUAUAAACUGUUCAUCUCUUCAUCUCACGAACAACUGUGGUUUCUUGUAAUCUGAUCCAUUGAGUGGUCUUCGAGAAAAGGAGGACAGGCUUGAAAAAAAGGUGACCUAUAUCUUAGCUGGUUUUAGAAAACCUAAUUCACCCCCUCUCUUAGGUUGUCUUCGAUCCUUACAGAUUGCUACUUGAAGUGUUAUUGCUCACUUUUAUGAACUCUUCAUGCUCGUUACUUUGCUAUAUCGAAAACUUGUACUUAUAAAUAAUGGUCAAUUUGCUAUUUGGAACCUCACUAGGCUUUUAGUUCAUUCUACGCCAUUUGUUUUCCUUAUAGGGGUACAAGCGAGGCGUGAGAUAUGUAAAGACUAGGGUAGCCUAGUUAUUUUUGACUUUUGACUUGUACUCGCGCUAUCACUCGAUUAGGAUGAUUGUACUUGGAUUGUAUAUACUUUGAACCAGUUUGGGUAUAUAAAGGUUUUGUAUUUUGAAUAUGCAUCGAUGUAAAUUGUAAGUGUGAAUUGCGAUGUUAUUUAUUGUCGAUGGAUAUAUGCACAUGAUACGAGUGAAUGAAUCCUGGCGAGAGCUGGGCAGGCGACUCGCUGAACCCUUUGGUACGCCUUGGGGGGAGGUGGGGUCGUCACAUUAAUCACCUACCAAACACAUCUUGAAUGUUUCUUAGACAUUGUCUACAUAAAUGAACCAUAUUUGAGAUGUUUUCAUUAGCCGAAUAUUUAGAAAAGGAAAAAUUACGUACGAGGCAGAUUUGCCUUGAAAAUUCUUGGAACUUUAGUGGCUUUGUUAACUGACCUUCCGUACGAAUUUUUACGUCAAAAUUCGACAGAGGAAUAGCCCUUAUAUGGUAGGGUAAUACUGCCAAAUUUGGUGCCAUUCCAAGUCCUUCUCGAUGCCCAACAGAUGUCCCAAAGUUUGUUUUUCAAAUCUAGAAAACUUUUCCUUUUCUCUUGGCCGAAUGGUAAAACCUGAUUUGGGGAGUUAUAUUUCAAAAAUUGUGAUGUCCAUUACCUUUAAAUUGCUUAGUGGAUGUUUAUGGACUCUUGGUUUCGAAAAUGGAGUGAUUUAGAUCUGAUUUCAUUGCACAAAACGUUUCCAAGCAAAAGAAAAGUGGGAAGGCAUAUUAGCCUUGAAAUAUUUCUUGAACUUUGGUUGUUUUAAUAGCUGCCUUCCCGUGGGAAUUUUUGCGUGAAACUUGGUAGAAAUGUUGUUCACACAUGGAGGAUUUAGAGUACCAAUUUUUUGUAUUUCUAAUGCUAAAUCGAUGGCCAAAUGAUAUUUCAAAGAUAGUCUUUAAAUCUGGAAAAUGACUGAACAGUUUGCGAAAUAUGACCAACUUUGGACUGAUGUCUCUCGAUACUCAAAACUCCAAUUCUUGUUCCGCUUGUUGUGUUGAAAACUUUGAUUGUAACUCUAAUUGAGUUCCAAAUUUUAGAGGUUAGUUCGUAUUGUGUGAAUUUUGUCGAAUUUCCAAACUUUGCCAAAAAUCAACCCAAAUCUGUCUUGGUAUUCCAAGACAACAUCUUGAACCCAAAAUUCGAAUGUCAUCCAUUUGGAAUCAUGGAAAAGUGUCUUCUAGGAACUUUCAGUACUUUGGAAGUAGUUUCCAACGGUACCAAGUUCUCCAAUUUUACACUUACCAAGAGUGAGAUACAAUUUUUCAAAGACCGCUUGAUAAAUCUGAAAUUUCCGAACUUAGGGGAAAUUGAGGGUUUCGAACUCUCCAUUUUCCUUCCAUAUCACUUGACCGUUUUGCACUUGACUUUAAAGAUGCAAAUCAGAUUUCUCUUGUACUUUUAAAACCCCGCUUUUGAGUCUCGAUUUACGAGUAAUUAAGGCUCGUAUUUGUGAAAUUUUCUUAGAUUGUACGCUAGUACAAUCUUUUUCGAUAAAUGGGGUUUCUAAGUAGUAGUUCGUUAUUACUUCCUCAAGCACACAAGAGGACCUUCAAGAGGAUCCCACGGUGGACGCCUGAACCUUCAAGUGACAAUUUCUCCUUUGUUUACUUGGUGAGUGUCAAGUGUAUGUAAACUUGAUAUGUGCUUAAUUGUUAUUAGUGAUUGGAGAUUUUGAAAAUACUGAGUCGAGUGUGUAUCUUACCACACUCGGUCUCAUUUGAAUGACUUGAUUGAAUCGAAAUGACUGAAUCACGAAUGACUUGAUUGAAUUGAAAUGAAUGAAUCGUGAAUGACUUGAUUGAAAUGAAAUGAAUGAUUGAAUGUAUUGAAUGAUUGAAUGAAAUGAUUAAUUAUGCUAUGGCUGCAUAAGUCGAUUGGAGCGAUGCCUCAUCGACCACUGAACGAUUAUAAGUACCACACCGAUUUGAUAGGAGGUACCUCUCGAGUCGUCUCAGUACCCUAAACCUUUGAACGAUAGCAAGUACCACACCGAUUCGGGUGGGAGGUACCUCUCGAAUCGUCUCAGAACCAUUAAGCAUUCUAAGUCGAUUAGAGCGGUGUCGUAUUGACCUCUGAACGAUAGCAAGUACCACACCGAUUUGGUGGGAGGUACCUCUCGAAUCGUCUUAGACCUAUAAACUAAACGAUAGUAAGUACCACUCCGAUUUGGGUGGGAGGUGCCUCUCGAGUCAUCUCAGAAACAUAAAUGGAAUACGUAAAAUGUUAUGAAUUUAAUUAUCUACUCGGGUGACGGGGUGUCGUCACGAGAAGGUAUUGAAUUGAACUUGGGCACAGUAAACAAAGAUUUAGCUCCUGAGAGCUCCUACACCCUACUCAAGAGGGUUUAUUAUAAAUUUUUGAAUUUUCUUGAAUGUUAUAGUUUUCACUAUUGUUCAAGUGCUAUUGCUAUUGAAUUACUUGUCUUGCAUGUUUUCUUCGCCCCACGAGCAUCCGCUCACCCUGCUAGAUUUGUUUUCCUUAACAGGAGCUGAAAUGGGAGGAAUUAUGGAGAAACUUACUUGAUGCUCCAUUUGAUUAGAAUUGUGAAUGUAAUUGUUUAGAAUUUGACUUUUGGAAGCUGUAUAUUUUGGGAAUAUAAAGUAAUUGGGUAGAUUAUGUUGUAAGACUUGAACGUUUAUAAAGGAAUUGACCUUCCUGUAUCUCUUCGAUUUUUAGUAUCGAUGGGUUUUUAUUGAGUUUAAAUUGAAUUAGUACCGAGUCCUGACGAGAGUUGGGCAGGCGUUCCGCCGAUACCCUUGGGUUCGCCUUCGGGAGAAGUGGGGCGUCACACUGCAUGUGUAUUUCUUGGCCUCACGAGCAAUCGCUCACCCUGUAGAUUUGUUUUCCUUAAUAGGUGGAUUUGAAGAUUCUGGAAAAGCCGACUAGAUUAUCCUUUUGAUUGGAAUCUUGGUUGUAAAUGUCUAGUCGACCUUUAAUGGUUGUAUUUUGGGACUUGAUGUAUCUUUUAAGAACGUGAUGUAAGAUUUGGAUAUUCAGUUAAAGAAGUGACUUUUUCUCAUUUUAGACUUGUAUUAUUUGAUAUGUACCGUUAAGUUUGAAUUGAAUUAUCUUGAGUCCUGGUGAGAGUCGGGCAGGCAUCUCGCCGAUACCCUUAGGUUCGCCCUUGGGAGAAGUGGGGUCGUCACACAAGGUCAUGGUAGCCUGGUACAAAGUCCGGCCGAUUGACCCAUGUAUGAAAUUAGACCAAUCAGUAGUCAUGAAAUCUAUUGGUCGCCCACCUAGAAGGGGUUUAUGUGAGGACCCGUACUUUUCUUAAUUUCUAUGGUUUUAUUUAUUUUUUAUUUAAUUCCACGUUUUUCUACAUUUUCUUUAUUAGAAAACUUUUCUAGAUCAAUUUUAUGAGUAAAUAUUGUUUUUAGAUAAUUUUUCUAGUAUCGGAUAGGUUUUGAGAAAUUAAGAGCGUAUACCGGACGUGGAACCCACUAGGGCGAAAAGUUCAGAAAAAUUCGGCCAACAAGGUUAAGUUUUGGAUACUGGAAUUAAUUUAUCGAGUGUUAAGAGAUAAGUAGAGGGUGCUAUUUGGAUUGGUGUGAGAGGAAACGAAAAGAUAGGGAUGCAUUAAAUAAAGUGACAAGUGUCACUUAGUGAUUGGUUGGACUUGAAGACCACUAUUCACCUUUUUCCAUUUGACCAAAUAAAUCACAAAAAUUACCAAAAUUUCACCAUUUUCUUCUUCUCUUUGGCCGGCCACUUCAAGAAAAAAAGAAAGGGAAAAGCUCUCCAAGUUUUGCUUCAAUCUUGCUCCAAUCUACCAAAUCAACCAUUGAAUCUUGUUUUUGCUCCAUAGAAAACCUUAAGUGAGUGAUAGUGAGGUGUUUUGUGGAGUUGUUUGGAAAGCUAAGGUGACUAGUUGCUCUCUCUCUUGUGUUGCUAAGGUAAGUUGUGAAGGACCCCUCUCCUCCCUCUAAUGAUGCUUAAUUCAUGAUUGGUGGUAGUAUAAGAUGCACUUUUAUGGAUUAUAUCUUGAUUUUUGGUUGAAUUGGUGAAGUUUUGUAAUUAUUGGGGAUUUUUCUGUUUUCAUAUGAAUAUGAUUAUGUGGUCAUGUAUAAUGAUUGGAAAUGAUAUUUAAGGAAGCUAGAAGGUGGAAAAAGUGGUUAAUUGCAAGCAAUUUCUGUUUUGGAAGAAAUUUGGAAAGUUAGGGUUUUAUGAUUGUACAUUCUACCCGGUACAGAAACUCAUAUUUAGAGGCCGAAUUGGAAUUGUAUUAAAACAUGAAAGUUGUAGGGAAUUAUAUUUUAGAGAAUCCUACAAAAUUUUAGGUCAAUCCGAGUAGCGUAGCUUGAGAAAAGACAGAAUUACCCUUGCUGCCCUGGUUUUACCCGAAUUUGAUAGUUGCGUCUGUAAUUGGUUAAUUUGGUUGGGAAUGCUUCCGAAUUGGUUGUUGAGAUCUUCUGAUGAAAUGUAUCCUUGUUUCUUAUCUUUCAGAUGGUUUUGGAAUUUCUGGAUUUCGACUUACGUAGGCUGACUUAUGAUGUUUGAACCAGAAUGCAUUCUGUGAAUCUGUUUUUCCGGUUCUGGUGUAGUAUCUUGCAUUUUUGACCUGGUUACACUCGAAAAUGGGCUGAGUGACCUUAUGAAACAUUGUAGCCCUAUCUAUUAGCUUCGAAAUGGUGUAUCUUGCACCUACAUCCGAUAAUCAUAGUGCCAUUGGUACCAAAACCGCAAAAUGAUGUCAAAAACUGUUUUUUUUGGGUUAACACUUAACUCCAUUUCCGGAUUUUUCUGGUUUCCUCGAAUGCUUAUGUAUGCUUAUGGAACCCUAUUUCGGUAGUAUUUGGCAUUGGUUUAUGACUUGUAAUCGAGUCUUAUUGUGCUUAUUGGAAUAUUUUAGGGCUUGACUUUCCUUUCCGGUCAUUUUCCUAGCUAAAUUUUGUACUUGACUUGAAGCCUAGUGAACGGCUUUUGGAAAUGAGAUUAUUUUUGUACAAGAUGUUGGGACUGAUUUGAGGAAAUAAUGAAGCCAUGACGACUGGAAAAGUAAGCAAAUUUAGGGGAAAUGCUGUCCAAUUUUCUAGGCCGUUUGGUUCCUUUAAGUUUGAAUUACCUUUUGGUAGAAAUGAAGGGUUUUUGGGUUGUUUGAGCCUAGGUCUUCAUGUUACCUUUUCGUUUACAAAAAUCAUGUUUGGCACCCUUGCAUCAGUAAUUUUUGGCAAGGCAUACGACUGGUAGUCGAGCCUCACAUGUGCAUUCUGUAUACUCGAUUUUUGAAAGUGGAACCUUCAAUUGUUUUACUUUGAUUAUUUUAGGGUUUCUUGGUGAUUAAAGCUCUCUUGUGGGCAAAAACUUUUGAGGUAUCUGUACUGACACCGGUGAGUGUACCACUCCCCUCACUUGUUGUUGUUUAACUCGGUUUCGAUACAUGCAAUCUGUGAUAUGAACGACUGAACUAUCUGUUUAUUCUGUUUGAGACGAGGGUGUACUUUAUCACACUCGUUCUCUUGUCUGUUCAUAUGCCAAUUUUGAGUGUGUUUCUGAAUUUGCUAUCUGUAUCUGGUAUCUGUAUCUGUAUCUGUUCUGACGUCGUUUGGAAGCUUGUAUCCAACGACCUUUCUGGGACCUCUGAGCUCAACCCCUGUGGUUUGUUACUCAAGUCGGGCCGGCAAGGGCCUGGUCGAUUAGAUAACGAACCACGGUAGUCUGUUUUGGGAUCUUUGGGUAUUGAGACCCUUGAUUCCAGUAUACUCGAGUAUUACCAUUUCUGAUCUGAUUGGAUUUCGGGCCCGGUGGGGGUAUGUGAGGUGGAAGGAGUCGAAGAAAGUGGAGUCUACGGUAUUGGUUACUUCUGUAACGUUGACGGAGUGUCAACUGUUAUUUCGAUCAAGUUUCGGUGAAGCAAAUGGGAAUUUGGCUCCUGAGAGCCACCCGUAUCCUUUCUGUCUAUGGUGUUUGUUCACUUCUUUAUUUGAUGCACAUACGUGAUUAAUUGAAUAUGAAGUUCUAUGUUUCUUAUUUGCUAUUAUUUUUGGUACCUCAUUGAGCGUAAGCUCACCCCUUCCCGUCAUCUUUGUUUUCCUUACAGGGAACCACUUUUGGGGCUAAGAUGUUUUGACGCACGAGUCAAGCUAGUUUUAUUAUAGUUUUGUAAAGCUCCUCAAUAGUUGGAAAACCCUAAAUGUAUUUUGAUCUAAUUAUCUUCUUUUGUUCCGUAAAUUACAAACGUGUGUGUAUAAAACUAUUUACCCUGUUCAUGUAUCCUAUUUGGAUUGGAAAUGUUUUCCCGAGUCAUAUGGCCAUAUCUGUAUUCGUUGGGCUCCUGGCGGGGUGGUGAUGUGGCAACCACUAUUCAUUGUGGUGUUGAUUUUCGUUUUGCCAUUUGGCGACUCUGAAUCGUUUGAGCGCGCUAUUACCUUCCUGAAUGUUUUCGAUUUCUUUUAACGACUCGACUGAGUCCUGGCGAGAGCUGGGCAGGCGGGCCACCGAACCCCUUUGGUUCGCCUUAGGAGGAGGCGGGGCUGUCACAGUUGGUAUCAGAGCUUAGGCUUCCGAUCUCUGUAGUGUAUCCUAGGCUAAAGUUUAGGAUGCCGGACUGUGGGAUUUGAUUUGCUUUGACAGUUAAGGACUAAGUGCUCGUUCGAGCAUAAACUAUGAAUUGCGAGUGUUAUGGGCCUUUAAUCCUUUCCGUGGUAUUGGAGGAUCAUAGAUAGGUACGUUGGGUAGGAAUUUCGAUUGUAGAUAGUUUACUCUUGGGACUGGCCAGCUCGAGAUGUGAAUUAUCUUAUUUCGGAUUCUCGUGCCCGAGUACUCUAAAGUUGAGGCAGCGUUAAGUACUUGGAGAUUUCAUUUUGGAAACUUGAACAGGCUUUGUCCGACUAGAAUGAGCACAAGAGGUCAAUGGACAUCUAGUUUGGAUAGUAAGUGACGGGAGAGGCCAGACGGGCUAAUACUGGGACGACUUCACCUUUUCCUUUUGGUUCGCCCGUAUAUUACGACCACCUGACGUUAGUAUAUGUGUUUGUGUACAUGGUUAUCUGUCCAACUUGAUAUGUAUUUGUGUACUUGCUUAUCCAUCUUUUGAUAUGGUGUGUUAGGUGCGAUAUGUUAUUUGUGUAAUUCGUAUGUUGGAUUUUUGUUAUUUUAGUCAAUUUACUGCAUUCAUUGAUUAAAGUACCCCUUUUGGAAAGAAACGAGAGAGGGAAGGGAAAAAACUAUAUAUAUAGAUAUAUGGAAGAAAGACGUAGUCGCGGACAUGGUCAUAGCUGUGGAACAAAACGAGACCGAGAGUCAAGAAAAGAAAGGGAGGAAACAACAGCUGAACAAAACAUGGACCGAGAGUGUCACUUGUAUUCAAGACUUUAUUAUGACCCAUUGUUUUGCCCGACAGGCUACCAUCUGAGUUCCAGCAAUUCUGUGAGAUGGCACAUUGGGUUGAGAUGUAUAAGGAAAUUACGGUUCUUCGAGACGAAAUAGAAGUCCAAAAGAAACUAGUCGCAUACUGGCAAGGGCGAUGGAAGCACGAGUAUUCAGAGAAAAUUGAGCUCUUGCACAAGAACUUAGAGCUAAAAAGGAAAUACGAAGGGAUUUCCGAGGAGGCCUUAGCAAUGGCACAAAGCACUACUUCUAUGGGGGUUCCAGAGAAAACUCAAAGGGCAUAAAUUACAAGGCCACAAGUGAAGACCUUCCAUGCAAAGAAAAGGAGCGCAUUUCUUGAGAGUCAGAAGCCAGAACAAGAUAAGCGAGGUAGACCAUUUGCUAAGAAGGGUCGUGGAGCGGGUGGUGUGACAAUUUGUGGUUAUUGUAAGAAAUCUAAUCAUAUUGAAGUGGAUUGUUAGAGAAAGGGGAGGAGAUGUCUGCGCUGUGGGAGCGCCGAGCAUCAGAUUGCUAAUUGCCCGGGAUUAUUGCACGAAAAGAAAGGGACCCAGCAGCCAACCCAGACCGACCCUGGACCGUCAACUAGAGAAGGGACUGGAAUGAAGAGUCUCGUUUCUUCCGAGGACGUAGAAGGUACAGGCUACUGGUUACUUGAGAUUUGAUAGAUUCCGCUCAUAGAAAAUUUCGAGGACGAAAUUUCUUUAAGGGAGAGAGAGUGUGAGGACCCGUACUUUUCUUAAUUUCUAGGGUUUUAUUUUUUCUUUUAUUUAAUUCCAUGUUUUUCUACAUUUUCUUUAUUAGAAAACUUUUCUAGAUCAAUUUUAUGAGUAAAUAUAGUUUUUAGAUAAUUUUUCUAGUAUCGGAUAGGUUUUGAGAAAUUAAGAGCGUAUACCGGACGUGGGACCCACUAGGGCGAAAAGUUCGAAAAAAUUCGGCCAACUAGGUUAAGUUUUGGAUACUGGAAUUAAUUUACCGGGUGUUAAGAGAUAAGUAGAGGGUGCUAUUUGGAUUGGUGUGAGAGGAAACGAAAAGAUAGGGAUGCAUUAAAUAAAGUGACAAGUGUCACUUAGUGAUUUGUUGGACUUGAAGACCAUUAUUCACCUUUUUUCCAUUUGACCAAAUAAAUCACAAAAAUUACCAAAAUUUCACCAUUUUCUUCUUCUCUUUGGCCGGCCACUUCAAGAAAAAAAGAAAGGGAAAAGCUCUCCAAGUUUUGCUUCAAUCUUGCUCCAAUCUACCAAAUCAACCAUUGAAUCUUGUUUUUGCUCCAUAGAAAACCUUAAGUGAGUGAUAGUGAGGUGUUUUGUGGAGUUGUUCGGAAAGCUAAGGUGACUAGUUGCUCUCUCUCUUGUGUUGCUAAGGUAAGUUGUGAAGGACCCCUCUCCUCCCUCUAAUGAUGCUUAAUUCAUGAUUGGUGGUAGUAUAAGAUGCACUUUUAUGGAUUAUAUCUUGAUUUUUGGUUGAAUUGGUGAAGUUUUGUAAUUAUUGGGGAUUUUUCUGUUUUCAUAUGAAUAUGAUUAUGUGGUCAUGUAUAAUGAUUGGAAAUGAUAUUUAAGGAAGCUAAAAGGUGGAAAAAGUGGUUAAUUGCAAGCAAUUUCUGUUUUGGAAGAAAUUUGGAAAGUUAGGGUUUUAUGAUUGUAAAUUCUGCCUGGCACAGUAGCUCAUAUUUAAGGCCGAAUUGUGUGAGGACACGAAAAUUUACCGAAUUUCUAGGCUUUAUUUUAUUUAAUUGCACACUUUUAUACCUUUUUUUUAUUAGAAAAUUCCCCAGAUAAUUUUUAUGAGCAAAAUAUAGUUUUUAAAUCAUUUUUCUAGUUUAAGUUAGUUCAUGUGAAAUUAAGUGUGUAUAUCGAACGUGGGACCCACUAGUGCGAAAAGUUCGGAAAAAUUCGGCCAACUAGGUUAAGUUUUGGAUACUUGAAUUAAUUUACCGGGUGUUAAGAGAUAAGUAGAGGAUGCUAAGUGGAUUGGUAUAAGAGAGACAAAAGUUAGGCAAGCAAUUAAUGAUGGUGACAAGUGUCACCAUAGGGUUGGUAGAAACUUUUGACUACUAUUCCAUGUCUUACCAAUUGACUAAAUAAGCUAAAAAUUUACCAAAAAUUCCUCCAUUUCCAAGCUCUAGUGGCCGGCCCUCUAUCUCAAGAAAGGAAGAAAGAAAGCUCUCCAAGUUUGCUCCAAUCUUGCUCCAAUCUACGAAAUCAACCAUUUACUCUUGUUUUUGUUCCAUAGAAACCCUUAAGGGAGUGUUUGUGAGUUGUUUUGUGGAGUUAUUUGGAGAGUUAAGAGGACUAGUUGCCCUCUUUCUUGUCUUGCUAAGGUAAGUUGAGAAGGACCCCUCUCCUCCCUCUAAUGAUGCUUAAAUCAUGAUUAGUGGUAGUAUAAGAUGCAAUUUUAUGGUUUAUAUCUUGAUUUUUGGUUGAAUUGGUGAAGUUUUGUAAUUAUUGGAGAUUUUUCUGUUUUCAUAUGAAUAUGAUUAUGUGGUUAUGUAUGAUGAUUGGAAAUGGUAUUUUAGGAAGCUAGAAGGUGGAAAAAGUGGUAAAUUGCAAGCAAUUUCUGUUUUGGAAGAAAAAUUGGAAAGCUAGGGUUCCUUGAAUUACAUUCUGCCCGGUUUUGUAGCUCAUAGUUAUUGGCUGAAUUGGCCUUGGCUUAAAACAUGAAAGUUGUAGGGAAUGAUAUUUUAGAGAUGCCUGCAAAAUUUCAGAUCAAUCGGAGUAGCGUAACUUGAGAAAAGAUGGAAUUACCCUUGCUGCCCUGGUUUUACCCGAAUUUAGGAAUUGCUUCUGUAAUUGGUUAUUUUGGUCAGGAAUGUUUCCGAAUUGGUUGUUGAGGUCUUAUGAUGAAAUGUAACCCUGUUUCUUAGCUUUCAGAUGGAUUUGGAAUUUCUGGAUUUGGACUUAGGUAGGCUGAUUUAUGAUGUUUACACUAGAAUGCGUUCUGUGAAUCUGUUUUUGCGGUUCUGGUGUAGUAGAUUGCAUUUUUGACCUGGUUACACUCGAAACUGGGUUGAGUGUGUGACGACCCCACCUUCCCCUAAGGCGUGCCAGAGGGUUCGGCGGGCCGCCUGCCCAGCUCUCGCCGGGACUCAGUCGUUCGCUACAGUCCUCAAUUAAAAAUUGAAAUAAAUCACAAGAAUAAAUAGGGCAUUGAUCCGAACUUAAAGCGGAACUUAUAUACAUUGCCAACCCAAAAGAGAAUAUAAACAUCAAAUAUACAAGGGUUCUCAAUCCUUCAUACGUCCAGCCCGUGCCAAGCACUAGGCGAGAACCACUACAAAAGAAACAAAAGAAACAAAACUAGAUUGGCUAGUCUAUCUCAAGCUCACGUCCUCGCUCGCCUUCCCCUGUAAGGAAAACAAAACUAAAGGGGUGAGCUAAAAGCCCAGUGAGGUUCCGAACACAUAAUCAGGUAAUCAAUCCAAUACAUUAAACAUGGAGUAUCAAUAAUUCGAGAAACAUUUACAAUGGAAAGCAAUAGUAACAUUCAUUAAAAGGAUACGGCUCACAAGGAGCAAUUCGUUAUUUCGUUCAUUCGUCCUCCUGACAUUUCCCCUUAUUCCUCCAAUCAUUUGAAAAUGCAUUUUUCGUUUAUCAAUAAACCCUCGUUCGUUCGUUCGUUCAUUCAUUCAUUCAUUCACCCCCGUCCUGGCCGUUGGCCAGUCUCCACCAACCUACAGGGUAAUACUCGAGUAUACCAAACGUUCACCCAAGUCCCUAAUCGCCCGACCGAGUCCGCUUCUGGCUCGAGACGACCGGUAACAAGGGGCAAUGGCCAGUUCAGCCCCAAAAGGCUUACAUUCAUGCGCAAGUAACAUUUCAAUCAAUAAAUCCUUGAAAAUUGUACAGUUAUUUAGGUCGAGUGCGAUAAAGUACACACUCGCCUAGAAGCUCGUUUUGGACAUCAUUCAAAGCAAUUAACACAUUAGCAAAUGAUAGCAACAAGCCAUAACGUCAAAUAAGGAACACUCACCUAGAAAUGCAAAAUAUCGUGCAAAAUAUCCUUCCGGAUAUUACCCUUAAUCACCAAUGAAACCUAAGGUUGAACAAGAGAACAUUAUUAUAGUUUAUCGAGCAAAACAUUUAAGGGAAACAAAGAAACUCGACUAAUUAAGAGUAAAACGUGUAAAGAUGACUUUCAAGUAAGAAGAGGGUUGUUUGAACCCAAGGAUGAAAAAUCAUGUUUUAAAAAUGGAAAACCGGUCAUGGUAUUGGCCUAACAAAAGUAUACAAGUUCAAAUAGAAACCUAGCCCUCGGGCGAAAAUUUGGGCAGCACGCCCUUUGUGUUUACCUAAUUUUCCAGCCAUUUUGGCUUCAUUAUUUUUCCUCAACCACAACCCAACAUCACACAUAAGAAAUUCAAGUCAAGAGCCGUUCCAUAGGCUCACAAUAUCAUAAGAAUAAGAAAUACAGUAAUAACAAGUGCAGAAAUUCAAUUUAGCAAAAGACAGAUUUGACGUAUGAAAGCGGAAAUAACUUAUCCGAGGCUACGCUUAUCAGAUUAAGACGCAACCUAUGCCGUUUCGAAGCUAAGACUCAGGGAUACAAUGUUCAUGGAGGUCACUUAGUCCAGUUUCUAAUGUAACUUGGUCAAAUUCUCGAAUUACUAAACCAGAAACCAAUUCGUCGGCUGUUUAAACGCAGAACACUGUAAUGGACAUAACUCAGAGUACACAAGUCCGAAUCAGGUGUUCUUAGAGGCAUUUGAAAAGCUAAGACAAAGACCUACAAUUUUUGUGAAAACCACUCAGUCCAGUUCUCAGCCUAACUAGGUCAAAUUUACAAAAAAAUACUCCAGAUUUUCCAGUUUGAAAUUCACUGAAGAAAUCAACUAGCAGUCCUGCUUUAUUCACUCAUAUCUCAGCACACACAACUCCAAUUCAGGUAAUUAUAAAGCCAUUAGAAAGCUAAGACACAAGUCUAUAAGUCUUAAGAAGACAUCAACAACCAAAUCAGUAGUAUUCCUGGUCAAAACAUCCAAUUAUAGAAGCUGAUUAUCAGUUUCGGAUAAAUACAGGGAAGCAGGGAUAUUUCGGUCUUUUCACAGGCUACGUUGCACCGAUUGAGCUGAAAUUUUACAGGAAACUAUAAAACAUCAUUCCCUAAAACUUUCAUGUUUUGUACUAAGGCCAAAUCAGCUCCUAACAUGUUCGAAUUUUCAGACUAAUUUCGGACAGAAAUCUUGACAGAAAAGGAACACUUGAAGUUCAUUUAAAUUCUACCCAAUCAAACGAAUUUCCAGCCGUUCCAAUCAGUUCCUAGCUAGUUAGAUUCAACUUCCAAUCAUCAAUCAUAUGUUUUACCACAAGAAUCAAGAGUUAGGAAAUUGGUUUACCUCAAAUCCUUAAUCAUACCCCCUAGCUGGCCGAUUCUUUGAGGAGAUGUAUCCUUGAGCUCCAACUCUCCAACAAAGUUCCCUUUCUUUUUUUUUUCUUUUUUUUUUCUCUCUUCUCCUAGCUCACCCGAUGCUGCCUUUCUUCUUCUCCAAGCUCACGGUAGCUUGUUCUUGGUGUUGGCUUUGUUUGUUUUGUCUUAUGUCCUCCUAACUUAAUAGCUAAGUCUAUUAAUAGUAAAGCAAAACAAGAGAUGGGUCAUGGGCUUGGGUAAUUAAUGGGUUUAUGGCUUAGGCUUGUAAUGAAAUUAAAACUUAAAGGCCCAACACUAAAACUCUACUUGAUCCAAUGUAAUUAACCCAUUGGUUUACUUAGUUUAAUUAAAACUAACUUAAGCCCACCAACCCAAGGUACUAAUCACUCAAACCCCCGUACUAAACAUGCAUGGAUGCACAUACAAUCACGAAAAUAUUAAUUGGUUGAAUUUAAUUUAAACUUAACGGUUUAGUUUUGAAAGUAGGAUUUUAAUGAUUCCAUUAAAUUUUUUAAACUUAACGGAUGUUAUUAAUACUUUUUGUAGAAACCCUUUUCAGAAAUGACACUAAACAGGUCUGUGGACUUAGAGCAAAAAGAAGAUCAAAAAAGGUGAAAAGUAUUGAGGAAGAUGUCGGACGCACAAAAGGAGUGUAUCGGAUGUCCGACAUCCAUUGAGUAACUUCGGACGUAUGAAGAAAUCAGACUCGGACGUCCGAAGAAGACAAGCCAGGGCUUCUACGAUUACUGAUCACGAUCGGACGCUCAACACCUGAGCAUCGGACGUCCGACAAGCAUUGCUACACUUCGGACGCAACACAUUGGACGUAUCGGCCGUCCGAAGGAAUUGAAAAGGAACCUCCAGAUCUGCAUCUUACCCUCGGACGCAUGGCAAUAAGGGAUCGGACGUCCUAAAAGGGCUCAAGAAGAUUUCUCAUAUUCAUUGACCUCGUUCGGACGCAUAAAAAUUGAAUAUCGGACGUUUGACAGCACCAACGGCUAGUUGACUCUUCAGUUGCCUUCUACCCGUUGACAGCAUUAAUUGAAGAAUUUCUUGGUCUCCUACAAAAGGAAAAAAGUCAACCACCUUAAAACAACUUUGCACAUCCAGUCUACAUCAAAUAGUGAGUGAUUCAAGUGGUUGAAUACUCAAAAAGGAAUUAUUUGUAUUCUCAGCUUGUGCAAUUUUCUUGCAGCUUUUCAAGUGUGACACAACCUCUUCAAUAGUGUAGCUUUGUGAAGGUUAUCAGAGUGUUUGUAAAACUUCCUUGCUUGACCAAGUGUGGUUUGGGGCAAGAGGGAAGUGAUCAUUCCAUUGUACACAGAAAUUGGUUGCAAGAUUGUUCAACUUGAAGUAGCUUGUUAUAUAAAGUAUUGUUCGAACUCAAGUUGAGUUUGAAGCCUGGUUUGUUUCUUUACUUUCGUUUACAGCUUUACUAUAUAAACUGUUCAUCUCUUCAUCUCACGAACAACUGUGGUUUCUUGUAAUCUGAUCCAUUGAGUGGUCUUCGAGAAAAGGAGGACAGGCUUGAAAAAAAGGUGACCUAUAUCUUAGCUGGUUUUAGAAAACCUAAUUCACCCCCUCUCUUAGGUUGUCUUCGAUCCUUACAGAUUGCUACUUGAAGUGUUAUUGCUCACUUUUAUGAACUCUUCAUGCUCGUUACUUUGCUAUAUCGAAAACUUGUACUUAUAAAUAAUGGUCAAUUUGCUAUUUGGAACCUCACUAGGCUUUUAGUUCAUUCUACGCCAUUUGUUUUCCUUAUAGGGGUACAAGCGAGGCGUGAGAUAUGUAAAGACUAGGGUAGCCUAGUUAUUUUUGACUUUUGACUUGUACUCGCGCUAUCACUCGAUUAGGAUGAUUGUACUUGGAUUGUAUAUACUUUGAACCAGUUUGGGUAUAUAAAGGUUUUGUAUUUUGAAUAUGCAUCGAUGUAAAUUGUAAGUGUGAAUUGCGAUGUUAUUUAUUGUCGAUGGAUAUAUGCACAUGAUACGAGUGAAUGAAUCCUGGCGAGAGCUGGGCAGGCGACUCGCUGAACCCUUUGGUACGCCUUGGGGGGAGGUGGGGUCGUCACAUUAAUCACCUACCAAACACAUCUUGAAUGUUUCUUAGACAUUGUCUACAUAAAUGAACCAUAUUUGAGAUGUUUUCAUUAGCCGAAUAUUUAGAAAAGGAAAAAUUACGUACGAGGCAGAUUUGCCUUGAAAAUUCUUGGAACUUUAGUGGCUUUGUUAACUGACCUUCCGUACGAAUUUUUACGUCAAAAUUCGACAGAGGAAUAGCCCUUAUAUGGUAGGGUAAUACUGCCAAAUUUGGUGCCAUUCCAAGUCCUUCUCGAUGCCCAACAGAUGUCCCAAAGUUUGUUUUUCAAAUCUAGAAAACUUUUCCUUUUCUCUUGGCCGAAUGGUAAAACCUGAUUUGGGGAGUUAUAUUUCAAAAAUUGUGAUGUCCAUUACCUUUAAAUUGCUUAGUGGAUGUUUAUGGACUCUUGGUUUCGAAAAUGGAGUGAUUUAGAUCUGAUUUCAUUGCACAAAACGUUUCCAAGCAAAAGAAAAGUGGGAAGGCAUAUUAGCCUUGAAAUAUUUCUUGAACUUUGGUUGUUUUAAUAGCUGCCUUCCCGUGGGAAUUUUUGCGUGAAACUUGGUAGAAAUGUUGUUCACACAUGGAGGAUUUAGAGUACCAAUUUUUUGUAUUUCUAAUGCUAAAUCGAUGGCCAAAUGAUAUUUCAAAGAUAGUCUUUAAAUCUGGAAAAUGACUGAACAGUUUGCGAAAUAUGACCAACUUUGGACUGAUGUCUCUCGAUACUCAAAACUCCAAUUCUUGUUCCGCUUGUUGUGUUGAAAACUUUGAUUGUAACUCUAAUUGAGUUCCAAAUUUUAGAGGUUAGUUCGUAUUGUGUGAAUUUUGUCGAAUUUCCAAACUUUGCCAAAAAUCAACCCAAAUCUGUCUUGGUAUUCCAAGACAACAUCUUGAACCCAAAAUUCGAAUGUCAUCCAUUUGGAAUCAUGGAAAAGUGUCUUCUAGGAACUUUCAGUACUUUGGAAGUAGUUUCCAACGGUACCAAGUUCUCCAAUUUUACACUUACCAAGAGUGAGAUACAAUUUUUCAAAGACCGCUUGAUAAAUCUGAAAUUUCCGAACUUAGGGGAAAUUGAGGGUUUCGAACUCUCCAUUUUCCUUCCAUAUCACUUGACCGUUUUGCACUUGACUUUAAAGAUGCAAAUCAGAUUUCUCUUGUACUUUUAAAACCCCGCUUUUGAGUCUCGAUUUACGAGUAAUUAAGGCUCGUAUUUGUGAAAUUUUCUUAGAUUGUACGCUAGUACAAUCUUUUUCGAUAAAUGGGGUUUCUAAGUAGUAGUUCGUUAUUACUUCCUCAAGCACACAAGAGGACCUUCAAGAGGAUCCCACGGUGGACGCCUGAACCUUCAAGUGACAAUUUCUCCUUUGUUUACUUGGUGAGUGUCAAGUGUAUGUAAACUUGAUAUGUGCUUAAUUGUUAUUAGUGAUUGGAGAUUUUGAAAAUACUGAGUCGAGUGUGUAUCUUACCACACUCGGUCUCAUUUGAAUGACUUGAUUGAAUCGAAAUGACUGAAUCACGAAUGACUUGAUUGAAUUGAAAUGAAUGAAUCGUGAAUGACUUGAUUGAAAUGAAAUGAAUGAUUGAAUGUAUUGAAUGAUUGAAUGAAAUGAUUAAUUAUGCUAUGGCUGCAUAAGUCGAUUGGAGCGAUGCCUCAUCGACCACUGAACGAUUAUAAGUACCACACCGAUUUGAUAGGAGGUACCUCUCGAGUCGUCUCAGUACCCUAAACCUUUGAACGAUAGCAAGUACCACACCGAUUCGGGUGGGAGGUACCUCUCGAAUCGUCUCAGAACCAUUAAGCAUUCUAAGUCGAUUAGAGCGGUGUCGUAUUGACCUCUGAACGAUAGCAAGUACCACACCGAUUUGGUGGGAGGUACCUCUCGAAUCGUCUUAGACCUAUAAACUAAACGAUAGUAAGUACCACUCCGAUUUGGGUGGGAGGUGCCUCUCGAGUCAUCUCAGAAACAUAAAUGGAAUACGUAAAAUGUUAUGAAUUUAAUUAUCUACUCGGGUGACGGGGUGUCGUCACGAGAAGGUAUUGAAUUGAACUUGGGCACAGUAAACAAAGAUUUAGCUCCUGAGAGCUCCUACACCCUACUCAAGAGGGUUUAUUAUAAAUUUUUGAAUUUUCUUGAAUGUUAUAGUUUUCACUAUUGUUCAAGUGCUAUUGCUAUUGAAUUACUUGUCUUGCAUGUUUUCUUCGCCCCACGAGCAUCCGCUCACCCUGCUAGAUUUGUUUUCCUUAACAGGAGCUGAAAUGGGAGGAAUUAUGGAGAAACUUACUUGAUGCUCCAUUUGAUUAGAAUUGUGAAUGUAAUUGUUUAGAAUUUGACUUUUGGAAGCUGUAUAUUUUGGGAAUAUAAAGUAAUUGGGUAGAUUAUGUUGUAAGACUUGAACGUUUAUAAAGGAAUUGACCUUCCUGUAUCUCUUCGAUUUUUAGUAUCGAUGGGUUUUUAUUGAGUUUAAAUUGAAUUAGUACCGAGUCCUGAUGAGAGUUGGGCAGGCGUUCCGCCGAUACCCUUGGGUUCGCCUUCGGGAGAAGUGGGGCGUCACACUGCAUGUGUAUUUCUUGGCCUCACGAGCAAUCGCUCACCCUGUAGAUUUGUUUUCCUUAAUAGGUGGAUUUGAAGAUUCUGGAAAAGCCGACUAGAUUAUCCUUUUGAUUGGAAUCUUGGUUGUAAAUGUCUAGUCGACCUUUAAUGGUUGUAUUUUGGGACUUGAUGUAUCUUUUAAGAACGUGAUGUAAGAUUUGGAUAUUCAGUUAAAGAAGUGACUUUUUCUCAUUUUAGACUUGUAUUAUUUGAUAUGUACCGUUAAGUUUGAAUUGAAUUAUCUUGAGUCCUGGUGAGAGUCGGGCAGGCAUCUCGCCGAUACCCUUAGGUUCGCCCUUGGGAGAAGUGGGGUCGUCACACAAGGUCAUGGUAGCCUGGUACAAAGUCCGGCCGAUUGACCCAUGUAUGAAAUUAGACCAAUCAGUAGUCAUGAAAUCUAUUGGUCGCCCACCUAGAAGGGGUUUAUGUGAGGACCCGUACUUUUCUUAAUUUCUAUGGUUUUAUUUAUUUUUUAUUUAAUUCCACGUUUUUCUACAUUUUCUUUAUUAGAAAACUUUUCUAGAUCAAUUUUAUGAGUAAAUAUUGUUUUUAGAUAAUUUUUCUAGUAUCGGAUAGGUUUUGAGAAAUUAAGAGCGUAUACCGGACGUGGAACCCACUAGGGCGAAAAGUUCGAAAAAUUCGGCCAACAAGGUUAAGUUUUGGAUACUGGAAUUAAUUUACCAGUGUUAAGAGAUAAGUAGAGGGUGCUAUUUGGAUUGGUGUGAGAGGAAACGAAAAGAUAGGGAUGCAUUAAAUAAAGUGACAAGUGUCACUUAGUGAUUGGUUGGACUUGAAGACCACUAUUCACCUUUUUCCAUUUGACCAAAUAAAUCACAAAAAUUACCAAAAUUUCACCAUUUUCUUCUUCUCUUUGGCCGGCCACUUCAAGAAAAAAAGAAAGGGAAAAGCUCUCCAAGUUUUGCUUCAAUCUUGCUCCAAUCUACCAAAUCAACCAUUGAAUCUUGUUUUUGCUCCAUAGAAAACCUUAAGUGAGUGAUAGUGAGGUGUUUUGUGGAGUUGUUUGGAAAGCUAAGGUGACUAGUUGCUCUCUCUCUUGUGUUGCUAAGGUAAGUUGUGAAGGACCCCUCUCCUCCCUCUAAUGAUGCUUAAUUCAUGAUUGGUGGUAGUAUAAGAUGCACUUUUAUGGAUUAUAUCUUGAUUUUUGGUUGAAUUGGUGAAGUUUUGUAAUUAUUGGGGAUUUUUCUGUUUUCAUAUGAAUAUGAUUAUGUGGUCAUGUAUAAUGAUUGGAAAUGAUAUUUAAGGAAGCUAGAAGGUGGAAAAAGUGGUUAAUUGCAAGCAAUUUCUGUUUUGGAAGAAAUUUGGAAAGUUAGGGUUUUAUGAUUGUACAUUCUACCCGGUACAGAAACUCAUAUUUAGAGGCCGAAUUGGAAUUGUAUUAAAACAUGAAAGUUGUAGGGAAUUAUAUUUUAGAGAAUCCUACAAAAUUUUAGGUCAAUCCGAGUAGCGUAGCUUGAGAAAAGACAGAAUUACCCUUGCUGCCCUGGUUUUACCCGAAUUUGAUAGUUGCGUCUGUAAUUGGUUAAUUUGGUUGGGAAUGCUUCCGAAUUGGUUGUUGAGAUCUUCUGAUGAAAUGUAUCCUUGUUUCUUAUCUUUCAGAUGGUUUUGGAAUUUCUGGAUUUCGACUUACGUAGGCUGACUUAUGAUGUUUGAACCAGAAUGCAUUCUGUGAAUCUGUUUUUCCGGUUCUGGUGUAGUAUCUUGCAUUUUUGACCUGGUUACACUCGAAAAUGGGCUGAGUGACCUUAUGAAACAUUGUAGCCCUAUCUAUUAGCUUCGAAAUGGUGUAUCUUGCACCUACAUCCGAUAAUCAUAGUGCCAUUGGUACCAAAACCGCAAAAUGAUGUCAAAAACUGUUUUUUUUGGGUUAACACUUAACUCCAUUUCCGGAUUUUUCUGGUUUCCUCGAAUGCUUAUGUAUGCUUAUGGAACCCUAUUUCGGUAGUAUUUGGCAUUGGUUUAUGACUUGUAAUCGAGUCUUAUUGUGCUUAUUGGAAUAUUUUAGGGCUUGACUUUCCUUUCCGGUCAUUUUCCUAGCUAAAUUUUGUACUUGACUUGAAGCCUAGUGAACGGCUUUUGGAAAUGAGAUUAUUUUUGUACAAGAUGUUGGGACUGAUUUGAGGAAAUAAUGAAGCCAUGACGACUGGAAAAGUAAGCAAAUUUAGGGGAAAUGCUGUCCAAUUUUCUAGGCCGUUUGGUUCCUUUAAGUUUGAAUUACCUUUUGGUAGAAAUGAAGGGUUUUUGGGUUGUUUGAGCCUAGGUCUUCAUGUUACCUUUUCGUUUACAAAAAUCAUGUUUGGCACCCUUGCAUCAGUAAUUUUUGGCAAGGCAUACGACUGGUAGUCGAGCCUCACAUGUGCAUUCUGUAUACUCGAUUUUUGAAAGUGGAACCUUCAAUUGUUUUACUUUGAUUAUUUUAGGGUUUCUUGGUGAUUAAAGCUCUCUUGUGGGCAAAAACUUUUGAGGUAUCUGUACUGACACCGGUGAGUGUACCACUCCCCUCACUUGUUGUUGUUUAACUCGGUUUCGAUACAUGCAAUCUGUGAUAUGAACGACUGAACUAUCUGUUUAUUCUGUUUGAGACGAGGGUGUACUUUAUCACACUCGUUCUCUUGUCUGUUCAUAUGCCAAUUUUGAGUGUGUUUCUGAAUUUGCUAUCUGUAUCUGGUAUCUGUAUCUGUAUCUGUUCUGACGUCGUUUGGAAGCUUGUAUCCAACGACCUUUCUGGGACCUCUGAGCUCAACCCCUGUGGUUUGUUACUCAAGUCGGGCCGGCAAGGGCCUGGUCGAUUAGAUAACGAACCACGGUAGUCUGUUUUGGGAUCUUUGGGUAUUGAGACCCUUGAUUCCAGUAUACUCGAGUAUUACCAUUUCUGAUCUGAUUGGAUUUCGGGCCCGGUGGGGGUAUGUGAGGUGGAAGGAGUCGAAGAAAGUGGAGUCUACGGUAUUGGUUACUUCUGUAACGUUGACGGAGUGUCAACUGUUAUUUCGAUCAAGUUUCGGUGAAGCAAAUGGGAAUUAAAUCCAACCAAGGUCUUGACCAAGACCUUUGACCAAGACUAUCCUUAGUCUUCAUCUUGUAAAAUAGAACCAAAAACACCUCAUUUUCUUCAUGCUUGGUCGUGACUUAGGAGAGGAAAAAAAGAGGAGAGAAAAUUUUCCAUUUUUCCAACUUGAGAGCUUGCUUGAUUCUUGAGAAAAUUACCGUAAAACGUGAUUCUACUCCGAUCAAUCGUUGGGAAAACUUGGAGGUGAGCUUAGUGGAACUUUUGGGAGGAAGAAAGUUCUUGUAUCACAAGUUAUUUUGGAGAUUUUGAGGUAUUAUACUAGAACAUCCCUUGUUUCUUUCUUAUUUUGCAAUUUAAGCAAAGCAUGGCUUGAUUGUGGUGGAUUGUAUGGAAGAUAUCAUGGUUUGGCUUAUUAAAUUAUAAUUUUUAGCUAGGGUUUGUAAUUUUCUGUUUUUAUUAGUGUUAUUUAUCUAGAAUAUGAUGUGAAUCAGCUUAGAUAGGGAGUGGUAGUAGUGGUUUUAUACACGAAUAAGAAGAUUAUCACUUGAAUGCAUCAAUUCCAGCUUUAAGUUUUUGUACUACCCUGUUCUGACCAGUUUCAUUCGGCCAUGAUGGAGGCUGAAUUGGGCUUUGUUCAAAACAUGAAAGUUGUGGAAAAUGAUGUUUUAAAUCUUCCUAUAAAGUUUCAGCUCAAUCCGAGUACUGUAGCACCUAAAAUGAUAAAAAUACCCUUGACUGCCAUUGGUAUAGUUUUGCGGACAGUUUUGACAUUUCAUCAUUCUGGUUGCAUUUUUUCACCUUGAUCCGUUUCAAAUCAGCCUUUGGCCAAAACAUGAACGUUUUACCCCUAUGUUUCAUAUUUCCAACGUAACCAAGAACACCUCAAACGGAAUUGUGUAGCCUGAGUUAUUGCCGUUUGAAUUUAGUACUAACAACCCUCCUGGUCAUGAACUUCUGGUUCUGUAAUUUGUAGAUUUGACCUGGAUAAACUGUGAACUGGGUUGAGUUGUCUUUGUCAAAGUUGUAUCCCUUUGUCUUAGCUUCGAAACGGUAUAAAUUUUAUCCCAAUAUGAUAAGCGUAGCUUCGGUUGUGACCAAUACGCUAAGAGACGUCAAAUCUGCCAUUUAGCUAUUUGCCUUUAAACUUGAUUUCCGGUUACUUUGUUAAGACUUGUGUUGUAAUUGGAUUAUUUUGGAGCCUAAUUGAAGGGCAAUGGCAGUAACAUUAUUUGUGUGUGAUUUUGGGGCUGAUUGAGAAAAAUAAUGAAGCCAUAAAUGGCUGGAAAAUAGGUAAACACAACGGGCGUGCUGCCCAAAUUUUCACUCGAGAGUUAGGCAUAUGUACCUGCGACUUGAGCGACGAUUUGAGGUCAAGUUGGACUUGGAUCGCCUAUGGUAUUCGAGUUUUCUUUAGUCAGGGUAUAUAAGCUAAAAUUUUCCGGAACUCGUACCCUUGAAAAGUGAAAGUAGCACCCUUUCAAAAUACGAUUUUCCCUAUCUUUGAUACCAAGUGUAACUUCUAAAGUCGAAACCACUUCUUGAUCAUAACUAAACGAGCGAGCAUGAGUUUUUCGGAAUUUGAUAAGUAUCUUGAAUACUACUUAAACGACUUGCAUUUACUUGAUUUUCUGAAACGAAACUCCUAUGUUUCGAACUCUAGAGAGUUUUACAUUCGUAAAUGAUAUUUUAUCGUAGAUUCGGACUCCAACCAAGGAGUUGGACCUGAACGUGACUUUUGAGAGGCACUAGACCUUUGGUGAGUGCUUCCAAAUACCUGAUUAAACUGGACACUUGUUUUCAAUACUUGACCAAUGUGAUUUAAUGAUAUGUAAUUUGUUGGAUCAGGCAAGAGUGUACUUUAUCGCACUUGCCCUAAUAUGAUAUAUACUUGUUUAUUGUUGCAAUUGACUUGAUAUACUUGUACUUGACUUGUAAGUGCUGAGCGGCAGCAUGUACCAUACUCAAUGUGAGUGGGAGGUGCCUCUCAUUCCCGUCUCCGUACUUUUAUUUUGAUUCAGUCGAUUGGAGAUGUUAUCUCAUCAACUUCUUGGGGACCCAAACCACACUGGUUGGUUAAUCGAGUCGAGUCGGCAAGGGCUUGGUUGAUUAGAUAACGAACCAUGGGUAUCUAGUGUUGUCGAGUGGAGUGUUAUCUCCUCGACUAAUCAGUAUACUCGAGUAUUAUCACCAGUGUUUAUCUUGGAGUUCGGGCCCCGUAAGAGGUUUGGUUGGUGGACGGAGAUUGGAGUUAAGUGGUGUACUACAGGACUAGUUACCUUACUUGAAUGUUGACAGAGUGUCAACUAUUACUGGAUCAAGCUCUGGUGAUGAAAUGGGAAUUUGGCUCCUGAGGGCCAUCCGUAUUCUUAUACUUUGGAAUGAUAAGUACUUAUCGUGUUAUUGUUUCAUUUUAAAAGAAAAACUUUACUCUCGCUCACUUAGAGAUUUGCUACUUGAAGUGUUAUUGCUCACUUUUAUGAACUUUUCAUGCUCCUUAUUUUGCUACGUGAUAUUUGUACUUUUCAAUAAUGGUCACCUCGCUAUUUGGAACCUCACUGGGCUUUUAGCUCAUUCCACGCCAUUUGUGUUCCUUACAGGGGGUACGAGCGAGGCGUGAAACGUGUACAGACUAGCGUAGUCUAGUUAUUUUUGAAUUUUGAAUUGUACUCGCGCUAGCACCCGACUAGGGUUCUUUGUACUUGAAUUGUAAAUGCUUUUAAAUAUUUUGGUGUGUAGAAGCUUGUGACAGCCCCACCUCCCCCUAAGGCAAACCAAAGGGUUCGGCAGACCGCCUGCCAAACUCUCGCCGGGACUCACUCACUCACUACAGUCCUCAAUUAAAUUACAUCAGUCACAUCCAAUAACAUAGGGUACAAUCCUCAAUAAUAAACAAAAUAACAUUUCCAAGCUUAGAACGUAUACUUACAUACAUUACAAAUCUCAAAUAGUGGUACAAUUCCCCGAAUAAGAUAAAAGUCCUCAGUUCUCAAAUAAUUACAAUUACAAUGUCAGUCUCAAAUAUUACAUCUAAUACUCAUCAAGUGAAUCGAAUUCAAAUUAUACAUGAGGUAUCCCUUUAGACACUCUCCUUUGCCUCAAGCCUGUGGGGCGAAAAUUAUUUUUGGGGUGAGCUAGAAGCUCAGUGAGUGUCCAAUAAAAUCAGUAAUCAAAUAAGCUUCACAAUAGUGCAUUUAAAUGAGAUUAUGAAUCAAUGAUCAAAUGUACGUUUAUUGCUCUUGUGAGCCAGUGAAAUCAUUGUACUUAGAACUCCAACGCUCAAACGGAUCUAGUCAGUCACACAGUACAAGGAGCCAUUUGCUCCAAAUAAUCAGGGGUGGAGACGUUGGUUCUAAGCACACAAAUUCCAAGUACUCAUUUGAGCCAAAAUAUGUCAUGGUCCACAGCACUCAUGAUAUGCAAUCGAGUAUGCAAUGCAAGAAAUAGUUUGAAAAGUUACUUUGCAAAUAGUUGAGGAAUCACUCACCAACCACGGCUCAUGAAUCUCAUCCAUCAUAACUCAUUGCAUUGCUGGAGUCCAAACCCUCCAUUUCACCAAGAGUCCACUCACUCAAAGCAAUCAAAUGCUCCCAAAUGUUCGACAGCACUUCCCUUUAAUUUCCUUAUUUUCCCUCCUACAAUACAUUACCAAUCACAUCUCAAUUCAAUCGCAAGUACAAAUACAAAGCAUAGACUAUAAAACAUACCUAAUUAGGGCCACAAUACCCUUCCACUUGAGCCAAUUAAUAGCUCCAAUACUAAUCACAAGAAAGCCCCAAUUCGAAACCCUAGAACUGAAAUUUACCCUACAAACGGAAAUUUUCCGCAAACCAUCACAACUAAUAUACACAAGCUUCAUUUUACACCAUAUCAAUCUAUCAUUCCAUGGCCAACCAAUGAUUAUCAUAUAAAAUCAGAAAAAUCACCAAUAAAUCUAAAAUUUAACAAAACUCUACUUUCAACCAUAAAUCUUCCACAAAAUAGCAAUUUUUGUGACGACCCCACCUCCCCCUAAGGCGUACCAGAGGGUUCGGCGGACCGCCUGCCCAGCUCUCGCCAUGACUCACUCACUAUCUAAAACAAAUCGCGUGCGCACAUCCAUGAACCAUAAAUAACAUCCACAAUUCAAACUUAUAAUUUACAUUGAUACAAUUCAAGAUACAAAGUCUCAAUAUACCAAACUAGUUCAAAGCGUAUACAAAUCAAAUACAAAACAUUCUAUUCGAGGAAUAGCGCGAGUACAAGACAAAAGUCAAAAGUCAAACGACUAGACUACGCUAGCCUUUACACGUCUCACGCGUCACUCGUACCCCUGUAAGGAAAACAAAACUAAUAGGGUGAGCCAAAGCUCAGUGAUGUUCCAUAUAUCAAAUUGUCCAGCAAACAAGAUUAUAACAAUGUAAUAGUGAAAUAGCGAGCAAACAAGUUCAAGUAAAGCGAUAAUACUUCAAGUAGUCAAGAAAUGUGUGGAUCAUGUUCACAAGUAAGGAUACAGUUGCUCAUGUCUCGGCUCCAUCCCAGCUCGAUCGAAUAGUAGUUGACACUCCCGUCAACUUUCAAGUAAUAACUAGUCCAGAAAGAAAACUCCACUUCUCGCCAUUCUCCGUCCACCAAUCAACCCCCUUCUCCGGGCCCGCACACCACACGAAACACGGGUGGUAAUACUCGAGUAUACCAAAUUGCCGAGGAGAUAACACUCCACUCGACCUUACUAGUGACCCAGGGUUUGUUAUCUAAUCGACCAGGCCCUUACCGGCUCGACUCGAUUAACUAGCCACAGGGUUUCUGGAAUUCCAGGCAAAAUAUAAUUCAUGUACAUGUAGAGCAAGUCAAGUAAAGUCGAUAAACAAGAACAAAUUUGGAUAGGGCAAGUGCGAUAAAGUACACCCUUACUCUAUCAAAUCACAUAUAUAUCACGUAUUCACGUUGAUCAAAGAUAAAUGGCAAAUAUCGAGUUCAAUCAGAUAUUUGGAAGCACUCACCAAAAGUAGUGCCUCUAGUGCUCGUGUCUGGGUGGUACUCCGGGUUGGAGUCCAAAUCUGCGAUAAAAGUUGACUUGAGAACUUUGAAAAUUGACUAAAGUUCAAAACUUAAGCGUUUCGUUCAAUAAGAAUCAAGAAAUUGAAAUUCACUUGAGAAAUAGUCGUGAAAUAGUUGCUCGCUUUUCAAACGGAAAAUUUUGAUAACAUGUUUGCUUGAAAUGACUUUUGAGUCGAAAGUGCAAGUAAAACGGUUUCAUAGUGAUCCUUACAGCUUUUCCUAAGGGUACAAGUUCGGCCAAGUCCUAACGUAUAACCCUCGAUAAACAAAGUAGCAAAGGUCCUCGAUAGUUCAAGUGAUAAUUGUGACGGCCCCACUUCCCCCUAGGUCGUACCCCAGGGUUCGGCGAACCGCCUGCCCAGCUCUCGCCAGGACUCACUCGUUCACUUCAAUCCUCAAUUAAAAAUCGAAAUAAAUCACGAGAAUAAAUAUAACGACGAUCCAAAACUUAACGCAAAACUUAUAUACAUUACUAUCUCAAAAGGGAGUACAAACAUCGAAUAUACACAGGUUCUCAGUUCACCACACAUCCAGCCCGUGCCAAGCACUAGGCAAGAACCAUUACAAAACCAAAAACUAGUCUAGGCUAGUCUAAACUGAGCUCUCGUCCUUGCUCGCCUUCCCCUGUUAAGGAAAACAAACUAAAGGGGUGAGAUAAAAGCUCAGUGAGAUUCUAUAUACAAAAACAAGUAAUUGAACAAGGACAUUAAUCAUGUAAUAACAAAUAAUCCAGAAAACAUGUCCAAUAUAAAGCAAUUAUAAUACAUUCAUUAAAAGGAUACAGGCUCACAAGGAGCAAUUCGUUGUUCGUUUCCCAUUCAUUUCCUUAUUCCUCCAAUUAUUUAAAAUUGCAUCUUUGUAAGUAAAACCCCUCGUUUUUUUCUUUGACGUGCGUAUGUUCAUUCUUGUUUACCUCCUCCUGGACGUUGGCCAGGCUUUUCCCCCAUCCGGACGUUGACCGGACUCCACCCAUCCGGACGUUGACCGGACUACAAGGUAAUACUCGAGUAUACCAAAUGUGCACCCAGGUCACCAAAUCGCCCGACCGAGUCCGCUUCUGGCUCGAGUCGAUCGGUAACAAAGGCAAGGGCCCAGUUCAGCCAAAAGGCUUACAUUCAUGUGCAAUUAAUAUUUCAACAUUUAAACACCAAAAAUCUCAUAUUUAUUUAGGUCGAGUGCGAUAAAGUACACACUCACCUAGCAAAAGAUCAUUUUAGAAAUCGUAGAAAACAAUUAACAUUUAAUCAAAUGUUCACAAAUAACCACAUAGUCACAACAAUCCACAUAGUCAUAGAAACAAAACGUAUAUAGAACACUCACAGCUCGCAAAUGUGGUUUCAUGCACUUCCGUCAAAAGAACGUUGUGCACCACGGUCACGUCCUAAAACAUGCAAAAAAUACCAUGAGACUCGAUAACGAGUCAUAAACCAAGGCCAAACAUGACCCCAAUAGGGUUCCAUAAGCAUAUACAAACAAUAAAGGAAACCAGAAAUUUCGGAAAUGUAACUAGCUUUGGCCCUGAAAAAAAAAAUAGUUUUUGUUUUCAUUUUGCGGUAAUGGCACCAAUUUCACUACGAUUAUCGGAUGAGGGUGCAAGACCCACCAUUUCGAAGCUAAGAGACAGGGCUACAACAUCACAGAAGGUCACUCAACCCAGUUUUGAGUGCAAACAGGUCGAAAAUGCAAAUACUACAUCAAAAACGUAAAACAGAUUCACCAAAACGCAUUCUAGAGGAAACAUCACAACUCAGGCUCUACAAGUCCAAAUCCAGAAAUUCUUACAUUCGGGCAAAACCAGAACAGCAAUAGUAAUUUCGACUUAUCUCAUUUUACACUACUCCGAUUGACUUGAAAUUUUGUAGGCACCUAUAAAAUGUCAUUCUCUAAACUUUCAUGUUUUAAUCCAAGGCCAAUUCGGCCUCUAUCUAGGACCUAAAAUUUCGGACAGAAUGCUCCUCAAGAACCCUAGUUUUCUGAAAUUUUUUCCAAACCAGAAAUUGGUUGCAAUUAAUCACUUUUCCCACCUCCUUAAGUCAUUAUAGACCAUUUCCAAUCAUCAUAGAUAGCCACACAAUCAUGCUUAUAUUAAAACAGAAAAAUCCCGAAAAAUAAUAAAACUUGAUCAUUUCAACCACAAAUCAAGAAUUAAUCCAUAAACUUGCAUCUUCUACUACCACUAAGCAUGAUUUAAGCAUCAAUUAAAGGAGGAGGGUGGUUCUUCACAACUUACCUUAAAACAAGAGAGAGAGAGCUAUUGGUCACCUUAGCUUUCCAAAUAAUUCCACACAACAACUCACCAACACUUCCUUAAGUGGUUUUAUGGAGCAAAAUCAAGUUGGAUGGUUGAGUAAGUUGAUUGAAGCAAGAUGGAAGCCAAAAUCUUGAAGAGUUUUCUUUCUUUCCUUGCUUAAGAGAUUCGGCCAAGAGGAAGAGAAGAAUGAGGGAUUUUUGGUGAAUUUUUAAGAUAUUUAAGUCAAUUGGUAAGACAUGCAAUAGUAGUCAAAUGGUCCAACCAAUAGCCAAGUGACACUUGUCACCUUUUUAUUAAUUACCUACCUAACUUGUCUCUCUCAUAUCAAUCCAAAUUGCAACCUCUACUUAUCUCUUAACACCCGAUAAAUUAACUCCAGUAUCUAAAACUUAACCUAGUUGGUCGAAUUUUUCCCGAACUUUUGGCACUAGUGGGUCCCACGUCCGGUAUACGCUCUUAAUUUCUCAAAAUCCAUUCGAUACUAGAAAAAACAUCUAAAAAUUAUAUCUGCUCCUUAAAUUCAUCUAGAAAUUUUUCUAAUCACGAAAAUGCAGAAAACAAGCCAUGAAAAAAAAAUAUAUAUAACCUCGAAAAUGAAAAAUACGGGUUCUCACAAUAAUCACUUCUAACCUUUACUCAAGUUGCAAGUAUAGUUUUCUAGUCCUCAAACGUAAAUUUGGGCAGCAUGCCCUUUGUGUUUACCUAAUUUUCCAGCCAUUUAGGCUUCAUUAUUUUUCUCUCAGCCAAUCUCAAAGUCAUACAUAUCAUAGAUUCAAGUAAAUAGCCGUUCCAUAGGCUCAUAACAACAUAAGAACAAAAAUCAAAGUGAUAACGAGUGCGGAAAUGUAACCUAGCAAAAGACAGAUUUGACGCGUGGUUACGGAAAUAACACAUCUGAGGCUACGCUUAUCGGAUUGAGACGAAACUUAUACCGUUUCGAAGCUAAGACCCAGGGCUACAAUGUUCAUGAAGAUCACUUAGUCCAGUUUCCAAUGCGACCUAGUCAAAUUCCCAAUUUACAAAACCAAAAUCCAACUAGUUGGCUAAUUAACCGCACUGCACUGGAAUGGUCAUAUCUCAGGUUACCAAGGUCCGAUUAUGGUGUUCUUUGAGGCGUUUAAAAUAUAGGACAGAAUACUAAAACUUUCAUGUUUUGGUAAAUAACUAAAUCUGUACGGAUCAUAGUGAAUAAACAAGGUUAAUCGGAUGAAUCUGUCAAAAACGGAUCACUGGACAAACCCUAAUGCAGCGACCGUAUUUUGGCUUCUCUCAGUCUACAUUGCUCCAAUUACCCUGAAAUUUUGUAGGCACCUAUAACAUACCAUUCUAUACAACUUUCAUGUUUUAGGACAAGCCCAAUUCGGCCUCUAACUAUGAGCACUAAAAUCGGGCAGAAUGUAAUCCUGAAAUUCCAGAAAUCUGGAAUUUUUGAAAUCUGAAGUCAAUCCUUCCAUUUUCUUGCUUCCAACUCUACCAAAGCCCUUAUAUACUCUUAUAUACAACAUAUACUAAAUAUAAAACAAGGUUAGGCAGAAAUUAAUCAAACCCUAGCUUGCAUAUAUCAUCCAAGAAUCAUCACAACAACUUGCUUAUCUUGUAAUCAAGCUAAAACAUGAUCUAAAUAACAUCUUAAACCAAAAUUUAAAGGAACAAGGAUCAUGAUCAGAUUUUUAUACCUCAAAUACAAGGCUUGAAAGAGUGAUACUUCACCCCCUUGGAAAUUUCUUAGUUCCUCAAGCUUCCCAACUCACAACCCACACUUUAAUCGGUUUAGAAUUGGAUUUUCUCACUUGGUUUAAGCAAAUCAAGAAGGAAAUUUGUUUCUUCUUGCUCUUCUUUUCUCUCUCUCUUGUCUCAGCCCUAAGCAAGAAAAAAUGAGGGAGAAAGAGCUUAGUUUGUCUUAUAAGAAGGUAAGAGGAUUAGGACUAAUUGUAACCACAAGUUGGGCCAACACUUGGCUCAACUUUCACCACAAAAUUUUCUUUUCUUUCCUUGCAUUUUUUUGUCCCAAUUUUCGGCCAAGAGAUAGCCAUGAGGGGGGGGGGAUAUUUUUCUCAAUUAGUAAUGAGCUUGUAGGGUAAGAAAGUGGUGAUCAGGUGUGGUUAAAUCGGUAGUACACGGUACACGUCGGUUCGCGCCGUUUUUCCUUAAAUUACCCGUACUAGGGUUUUUAAUUUCUUUUCACUAACUUUUAUUCAUUGCUUCUAAUCACAUAUUAUUUCUCACUUAAAAGUCACUCUUAAGCACCAAAUUUGAUCGUACUCUGUACCGGAUAAUUACACUGCGGAUACACGAAAAAUUCUUAUUUCACCUUGAAUUGAAAACGAAUAGGAAAACCCUAAUUUCUAUAACUUUUUGCACUUUUCUAGGGUGGUUGAACUAUAGGAUGGCAUGAAAUAAUAAUUACCAAAUACUUUCAAAUAAAAGGGAAUUUUAAGGAAAAAUAUAAGGAAUUUGCGAGUCUUCACAAUUUUAGCCACUAGAAACCACUAUUUUACCAUUAUUAAGAACAAAGAGGAAGUUCCUUAGCACCUUACCUUAAAACUCAAGAAAGAUAGUAACUUAGAGCUUCCUUUGCCAAAACCACUCCACCACCUUCUUUAAUCUUCCUUAGCAAGUCACUUUUAUGGAGUAUUUUGCAAGACCAUCAGAAAACUCAAGAUUUGAGCAAAAUGGAAGUUGAAGUUGAGGAAACUCUUUUGGUUUUUCCUCAAAAGUGGCCGGCCAAGAAGAAGCAAAAAUGAAGACCAAAUUCAGCCAAAACAAGAUAAGAAUUAAGGAAAACAGCCAGUCAAACUUGGCUGCCGACUGUGACACGUCACAAUCCGCCCAGAAUCUGGCCAGAUUUCCGGCCGGGUUCAAGGCAAUGGCGAAUCAUAUUUUUUUUCCAAAACCCUUCCAAUCCGCCGGUCAAGAAUCCGGCCAAGAUCUGGCUGGAUUCUCACUGUUCACUUUUCACCAGAAGUUUGUCCUUUUCUUCUUCUUUCGAGCGUCACAAAGCUUUAUAUCUGGAUUUGAGCAUCAAUGUAUAUAUUAAGUUGAAGUAGCUGUGUUAUUUAUUGUCUAUGGAUGUACGUUAUUUUUCUUGAGCUCUGAGUGAGUAAGUCAUGGCGAGAGCUGGACAGUCGACCCGCCGAACCCUGGGGUACGCGCUAGGGGGAGGUGGGGCCGUCACAAAAUAUCAACUAAUUAGGAAACCUAUGCAUUUGAUAGGUACGACACAAGUUUAAAUGACCUAAAGUAGCCCCACGCAAGCAGCCAAACAAAGGUAGGUGGUACUUACCCUUCUGAGAUUUCAAAGGUGUAAAAUGAAAUUUUUGUUUUCAAUCCUAUUUUGUUGUGUUGACUCGAAAUGUAUUUGAUUAAAUGCUUUACUUGAAUAUUAUGAAAGUUAUAUUUUUACUAUACAAAAAUGUACCAUGUGACUUAUUUGAAAUGUUUUGAAAUGUUAUUAUAUACCAAACAAGCUGAAUAUUUUAUGAAUUCUAAAAUCUAUGUAUAUCACAUGUGGAAUAAAUUUUUGACAAGUAAAGCUCAAAACAGUCAUGGGAUAGACGGUAGGGGCUAUAGUCCUGUCUAAUCGUCAUGGUAGUCUGGUAUAAAGUCCGGCCGAUUGACAAUGUCAUGGUAGCCUGGUAUAGAGUCCGUUUGAUUGACAAAGUCAUGGUAGCCUGGUAUAAAGUCCGGCCGAUUGACAAGGUGUGAGGACCCGAAAAUUCUCUUAAUUUUAUCAUAAUUUACUGGCCUAUUUAAUUAUUUAUUCACAUGUUUUCUCCGAAUAAUUUAUUUCAACCAUUUUAAGUCCAUUUGUACGGAACAACGUCUCCCUUAUGUUUUUAAAACGUUUCGUUAGAAAGAUUUAUUUUUCGAAGACUUGUUUAGUGAGGAAUAACGAGUACAUGCUUUUCGAGGCAAAAUUCGAUUCGAGAGUGCAAAAAAAAUGUUGGAGGAUUAAGAAUGAAUACUAGUAGAUUAAGAAAAUUUAAUUGAGGGAUUAGAUGUGAUUAACUUAAUUAAAGCUUUUACUGUACGCGCAUCGAUAGUUUCUCGAAAGUCAUACCGCGCGACAAAUUGGAGAUUUAAGGAAUUAAUAUUUGUGAGGACUCAUGUUUUAUUUCUAAAAAUGGUUAUUUCAUAAUUAAUUACAUUAGUAGUAGUUAAUUAUAUAAUCGUUAUAUGAAUUUCUUGUAAAUUUGCCUCAUUGCGCGUGAAUUGAAAUUUCACGUAAAUCGAGCCGGAACGGCUAAGUGGAGAUUUAAAAAACUUAAUCUAAACUACUAAGAGUGGAUAAUUGUAAUGUUAAAAUAAGUGCAUUAGAGGUUUAGGACACAAGUGAAACAACCCCAAGAGAAACGGACACGAAACACGCGCGCGCGAUUACUAUUGAUAGUUGACUUUCAUCAAACUUUGGCCCCAAGUUUUAUCAAGUUUCCAAGAGAAGCUUUAGCCAUCAGAUUUUUCUCUCUCUCUCUUCACUCAAGGCUGGCCGAAACACUUAGCAAGGAAGAAGAAGGAAGCUUCACUCCAUUUCACUUCCAAUCAUCUCACCAUUUCACUACAAAUUUCUCACACAAACUCACAAACACUUGGAGAUUCAUCUUGGCUUGGAGGAGAAGGUCUUCUAGUCGAGUUUCUUGGAGCUUUUGGUAACCCAAAAUUUCUGGUUUUACAUCAUCUAAGAGGUAGUAAUCAUCCAACCCUUGAAACUUGGUUUCAGUGAGUUAAAUUUGGCCUUGGAGCUUGUAGCUUCAUGUGGGUGUUGUUAUUUGGUUGAAAAUGAUUGGAGUGGGCUCUAUGAAAUCCCACAAUGGAUAUAUUGGACUGAUAUGAUGAUUUAAUGGUUGGUUUGAGUUGUUUUGGUGUUGUUUAAGUUAGUUAUGGGUAGAGAAUUGAAGGAAACCGAAUGAAAUUUCACUUGGACUGUUAAUCAAAUUCUGCCCUGUUUUUCUCGAAGCUUUAGUCCGAAAUGUUGACGCUCAAAUAACCUUGAAUUUGAUGUAGAUAUGAUGUGUAGGAUGUGUGGAAAGUUUUCACCAAAAAUCAUGUGAUUUGGUUGAGUAAAAGUUGGAUUUUUGAAAUAUCUUCAAAUCUGGAAAACGGGUAACAGGGGCUCACUGGCAGUAAACUUUGAACGAUCAUAGCUCUUUGCUCAGACGUUGAAAUCAAGUGCUGUUUGCAGUAUUUGAAACUAGACACUUCCACUUUCUAACAGUAUAAAAUGUAUCCUCUGAUUCGAACUGAGUGAGCCGUAGUAGUUCUUCAAACUUACCUGUCCUGUUUUACGGCUGUGCUCGAGAGUUAGUGAUGAGCUGAGGAUUUUUGCUUGAAUUUGAGCUAGCUAUGAACUGGAUUUCAAAAUGCUUUCUUCUGAGGAAUUGUAGCCUUAUGAAUGUAGUUUCCAAUGCCACCAACCAUGCUCAAUUACAAACUGAAUUGAGUGAGUUGUGGCCAAAUUACAGAACUGCACCAGUGAUAGAAAACCCUAAGUUUGGCUAGCCGAAUGGCCUAGCUUGACUUGGGACUUGUUGUUUUGCAAAUUUUGAUGUCAAUCACCCACCAAAUGUAUAUUGGAUGUUUCUUAGACUUUUGUUCCAUAAAUGACCCAGAUUUAAGUCAUUUUCAUUGGACUAAAUGUUUGAAAAAGGAAGAAGAAAGCAAAAGACAGAUUGGUCUUGGGAUUUUCUUGAACUUUGGUAGUUUGGUACACUACCUUCCCGUGUGAAUUUUCAAAUGAAAUUUGGUAGAGGAGUAGUCCUCAUAUGGAGGUUGAGUUAUACCAAUUUUGGCAUCAGUCCAAGACCAUUUCGAUACCCAAAUGAUAGUCCAAAGUCAUUUUUCCAAAUCUGGAAAAUGUACAAUCUGUCCGAUUUUUGUUCCGUUAGUUGUGUUUUAAACUUUGAUUGUAACUCUAAUUGAGUGUCAAAUUUUAGAGGCUAGUUCACAUUCUGUGAAUUUUGCCAAAUUUCCAAAGUUUGCCAAAACCAACCCCGAAUCUGUCUUGGAAGUGUAAGUGUGACGGCCCCACCUUCCCCUAAGGCGAACCAAAGGGUUUGGCAGACCACCUACCCAACUCUCGCCAGGACUCGAUCGCUCUCAUCAAGUGAAAUAAGAUAUGACCUCGAGACUAAACGAAAAACAAUUCCCAAACCUGAAACAUAUACUUACAUUCAUAUCCAUCUCAAACAGAAAUACAAUCCAAAUUAGAACAAAAGCUUUAAGUUCUUACUACAUCCAACCUUAUCCAAGCACUAGCGCGAGAACAAUAAAAAAAAUAAAAUUUCAAAAAACUAGACCAAGCCAGUCUGCACAGGACUCACGCCCUCGUUCGCAUCCCCUGUAAGGAAAACAAAACUAACGGAAUGAGCUAAAAACCCAGUGAGGUUCCAUACACAUAGCCAAAUAAUUAAACAAGGACAUUAAUCAUGUAAUAACAAGUAAUCCAGAAAACAUUUACAAUAUAAAGUAAUGAUAAUACAUUCAUUAAAAGGAUACAUGCUCACAUGGAGUCCUUCGGUCAUUCAUUCCACCAACCAUUUCCUUAUUCCUCCAGCAUUAAAAAUAAUUUCAUUUGUAAGUGAAAACCCCUCCAUUGUUCUUGCCAUUCAUUCAUUCAUUUCAUUUUCCCCCUACUGGACAUUGGCCAGUCUUCACCAGACUUCGUGGUCAUACUCGAGUAUACCAAACAUUUUCCCAGGGUUACCAAUCGCCCGAUAGAGUCCGUUUCUGGCUCUAGUCGACCGGCAACGAAGGGCAAGGGCCCAAUUCAGCCAAAAGGCUUACAUUCAUGUACAAGUAGUAUUUAAACAUUUAAACAUUUAAUCAUUAUAGAUUUCACAUUCAUUUAGGUCGAGUGCGAUAAAGUACACACUCGCCUAACAAAAUUCAUUUUUAGAAAUCAGUGAAAACAUUUAACAUUUAAUCCAACAUUCACAAAUAGUCACAUAGUCACAACAAUCCACAUAGUCAUUGGAAACAUAACGUAUAAAGAACACUCACCUAUUUAAGCAAAAUAACGUCCAAAGUCUCUUUCCGGAUAAUACCCUCAAUCACCAAGGAACCCUAAUAAUAACCAAGAGAAAAUAUUAUAGUUAAACCAUCCAAAGUUUAGGUGAACCAAAGAAAAUCCGAGUAAUUACUAGUACAAAGUAUAAGUAUAGUUUUGGAAGUUAAAAGAGUACAUUUAAACCAAAGGCCAUCAGUAAAAUAUUUGUAAAACUUAUGCUCGCUCGUAAAACUUUGAAAUCUCGAUUUGAGUCGAACAAACGGAGAAAACGUAUUUCUAUUAGUCGUAAAUUUCAUUUUUCCAAGGGUACAAGUUUCGGCCAGAUUCUAACUUAUAUACCUCUAAUAAAGAAGAUUUGAAUACCUUAGAUGAUUCAAGUUAGUUUCAUCCUCAACCCUUACUCAAGUCGCAAGUACAUCUACCUAGCCCUCGAGUGCAAAUUUAGGCAGCAUGCCCUUUGUAUUUACCUAUUUUUCAGCAAUUUAUGGAUUCAUUAUUUUCCUCAAUCAGCCCCAAAACACAUACAAAUAAUUUUAUCAUAAUAGCCGUUCAAUAGGCUCAAAAUCAUCCAAGUACAACACAAGUAUAAUAAUCUAAUCGGAAAUCAAAUUUUGAAGGCAAAAGACUAAAUGGCAGAUUCGACAUCUUAUAAUAUUUUUGUCACAACUAGAGUUAUAUUUAUUAGAUAGGUGUGAAUUUUAUACCUCUGUGAAGCUAAGACAAAGGGCUACAACUUUCAUGAAGACCACUCAAUCCAGUUCACAAGUGAUCUAGGUCAAAAGUACAGAUUACAGAACCAGAAGGUCCUUGUCAGUACGGUUGUCAGUACUGAAUUCAAAUAACAAUAACUCAGGCUACACAAUUCCGUUUGAGGUGUUUUAGUUGCGUUGGAAAGCUGAAACAUAGGGAUAAAAGUUUUGUGUUUUGGCCAAAGGCUAAUUUGCUACUGAUCAAGGUGAAAAAAAUGCAGCCAGGAUGAGGAAAUGUCAAAACUGUCCACAAAACUAUACCUAUGGCAGCAAGGGUAAUUUUGUCAUUUCACAUGCUACAGUACUUGGAUUGAGCUAAAAUUUUACAGGAAGCUAUAAAAUAUCAUUUUAUACAAAAUUUAUGUUUUAACCUAAGGCUGAUUCGGCCUCCAUCAUGGCCGAAUGAAACUGGUCAGAACAGGGUAAUACAAAAACGUAAAACUGGAAUUAAUGCAUUCAAGUGAUAAUCUUCUUAUUCAGGUAUAAAACCACUACUACCACUCCCUAUAUAAGCUUAUUCACAUCAUAUUCUAUCUAAACAAUAAGAAAUACAACUAAACAAUUCAAAACCCUAACUCACAAAUUGUGACGACCCCACUUCUCCCAAGGGCGAACCCAAGGGUAUCGGCAGGCCACCUGCCUAGCUCGCGCCAGGACUCAAAACUUAAAGUAAUAAACUAGAGAAAUCGAAAGAGCACUAUAUACAUUAUAUACAAUCCCCAAAAGUUCUAAUUACAUUCUCCAAAAGUACCUGCUCACACUAUUACAUCCUUAUCACUACAACCAAAACCAAAAUGUAGACCCUAAGGAGGGUCCUGAUACAAACCACCAAAACUAAAACAAAAACAAAUAUACUAUGUCCAACUAUUACAAUAAACCUAACUAUGCUAGGGUACGUGCCAAAAGUCCCGCGUCGGCCCCUGCUAAGGAAAACAAAAGGGAAGGGUAAGCUAUAUGCUUAGUAAGUAAACAGGGGCGAAAGCAUAAAUUUCACGUACAACAGUUACACAGUAAGAGUAAAGCAAAAGCAGAAAAGUAACAUCACAUAAUAAGGAUACAGGUGGCUCCAAAGCCAGAUCGUUUGCCGUUUGUGACCUUCUGCCGACACUCCGUCGACCUCAAAUAAUGGUCCGUAGAACUUCACUUAUACCCCCACCGUACACCUUAUCACCCUCUCUGGCCAGGCACCUCACAAACUUGCUCGAGCGAACGAAAUUGAGCUUGGUUCACAAGCUCGGGUCACAAACUUGGUCCACAUAAUCGGUGAACCGAAUUCACAAACUUGGUGACCUCAAACCAGGUUGGACUGACUUCGACCAAGCCUACCCGGCUCGAAUAGUCCAUCUAGGAUUGAGAUCGGGCCCCAAACUCACAAACUUCACAAAAUGUAUUCGAAAGUCACCCGAGCCACAAGCUCAAGGGGUUUAGUUCCAAAUGAUUCAUAUACAUAUGUCAUGUACAAAUAUGUGCGCAAACUAGGGAUUAGGUCGAGUGCGAUAAAGUACACCCUCGCCUAGGUACCCUUUUCAUACUUAUCAAAACACAUAAACAACUAACACGUAAAAGCGGCCUGAAUACUUACACAACGAACAAAAGAGCAAAUUUUGAAAUUUGUGCCACGAAUAGUAGCUAGUAGGCCCCACCGGCACCACCUAGCUCACCACCGUCUGAAAUAGAAGAUUGCGUCAUAUAAUAUCAUAAACGGCUACUAAUAUACCUAAAACAAGCAAAACGGCAAAAUCAGCACAUGUAAGUGCGGAAACGGCAAAACGGAAACGGAAAUGGCGGCCUAGCCAUUUUGCCGUCAAAACUGUUUUGAGCCUAAUCGAAGCUAUGAGUGUUGGAUCAAGGUACAUAAGGUACCUUUGCGAAGCUAAGAGGAAGGGCUACAAUUUUCAUGAAGACACCUAAAUCCGGAUCUGAACAGAAAUAGGUCGAAAGUGCAGAAAACUGUUCCAGGAAUUUGCACUCCAGAGUAACGGACAGGGUAUGUUUACUGGACUAUAAAUCCCAACUCACAAAUCCAAAUCAGGAAAUUCCAAAGGCAUUAGAAAGCUGAGACAUAAGGCUAAAACUUUGAUGUUUUGGCCAAGACCUGAAUCCACUCAGAACAGAACGAAAUUUGAGUGUCAAAGUACUCGUCAGAACUGUCCAGAUUCAAGGCAGUUCUGACGAUCGAUUUUGUUUUGGUCAUAACAGGAGCUACGGAACUCGGAUUUCGACGUAAUUUAUACCGUUUCGAAGCCAAAAUCAAGAUCUACAUUUCUUAUGAAGGAGUCAAAACCCAGAUCGUACGGGAUCAAAACCGAAAAAGUCACGGACAGAAGCUAAACUAAAACGCACAGAACCUGAUGUUCCAAACAGGCUUGAGUAUUUCAUCUAUAACUCAUGAUACACUAAUCUGUUUGACCCGAAAUUUUACAGGCAUAUUCAGGACUUAAGAGGCUACAAUGUUGAAGAAGGCCACUCAGUCAAAUUUUGAGUGUAACUACGUCAAAAAUGUAACAUACUACACCAGAAUCGCAAAACAGGUUCACAAACCGUAAUCUAGUACAAACAUCAUAAAACAGCCUACAUAAGUCCAAAUACAGAAAUUCCAAAACCAGCUGAAAGCUAAGAAACAGGGAUAAAUUCUAUUAGAAGGCCUCAACAACCAAUUCUGAAACAGUCCAAACCAAAAUAACCAAUUACAAUCGCAGUUCUCAGGUUCGGGUAGAAACAGUACAACAAGGGUAAUUUCGACUUUUCUCAUUCUACGCUACUCCGAUUGUCCUGAAUUUUUGAGGUACCUCUAAAAUGUUAUUCCCUACAACUUUCAUGUUUUAAGCUAAGGCCAAUUCGGCCUCUAACCAGGAGAUACAAAACCAGACAGAAUUGAAGGGUAUGAAACCCUAGUCUUCCAAAUUUCCCUUCAAACCAAAAAGUGCUUGCAAUUAACAAUCAUUUACACCUACUAGCCUCAUUUUAGGCCAUUGCCAAUCAUCAUACAAGGCCACACCAUCAAUUUCAUAUAUAAACAGAAAAAUCACCAAUAAAUGGAAAACUUCACCACUUCAUCCAAAAUCAAGAAAUAAACCACAAAAUUCAACAUUUUAACUACCACUAAGCACAAAUUAAGCUUCAUUAAGUGAAGGAGGAGGUUCAUUCACUACUCACCUAGUAAAACAAGAGAGGGAGAGUUGUUUGUCUGUGACAGCCCCACCUUCCCCUAAGGCGAACCAAAGGGGUUAGCGGACUGCCUGCCCAGCUCUCCCAGGACUACGGGCAGAUACACGCGAUCUAAAACGUUUCGGGAAAGUAAAAAGCGCGCUCGGACAAGCCACAAGUAUCAAAAUAACAAAAUAAAAAAAAAUGAAAACGAUGAAUAGUGCCUGGAACAGGGGAAUCCGGAAUCCCACCAAACAUUAAUACAUAGCAAUUCAACAUUUACAACCAAAUCGGCAUGACAAAAACUAUUCAUCAUAGGUAGACAAAGUUCGGUUUGCCAAUCAAAAGAUGAACCCAAUACACAUUAGGGUUUCAUGCAAAGAGCUAUUCAAAAGAGACAUAUACAUGGCUCAAUUUGGCAACCAACAAGUAUGAUCUUCCAAAAAUGAUCAUUUUCCUGUAAGGAAAACAAAUGGAACGGAGUGAGCUAAAGCUCAGUGAGCAACUAUCACAAAUCAACCAAGAUCACUUAAGCAUAACCGUUCAUUUCAAUUAUACAAAUAAGAAGCAAAACAAAUAGGUAAAAGGAUACGAACUGCUCUCAAGAGCCCAUUUCCACGCUUACAUUCUUGAUCCAACCUCAUUGACCUCCGUCAAUGUUAAAAGUACCAAACCGUAGACCUCACUUCACUUCCAUUCCUUCCACCCAACAUACCCCAACCGGGCCCGCACUCCAAGCAGUAGCUUUAGGUGAUACUCGAGUACACCGGAACCAAGGGUCUCAUUACCACAAGAUUCCCAUUUCAGUCCCCGUGGCUAGUCAAUUUUCACGACCAAGCCCUCGCUGGCUCGAUUCAAGUGACUACCAAUGGGGUCGAGCUCAGUAGUACAGUAGGGCCGUUGGAUACUCGUCCAACCGACACCCAACAAUUUCGCAUGAAUGGAAUUCAAUAUCUCAUAUAGCAAAUGCAGUAAUACAGUGAAACGGUAAACAGUCAUUUACAGGAAUAAAAGGAAUGAGGGCGGUCAAGUACACCCUCACCCUAAUCAUUUCCAAUAGCCAAACAAGCCUUCAAGGCAUCACAAUCACAUAUAGCAAAGCCACAUUAUAAACAUCCAAGUGAGUAGUAUACUCACCACUCACGUAGGUGAGGUUUCAUGCACCGCCGUCCAAAGUACGUCGUGCACUAACGUCACGCCCUAGAACAUGUAAACAAAUACCAUAAGACUCGAUAACGAGUCAUAAAGCCAUGUCAAUCACAACCCCAAUAGGGUUGCAUAUGCAUAUAUAAGCAUAAUAGCAAACCAGAAAAUUCAGCAAUGCAAGUAUAUUAGCCCUAACAACAAAACAGUUUUGGCCUCCUAAUGCGGUAAUGGUACAAAAUGCUCUACGCUUAUCGGAUGAGGGUGUAAGACCCACCAUCUCGAAGCUAAAAGACAGGGCUACAACAAUGUAGAAGGCCACUCAGUCCAAAUCCUAGCACAACUAGGUCAAAAAUGCAGAAUACCAAACCAGAACCAAGCAUGAUCUUUCGAUGUCAAAAUUGCUCCUCAAGAGUUGUGCUGCAACUUGUUUUGAAUCUUCUCAAUUUUCCAGCAUCAGUCAGCCAUACCUCACUUUGUACCACAAAUCAACUUUUCUAAUGACCAGAUUUGAAUGAAUGGCCAGUAUCUCAAGUGUCGCAACCCGCUUUUCGUUCAUGAUUCUCUUGUGCUCCAAAAUCUCACCUUGAUGACCUUAACCUUUCGGAUUUUCACAAAGGUCACACCUUUUUAUUAUUUUGUUUUCAUUUUCUAUUUUUUUUUCUUUUUCAUCCUUCUCUUUUUUUCUUUUUUUUUUUUUUCAAUCCCUUUUUCUUUUUCUUUUUUUUUCAUUCUUUUGAAGACACCCUUUCAGGUUUUCACCUAAUGAACAAAUCUUGUUAACGACCUUUAUCAACUCAGAAAUGUAUUUAAAGAAAGGAUGGCAUCAGCGCGACAACCCUUCCCAUGUAAAAAUGGUGAAGGUGUAUUGACAUCAAUUGCCAUUUGAUUAAGUGAUUUUUAUUAAAUACCACUAAAGCGGAGGUCGAGACUUUAUGAUUUUUAUGAUGGGGUCAUGUGGGGUGUAGAAAAAGUGUUAAGGCUUCAAAGCAAAAUCUUCAAAGAGGUUUCAAAAACCCUAAGACCGCAUUCUAUCAAUAUUUGCCCCAGUAUGAGGGUAUUAAAACCGAAAAAAUUGCCCCAGUUUGGCUUUUGACUUCUUUUUUUUUUUUCUUUUUUUCAUGACAAAUAGGAGAUAAAAAUUUACCCCAGUAUGGGGUUUGCAAUCUUUAGGAGGGCUAUCAAAUGAAAGGUUAAAUUAUUCUGGAGGUUCAAUGGGGAAAACUAGGGUAAGAUGUUCAAAGAGAAAAGAAGAAGGCUCGCCUUUGAUCCGCCAUAGAUGGUAUUUCAAAAAGAAAAAUCACAUAAUCAGAGAAAGAAUUUAUUACACAUGUCUGAAUUGAUUGGCAGAGGAAAGACCUGUCCAUCCAGUUCUGUAAGAAUGGACGUUCCUCCGGAUAGCACUCUUUGAACAAUAAAUGGCCCUUGCCAAGUUGGAGCAAACUUUUCUUUAACCUCCUCUUGAAUCGGAAGAAUUUACUUCAAAACCUUAUCCCUCACUUCAAAUAAGCGAGAUUUGUCUUUCUUGUCAUAACUAACGAACCAUCCUUUGAUGAUAGCAUUGUCCAUGACAAACAUUCAACCUCUUUUUCAUCAAUCAGAGACAGCAACUCAUUGUGCUCCUUAAUCCAUUUGAUUUCUUCUGCCUGAGCCUUUGUCAAAAUGUGCAAGGACGGGAUCUCGGUUUUGGCAUGUAUUACCACUUCCAUUUCAGCAUAAGAGGGCAAGGUGUUGCCCCAACUUAGAAAUGUAAUCUCCAAUGAAAUGCUCCCAGAGUUCAAUUGCAAAAUUUGCAAAAUCGAAGGAAAAACUCUCUUUUUUUUUUUUUUUUUUUCAAUCCCCUUUUUUUUAUUCUCUCUUUUUUUUUUUUUUUCCAUUUUUUCCUCCUUUUUUAUUAUUCUCUUCUUUUUUUUUUUCAUUCCCCUUUCUUUUCUUUUCUCCUUUUUUUUUUUUCCCUUUUUUUCUUUUCUCUUUUUUUAUUCCCCUUUUUCUUUUUUUUUUUUUUCUCUUUUCAUUCCCCCUUUUUCUUUUCUCUUUUUUUUUUUCUUUUCUUCUCUUUUUUUUUUCAAGUUGGCUGCUGAAGUAUGUACUCCUUUUGAGCAAAUAGCCGAUCCUCCACUUUGCAAUGUAGCAUCAUUGCUCCAUUUUUAUUCGUGAUUAAUCUCCAAAUUUGCAAGUUUUGAAUUGCACUUUUUCCUCGAUCUCAACCAUAAACACCUGCAUAAGGGGAAUUUUUCAAAGCACUUGAAUUUUUCAAUUUUUUUUUUUUUUUUUUGCAAUGAUGUAACAAUUAAGAUUCAUGCAAAGUAUUGACUUAUCAAGAUUUUAAAAAAUAUAUACUUGAUCUUGGACAUACCCUACAAAUGUAUUAUAAAAUUUUGCCUCAAUUUGAACUUAUUUGGUGAAAUCUCACAGAUAUUACAAAAAAAUUUGCCCCGAUUUGGGCUUAUUUUAGUUGCAAAAUAAUCACAUACAAUGUGAAUAGAAACUACAUUUUUCAAAUGAAGAAUUUAAAUAUCAUAUCCAAACUCAUGUAGAAGAUUCCAUGAUAAAUCCCUCAAAAUAAGACCAAAUUGAAAAAGAUCUCUUCCUUGUUUUGGGAUUGGUGUUGAGGGAAAAGGAUCACUUUUCUUAUGAGCUCAUCUUUUAGGACCAAUCAAAUGGAUAUUAUUCAGGAUUUUGAGAUGGCUCAGGGGAAUGGUAUGUCAGGAUCUGUUUUUUUUUUUUUUCAAAUUGUAUCCAACACAUUCAAUAUCACAUCUUGGUGAAAGCAAAUAACUUAUCACUCUUAUUUUUUGAGAAAACUCAGUCAACAUAUAAGCUGUAUAGGCUUGUAAUAUAUGGGUAGAAACGAUAGCUAAACAUAUGAAAACAGGUUAUGGCCUUAUGAUCAUGAGUGAUUGGUAGAUUCCUUAGAGACAAUAUUUUCACUUCAAAUUGUCAUGAAAAAUAAGUCAACAAUGGACUUUAUGAGCUUGUAAUGUGGCUUGACAACGAUAGCUAAAA